UUAUUUGUAUUUUAUUUCAGAAUUUAAACAACUAGUUUGGGCGGGUCACACACGACGUUGUGUGACACUUUAUUUGUCACCGCUGCAUCGACAUAUCCAUCGACUAAACAACGGUGAUCCAACUAUAUAUUACUAGAGACCUUUCCUUAUCAGUAGGCACCAACUCCGGUGCCAACGCUGAAUGGCACACUAGUGGUGGUUCUAUACAAGGGCACAUUGACACGGCACAUCGUUGGCAGGGUACGGAGCGCAAUGGAAGUCAUCACCUCAAGCUGAGCUAUCUGGUGUGGAUGCAAAAAGGUACCCUGUGCCAAUUGUUGUUGUUGAGGUUGUUGCCCGAGUUGCUGCUGCGACUGCUGUUGGGGUUGGGAAACGCAUUGGCCCAACUAUUGCGGUUGCUGCUGCUGAGUUUGGAUGGAACCCUGAACCUGUUGUUGUUCUUGCAGGACGAUGGAGUAGAUGAUAGCACGGAUUGCCUCAUAGCGGGAUUGCUGGGGGAUUUGCGGCAACUGCUGGCAACAUUGUUGUUGCAUCACAUGGCAACUGCUCUGCUGCAACAUUUGCGACCUAGCAAGACUUUGUGGCAUUGCCACAGGGCUGCAUUGCUGCUGGAGGAAUACCUUGCAUGGGUUUAGUUGCUGCAAGAUAGAUGGAUGAACAAAUGGUAUUUGUUGUUGCGGUAGAACUGAUUGUUGUUGUUGCGAAAAUGGUGGUUGUUGCGGUAGUACUGGUUGUUGUUGUUGCGAAAAUGGUGGUUGUUGCUGUGAAAAUGGUGGUAGUUGUUGCUGCGAAAAUGAUGGUUGUUGCGGUAGAACUGGUUGUUGUUGCUGCAAAAAUGGUGGUUGUUGCUAUGAAAAUGGUGGUUGUUGCGAUAGAACUGGUUGUUGUUGCUGUGAAAAUGGUGGUUGUUGCUGUGAAAAUGGUGGUUGUUGUUGCUGUGAAUAUGGUGGUUGUUGUUGCUGCGAAAAUGGUGGUUGUUGUUGCUGCGAUAAUGGUGGUUGUUGUUGUUGCUGUGAACAUGGUUGCUGUUGUGGAAAUGGUUGUGGUUGUUGUUGGAUAGGUUGUUCUUGUUGUUGGUGCCAUAAUGUUUGUUGUGGUGGUAAUGGUUGUUGCUGCGAUGGUCUCUCCAAACCAGGGAUGUGGCUAUUCUCCAUUUGUGCAAUGGCACUUGUCGCCGCAACGGCGAGGAGGGCAAAGAUGAGGAAGGUCUUCAUGGUGGAUUGGUGUUAACUAGUGUUGCUUGGUUUUGAUGCUUGUGCUUGUGACGAUCUUUAUACUUCAUGCCUAUUUAUAGUAGCCCGGGCACCACCUUUUUCUUCUUUGCAUUAGCUUUAAUAAUUUUGUUUGGAUGCAAAAAUGAUUUUUGGUACAAUGUGUUAGGUUGCACUAGCUACACGCGUACUUUUGGAUUGAUCAUCAAAGUUGCUUUUUAGUUGUGCAUAUGAUCACACAUAAAGUACAGAAACCUUGAUGUUUGGUAUAUAUGACUCACCUUAUUCACUUUACAUGUCACACACUUAUCUGGAUAGUAUCACUUUUGCAACCGAGUUUGGAACCUUGUAUAGGCUGUCAUCCAUAAACAAGAAAGGCAAAACUUGUGUAGGACUAAGUGUAGAACUAACUUUGUAUUUUUCCUCUAAAAUGAUUAGAUGAACCGACGCCUAUAGAGCAUGACAUGACUCAUCGAAUUCCCUUUACAUGUAAAGGAUGGUAAUUGCUUACAAGCUACUCCUACUAGCAUAUAUCCGGUCCUAACUCUUGACACGUCAUCAUCAGUUUCGCCUAUUUUUUUAGAUAAAUCAUCAGUUUCAUCUAUUUGUGAAGGGUUUUUUUGGGGGAAAUGAUAGUUUUUUUAUGCUAGGGGGAUUUUUUUGGGGGGGGGGGAUGACGCUAGGGGGAAAUGAUAGAUGGGGCUGGAACAGAGGCCCCCAGCCUGGAGCGAGAGAUUAGGCCCAACAUAAGUGCCGUGUGUUAGGGCACCAAUUCGAUUUGGGCUAUAGUUCUCGUAGGCCCCAACGACACAAGCCCAGCCCACACUCCGCGGAUCUGCGUCCCUCCCUUCCUCGUCCUCCUCGCCGGCCGGACCGCUCGCCGUCGCAGCCUCUCCCGGACGCCCACCGCUCGCGGCCCCUCCACGUACCUCCGCGGCAGCGGAGACGUCAGCCUCCCUCCCACCCUCAACAUCCGGCCCCCCACCACCACCACCACCGCUCGACAAAAAAGGUCACUUUUGAAGCUCCUCCGUCGAUUGUGGGCCGUACGUCGACGGCAGCCACUCCGACCUCCCCAUCAACACAAGGUAUCGAUUUGUUUCGUCUGUCUCUUCCAACGAUUCAAUGCACAUAAAUCCGAGAGGCAGACCCAUCUCCAUGCUAGCUGCACGGAUUAGGAGGGUCAGGCAUCAGAAUUCAGCUGGGAAGCCUGACAGUAAUGUACAUUUGUGGCUUUAGUAGCUGAAUAUAACUAUGUGCUUUCUGAGAAUUUCACUUCAAAAGUUCCAAUAAUCAUCAAAUUUCCCCCUAUGCGCGCUAAGCAGGUGGACCAUAUAUUUCUCAUGUCGACGAACGAAAAAACAAAACUCCACAACUAGAAGUCUAUGAUAUUGACACGGAACCGUGCUGUAGGGUCGCAAGUAAAAAUAUGAAAAGCAUGCCUAAUAAGCGAGAUGACGCAGUUCCUGACCGCCCCGCUACGACUAUUGGUUCCAGCGUGGCGUUUGAAUUAUGCCGCGCUAGAUGUCUUUUGUCCGGCGAGGAACAAGUGGGGUCAAGCGUGCUUCGGCAAUUCCCGCCGUCAGAAGACUUCCUUGUAGUCCGGUGUAGAGGUGAGGUUGUGGGGAGAUACAUCGACUAGCACUACUAGGGAAAAGGCUAGCAGCAGCGCGGGUUUUAGAUGUAUCAGUAGUGCGGGUACCCGCGCUACUAAUACGGCGCUACAGCUAACUCAUAGCAGUAACGCGUGAGCACCCGCGCUACUGCUACACAAGUGUAGCAGCAGCGCGGUUAUGAGAAGCUCGCUACCGCUAGUAGCGCUAGCGCUCUUUGGCCGGACGCUCUACUGCUAUUGAGGCGCUGCUGCUAACUUUUGUACACUCGCUACUGGUAAUUUAAGUAGUUUUUUGGCAUAUUUGUUUUGUAUUUGAACCGGCUUUGUAGAAGAAUCUUUAGCACAUAGAAAUGUCAUCAUGAUACACAUACAAAUGCCUGCGAGACCACAAAUGUAAUCAUAGCAUGUACAUACAAAUAGUCUCUUCAUAAUCAUCAUCCAACACAAAGUGAUAUCUUGUCAUCAUCUCGAAAAUAGCAAUACAUGCAAGUCUCGAAUACUUGCAACUACAACAACGUCAUCCAUCUAAACAAAGGUAUACGCAAGAAGUGCUAUCACUAUGAGUGAGAGCGGAACCAUGCAGUACAUGAGGUGGCGGUUAUGAGUCCUCUCUUGCGCUAGCGUGAACCUCAAGUAACUAGCUUCUCCUUCUUGUCUGCUUUUGAAGCCUUUAUGGCUGGCGCCCGUGAACCCAUUCACUUGCGCCUGACACUCAUGCCACUCGUUGUACACCCCCGGAACCUUCCCUUUGUACACGACAUAGCAUUUCCAUCUCGCCAUCAAGAAACUAGGUACCUGUUAGAGAUGCAUGUUCAUGAAGAGGAUGUACAAUCAUAUAUAUGCAACAAAAUAUACUAGAGCAACACUAAGAAAGAAAGGUUAGCAACUAGAUGCAACAUAUACAUUACGCAAAUUAAUUAACUAGAGGUACGCAGGUCAUCGUACGCAAACUAACAAAGUAGCGUUACGCAAGUUUGGCAGGGACCAUGGACAUCACAAAGUUUCAUCGCUACAAAAAGUAUACAAGUUCAACCGACACAUAUCAUCAUCAUCGGCAUCAUAAAUCACUAGAAGUUCCAUCCUUCCAUAUCAUCGAGGACGAACCCUAGCUGCUUGAACGGCGUGAGGUCUAGACGUUGCAUGCCUAUGCGAGUUCGGACGUCAGCUCGCGAUAUAGGGCCGUGGUGGAACAUCCCCUUCUCAUCGACGACUUCUUUCAUGAUGAUCAUCGCAAUGUCGCUUUGGAUGCGAAAGAAGUCAUCUCUAAGUUUAUAAUUCGCUUCUCCAUGAGAUUCUAGCCACUUGUGGAUAUGAUCAUCAUUUCUGCUGUUAAUGCGAAGCUUUUGGUGAUCCGUGUUGAACUGAAUCAUGAGAUGGACGAUGUAGAAUCCAUCCUUCUUGCUUGGUUUUGGGACGUGGAUGCAGGAGAAGUUAGUUUUAUGCGCGAAACCCAUCUUCUUGUUCCUUUGUUUCCUGAUAUGCACGUGGCCACCUCUAAAGUUGAAGCCUUGGAGAGCAUCAUCUAGAAUAUUCAUUAUGUGGGUGUAGUCCUUUUUCUCGUAGUCUCUAGAAGGGUCAAAAUACACGGCGUGGGAGACUUGCGGGUAAAGAAUGAUAAGGACGGCGCGCCCGUUGCUGCGGGGAAAAGACACCUCAAAUUAUUCCCCAUAUGAGAGAGAAGGAAUGAUUGAAAUGUACGAAAGGGUUGUCCGGAACUGACUUACUUUGGAUGAUAAGGCACGAGGACAAUUUCCCGGUCCUUAUUCUGUACCAUGAAGUUUUGGAGGUACUCCCUAGCAGUUUCACGCUCAAAGUCGCCGAGACUCAAGAAAGACUCGUGCAUGUAGUACGGAUCCGCCACACAGAUUUGCGAGACUUCUUCACUCUUCACGACGGAGCUCAUAUGUAGCGCAAAAAGGCGGACGAUAGUAAAAUCAAGCCGCCUUGUUAGAAACAUCUCAAAGAUAUGGUCAAACCGCAGGAAGAACACCUCCGUGGGCCGUGUGUCGACGUAGCACUUCCCCUCAGGCACACGAGCUGCGUAUGUCGGAUAUCCUGGAUCCUUUGAGGCUAGUAGGCUUUUCUCAGUCGACAGCACGUGGUCGUGCAGUCUCCUGAGAUUCCCUGAUAGUGCCUCCAGCGGUUUCGGCGGUAGCAUCGGCUCGCCCGUGAGAUGGAACAUGACCGCACCUUUCACGGGUACACGCUCUUCAGAAUGCAUCGUCUGGCUGCUGUGUGCUCUGGCUUGUUUGGAGGCAGUUACCUUCCCCAAUCUCUUCCUCUCCUUUUUCUUGGGCACACCUUCCAGACCCUUCCUUAACCCCUGCCCAAGUGUUCCCGGGCUAAGUAUUGUACGACCCUCACGCCCGGCUAGUUGAGCCUGUGUUGAGGCGGCAUCUUCAGGCGUGUCCUGUGAGGAUUUCAUGAAGAGAGACUUUUUGCAUUCCAUGGUACGGCCCUGCCCGGGCAUAUCAUCCAUAUCCUCAUUAGCAAGCUGAUAGCCCGAUUCGUCAUAUGGUUGACUCAUCAUAUCUAUGUCACAGUCAUACGCGUUUGUAUUGAGGUAAUCCAUCGGGUCGACCUCCGUCUCAUCAUCCAUUCUCUGUUCUACAGGAGAAAUUACAUCAGCCAGUACUAUUGCACCCCCUUCAUCAUGUCGUCCGCCGCUCUCACACGGCACUACUACAGGAGCUGGUAAUUGCGUAGGUGGGGUGGUGGUCUCCGCACAUGCUUGCUGAUGUGUGGUAGUUAUUGGUGUGCUCUCGGCCGGCUCCAGACGAAUAAGAUUCUUCGGCCAUAGCAGCACCCAACCCUUGCAGCGUCCAAUCCGCGGCGGGGUCUCGUCGUCCGCUCCCACCUGCUGUACUGGAGGAGGCAAAUCCUCGUGCCCCGAUUUCACACUGGUCAAGCUAACCCUGAAGUGCCCAGCGGGGAUCGGCUGGUUGUGGAAUGUGCGUUGAGAGGGGUCCAUUAUCAUCCCCUUUCCCACGUCCACCUUCUGGCCUUUGAUCAAGUAGAGUAUGGUGCAUGGGGUUUCUUUCGCCUGCAAACACAUAUGUCUGUGGUGUAAAACAACCGAAAGGCAACAAAAAUGGAAUAUUAUAUAUAUAUAUAUGUUGGUGCGACAUGUAAUUACCGUGACGGCGUCGAGCUCAGCCAAAGACGAAGGCCCACCUAGCGCGCCUGAGACUGAGGACGGGCUGCUAUGAGCUGGAGCGGCUGCGAGAGGAGGCCCGGUUGCUUGAGCAAGUGAUGGUGCGAUGGUGUUGUUCAUGGAGUUGCUCGCGACGAAACUGGGCAUUGGGAAAUCAUGUACCGUCUUGUCUGGAUUUUCCUUCGCCCAGUUGAUGAUAACUGGAACCAAGUUAGUAGCGAAAUCAUUUCUGCAGGCAUUUACAGCUGCAUUGACUGCCUGCUGUAGCAACUCAUAUUUGUCCUUGGCUGCUUUUUUCGCGUCCUCGGCUGCUUUUUUCUCGACCGCAAGCUUCACCUUUGCGUCGAUGUCCGCCUAACUAAACUUCUUUUUCUGCUUCUUGGCCUCCGGGCCGUCGUUGUAAAACACCUUCCACGUGGCGCCGUCUCCAGCGCCGUGCACACGACCAUAUUGCGGCCGCUGGUCCAACGGGAGUCCCUUAAGUUCGUUCAAGGCCCAGUUGAGAGGUGUGUCCCACUUGGGCCUCAUCGGAGAAGUAGGGCUUUCGGCUGCAAGCCGGUGUUGCUUCUCCAGUAGUCUAAUCAAUUUCCUCGUGAUCUUGUCCGUGUAAAAAACCUUUUUCUCCUUGUCCCACUUGUAGCGGGCCCUGAUGAAGUCAUGCUCCAAGGGGUUGGUGAACUUCGCGAAGGGGUCUGGGAGACCCGCGGCUUCACGUUCCGCGUCCUCCUUAUCCCAUAUGGGCCUUUUACCGAGGUAGCCACGGCUUCCGAGGCGAUGCUUCCCCAUGUUCCGGAGCUGAAGGCUUUUGAAUUUCGCAGCCUUAGCCUUGGCUGCCUUGGUAGCGCAAGUGUCCUUGAACUUUUCGAACUCCUCUUCCGUAAGUGUCGGAUUUUCCUCCAGAAUCUUGGACAGGGGUUCAUCAGCCUCAAUAGCUCGUUUCACCCUCCCUUUCCAGGAGGCCAAAUCAUUGCUGAACAUGCCCAUGGCGUGAUUGUUAAUCUUUUUCAUCUUCGGAUCAUCCCACGGUUGUUCUAUGUUAUCAUCCCGGUCGGGGAACUUGAAUCUCUUCUGCAACUUCGUUAGGAGCAACUGCGUCAAAUGUUCUUUACUCCUUAAGUCAUCAUCGUUGAUGCUCGCGCAUUCCCGUAGGAUGCAUCCUACUUGGUUCCCAUAGCACUUGCGAGGUUCUUCCGGCUCUAACGGCUCAAACUUUCCAGGUGCCAUCUUUGUGAUCACAAGUCGUCCAAUCCCUAGUUUGUUAGGUUUUCGUAUCCUCUGCUUCUUAUGCUUCCUCUUUUCGGUAUCGGCAUCGGGGCCGGUACCUUCCCCGCCGGUCUCGGCGCCGCCAUCGGUGCCGGCGCCGUCGGUGCCGGCACCGUAGGUGUCGAUGUCGGCGUCAGUACCAUCAUCGAGGCCGACCUGCAAACCUUGCUUAGCAGUCAAAUAGUCGAGGUACUCUUGUUCACCCUCAUAAUCCAUCUCGUCUGCAUCUUGGUCAGAAGGCCCAGUUUCUUCGUUGUUCGACAUGUUUCCUAUGAUUAAGUGGCCUCAUUUAUUUCUAAAAGUAUGAAUAAAUGAGAAAUGACAUAAAAAGAAAUCUAUGUGCCAACACUCGAUAUGCCAACUAUGUAGCACAAAUCAUGCCUUUAUUCACGGGAAAUUUCGGCAUGACCUUUGCUAAAAAAUGGACAUAUCGAGCGCCUGAAAUUCACCGAAACGGAAAUGAAUCAACAUUCCUGCGCAACAUAGGCCACUCGGAUCAUUUUCCAAACAUGACAUGUCCAAAACAUGACAUAUGCACAUAUCACAUGUCCAGUUCAAAUUUCCAUAUAAAUUCAGCUAAUUCAUAACUAAAUAGAUAACCUAAUUAAUUAACAUGAAGANNNNNNNNNNNNNNNNNNNNNNNNNNNNNNNNNNNNNNNNNNNNNNNNNNNNNNNNNNNNNNNNNNNNNNNNNNNNNNNNNNNNNNNNNNNNNNNNNNNNNNNNNNNNNNNNNNNNNNNNNNNNNNNNNNNNNNNNNNNNNNNNNNNNNNNNNNNNNNNNNNNNNNNNNNNNNNNNNNNNNNNNNNNNNNNNNNNNNNNNNNNNNNNNNNNNNNNNNNNNNNNNNNNNNNNNNNGGGGGCGAGCGACAUGGUCGGGGGCGAGCACGCCGGAGUCGGGGUCGAGAGCGGGACAGGGGCGAGCGCCGGGGCUGGCACCGGCGCCGGCAGGGUCGGGGGCGAGCGCCGGGGCCGGGUCGGGCACGGCGGAGCGACGGGGGCCGGAGAGAGAGUGGGGAUUUGGGGGGAAAUGGCGGGAUGAAGCUGGGCGAGUGCGAAUUUUGGGUUAAGUGGACGUAGCAGUAGCGGGUUAUGUCAAAACGCGCUGCUACUAUAUUCUGUAGCGGCAGCGGUUUAUGAGAAACACGCUACUACUAUGGUGCGUAGCUGCAGCGCUUUAUGGGAAACUCGCUACUACUAUGGUGCGUAGCGGCAGCGGUUUAUGAGAAACACGCUACUACUAAGAUCUAGCAGCAGCGGUUUUGUGGAAACGCGCUGCUACUGCCGUCGCUACUGCCAGGUUUCCUUUUUCUUUUCCUUUAUUUUAUCCCACUUUUAUUUCCCGAGGGCAAUGAACGAAGGGAGGGCGAUAUAUAUUGCAUCAUUUGACGGUUAAAUAUGUAUGCAAAAUAGGAACAUAUAUAUUACACAUCAUUGGACCCAUGCAUAAUAAUGACUAAGUGUGUAUACAAAUUAAAUAGGAACAUAUAUAUAUUACACAUCAUUGGACCCAUAACAUACGUUUCCUCAGUGCUGACGUUUUCGUUUUUGAGUCAGCUUCUUUCCCUUCUUGUUCGUCGAAGAAUAAUUGAGCCCCUCAUUGUGACUUUGCCUUUUCCAUGGAGUACGAUUUUUCUUAGGUAAUGUAGUAUUGAUUCUUCUUUUGACGUAUACUUCAUCAUCAUCAUCAUCUUCCCUCAUUGGGUUGCUGUACUGAUCAUAGUCUUCCUCGUUGGCGACUCCAUCCAUUCCAAUGAUGUUCCUUUUGCCUCUCCUCACGACAACACGGCUGGGAUUGCGCGGGUCAGUUAUGAAGAAACAUUGUGUCACGUGCUUAGCGUGUACCCAUGGCUCGUUUUUUGCGAUAGCGUUCAUGGUAGCGCUCUUGGCGUCGGGUAUAGUCAUGGUAGUGAACAUCCGGCUUUCUCUUUCGACAUUCUUAGCCCAUCUGACACGGAACAUCAUCGUGCUGUGCAGUCCAGAGUAGUCAAGCUCCCAGAUCUCCUCGACCCUUCCAUAAAAUCGUUCAGUUGUGCCGUUGUCGCUGCCGGUCAUGCAUUCCAUCGUCACCCCUGAGUUCUGAUCAUCACUGUCCAUAUCUUUUGCCUCUGUGUAGAAUGUGUAUCCGUUGAUAUCAUAUGCCUGAUAGGUUACGAGGUUGGGCGAGGGGCCAUGUGCUAAGGCGUAUAUGAGCAAUCCGUCCUUAGAGCCCUCCUCCGGUGGAUUAGCAAUAAUAUGCUCUUUGAACCAAUGCAGGAAAGUGGAGUUGUGCUCUCUAGUAACUUCGGCGUCCGUCCUGCAUACCCCCCGGUCACGAUACUUCUUUGUGAUAAUUUCUUUGUGCAGUGCCACGAAAGGAUCUACCUCGUCUAGGUGUUGUAGCACUACCAAGUUUGCUCUGUCAAAGUCGCUGCGUCGAUCUGAGUAUGCCACGUGCAGUUCCCUGCGACCGUUGCAGUGACCAUCUCCUUUGAGCCUCCCAUCGUGCUUGUUAACGGGCAAACCAACACUAACACCAGGCGGCUGGUCUGCGCCAUAUAAAAAAUUCUCACAGAAAGAGAUGCACUCUUGUGCCAAAUAGCCCUGGACGAUGCUUCCAUCCGGACGGGACAUGUUACGAACGAAUCCUUUGAUGAUCCCAUUCAUCCACUCAAACGGGAUCAUGUUGUGCAGGAAUGACGGCCCCAGGUCUAUUAUGUCAUCCACAAUAUGGACACACAGAUGCACCAUCACGUCGAAGAACGCGGGCGGGAAGUACAUCUCAAGCUCAUUCAGUAUCACAACGAUCUCUUCCUGUAGCCUUUGGAGCUGCUUCACACUGAUCGACUUUCGAGAGAUGACAUCGAAAAAGUUGCAGAGACCAAUAAGCGUGUCACGGACGUGCUUGUCCAUUAUCCCUCUAAGGGCAACAGGUAGUAUCUGCGUCAUCAUCACAUGACAGUCAUGAGACUUCAUCCCGCUGAACCUUUUCUUGUCCGUGUCUAGAUAUCUGCUUAUCUUGCCACAGUAACCGGAACUAACUUUCACUCCGGUAAGGCACUUAAAGAAUUGAUUGAUCUCAGCCUGACUUAAGGUGAAGCAAGAGGGGGGGCAAUAAUCUUCUUUCUUUAAUUUCUUGCCCUUCUUCUCCCGUGCCUCUGUCUUCGUCUCUGUCUCGUCUGACAUUUUACGGGGCGGCAUCUGCAGAUCUUCCCUGAUUUUCAAAUCUUGCAAGUCUUUUCUUGCCUUCGGCCCAUCCUUGGUCUUAUCCGGCAUGUUCAUCAGUGUUGCGAGCAAGCUCUCAAGGACAUUCUUACAGAUAUGCAUUUGAUCAAGGCAAUGAGGUGUAUCGAGUUUGUGCCAGUACUCCAAGUCCCAGAACACGACCUCGUCUUCCAUACCUUCAGCAGCGGCUCCGGCGCCUUUCUCAUCGUCUUUCCCGGCGCGGGGCACUCAUUCCAGUUUUUCAAUAGCUCAUCGAUUUCGGCACCGCUCCGCUUACGUGGAGGUCCUCGAUGCUCAGCGUGACCAUUGAAUAGAUCUCCACGGUUUCUCCACGGGUCGUCCUGUUCAAGCCAUCUUCGAUGCCCCAUGUACAUGAUUUUCGCAGACCCGCCAUCUUUCCUUGACGUUAGCUGCUGAGACGUUGUAUCAUCCAUGCACCGCGUGCAUCCGCAAUAUCCAUGGCACACCUGGCCUGCCACAUAUCCGUAACCGAGAUAGUCCUGCACUGUCGUGAUCAGCGCGGCUCUCAUGUUGAAAUACUCACCUUUGCUGGCGUCCCAUGUCUUGGCCGGUGUUUUCCAUAACGUGUCUAACUCCUCUUGAAGUAGCCCCAGAUACAAAUUAAUAUUAUUUCCUGGUUGUUUCGGCCCUUGAAUAAGCAUGCUCAUGUGAAUGUACUUCGAUUUCAUACACAACCAGGGGGGGAGGUUGUACAUCCAUACAAACACGGGCCAUGUACUAUGGUUGGUGUUCUAGUUGCCAAAUGGAUUCAUGCCAUCGGUACACGCGCCGAGCACGAUGUUCCUUGCAUCACAUUCAAAAUACCGUUAGAAGCUGUUCAACGCUCUCCACUGGCUUCCAUCCUUCACGUGUCUCAGCUUCGGAUCAUCUCCAUCGUCGGGCUUCUUCCUCUCCGCGUGCCAGCGCAUUAGCUUUGCUUCCUUGGGAUCUACAAAAUACCUCUGAAGACGGGGAGUGAUCGGUAAGUACCAUACAACUUUCUGGGGACAUUUCUUCCCGGCCUUCUUGUAUCGAGAAGCAUUGCACACCGGACAGCUUGUUUUUUCCGCGUGCUCCUUCCGAUAAAUUAUGCAAUCGUUGAUGCAUGCAUGGUAUCUAACGUGUGGCAGAUCAAGAGGGCACACGAUCUUCUUGGCCUCAUCAACACUAGUAGGACAUAGAUUACCCGCGGGAAGAAUAUCCUUUAGGUACUUGAGAUGGUCAUCGAGGCUAGUGUCGGUCCAUUUGUUUUUAGCCUUCGUCUUCAGGAGUUGGAGCGUGAAACUCAACCGGGUCACCUCAGGAUUGCAACCAUCAUACAAUGGAGUGUUCGAGUCUACCACCAGUUGCUCCAGCUUAGCCUCCUCUCUAGAAGCAGCUCUCUCAGUACUCGUCUCCUUGCGAAGCAAUGCUUGAACAUGAGGGUCCCGCACAAUUGAACUUAGUACCGACGAACUCUGCUGCGUGGAGUCCAUGUCGUUCUCUCCGCCGCCAUGUCCGGCCCCUUCUCCUCCGCCAUGUCCGGCCACUUCUCCGCUGCCAUGUCCGGCCUCUUCCCCGCCGCCAUUAUCGAUCAUCUCUUCGUCUUGCCCCGUGUCAUCAUUGCCUGCCCCGUCGGCAUCCUCAACAUCUUCAUCCUCAUCUUCAAUUAUCCACCGAGUAUAGCCAUCCAUGAAACCAGUCAUGAGCAGGUGCGCUUCGACACGACCAUCGUCAUGGGGGUCGAGCCAAACUAUUCCUUUGCAUUUUCAACACGGACAUAAAACCUCUGUCCGGUUAUUUUCUUUCAUGUCUUGCACCGCCGACCGCAACCACCUGUCCACCAUUGUUCCACUGACCAUCGUCAACUCUGCACGGUAAUAAUAAAAAAAUUGAUUGUAAAAAUGCAUGCAUGCAUCAAAGUCAUAAAAAAAUUUGGCAUGACCUUCCCUAAAAAUAGGACAUAUAUGGAUCUAGAGUUUGCCCGAAAUUCGCCGAAACGAAAAUAAAUCGACAUUUCGGCAAAACAUAGGCAACUCAAAAGCACAAUUUGGCGGCGUCAACUCAUGCCACAGACACAAUUUCCACAAACAUAUCACACAUACACAUAAACACAUUUCCAUUUUGCAAAAGCAUGAAAUUUUCAUCACCUCUAUCUCGAUGGCCGGAGAUGAUGUUGUAGGGAGAUCAAAAGUGCACAAAGCUAUUCUUGACAAAGAUAGAUCUAGUUAGGGGGCAAAUAGGUCACUUAACUAAAUCCUACAUCUACCUAGCUACCUAAUUUGGAAGGAGACAACUUCAACUAGUGGAGGGGGAGGAAAAAGAGAAAGAAGAUGCAUUAAUUAAUGGAGGUGGUGUAGUUAUGUAGGAGUAAUGAAGAGAGAGAAGGUGGAUAGAGAANNNNNNNNNNNNNNNNNNNNNNNNNNNNNNNNNNNNNNNNNNNNNNNNNNNNNNNNNNNNNNNNNNNNNNNNNNNNNNNNNNNNNNNNNNNNNNNNNNNNNNNNNNNNNNNNNNNNNNNNNNNNNNNNNNNNNNNNNNNNNNNNNNNNNNNNNNNNNNNNNNNNNNNNNNNNNNNNNNNNNNNNNNNNNNNNNNNNNNNNNNNNNNNNNNNNNNNNNNNNNNNNNNNNNNNNNNNNNNNNNNNNNNNNNNNNNNNNNNNNNNNNNNNNNNNNNNNUGUGGUGGAGGGAAGAGAGGAGAGGGGGAGGUAGGGGGGAAGGGAAAAAAGGAAGGGGGAGGGGAGGGACGGGUUGGGGGUUGGUGGGGUUAGCAGUAGCGCGGGAGAUAAAACGCGCUGCUGCUAAGAACUUAGCAGCUGCGCGCUUUGCGGUAAGGCGCUACUGCUAACUGGGACAAAAAAUUGUGGCAAUUUGAAACUUACCAGCAGCGAUCUCGAGGAAACCGCGCUACUACUACGUACUUAGCAGUAGCGCUGUUAUUGCGACCGCGCUACUGCUACUUAGAGUUGGGGGAACACCGCCGGUCGAUAUUUGUAGCAGCGCGUUUCUUGUCGAGCGCGCUACUGCUAAAUCUUUAUCAGUAGCGAGUUUACGUAACCCGCGCUACAACUACUUAGCAGCAGCGCUCUAUUUUGAACCGCGCUGCUGCUAAGAUUCUGUGUAUAGGCUUUUCCCUAGUAGUGUAGGAAGGAAUGACCACAUGAAUGAGCAUACGUAUGAUGUGAUUAAGUCUCUCGAUUGGGUAUCUGGUGCCUUAUGUACGGUGUCUUCUUUUUGUCAAGCUAUGACAUCUUUCAGUUUGAGUGUCUGAUAUUAGGGUUGCAUACGUUUUGUUAUUCAGUUGCCUGUUGUGAACUCUACGGUUAUAUCAUCUCGAUGUGUGAGUCAAUGUGUUUGAACCAAUGUAGAGUUUCAUGUGAAUGUUACAAGUGUGAUUGAUAUGUUCAUGUUAUCCGCGGUUGCCUUGGUAAGAAACUGAAAGAGCAAACCGUUAUCGUGCUAGGACAAAAGUCAUCACUCAAUAUAAGUGCUUCUCUAGAACAGCCACACCUUGUGAAAGAAGAUGGCAAACACCCAAUCAUGUCUGGUUCGAUAUGGGCGUGGCUAUGGGUAGCUUAUAGCGACAUGGAAGCCAGCAUCGCUGGAAGAAACGCCCGGGUGGGCCGGCCUAGAGACAUUUCUUGAUAUCUACCCUUAGUUUUGUUUUUCUGCCCUUCUUUCUUUAUAUUUAUAUUUUUCCCGACAUGUUCACUACUUGAUGCUCAACUGGGAUCUCAUCCUUCACAAAUACGGAGAGCCAUUAUUGUUAGAGUUAAUCUUGACAUGUGUGUAUGUGCAUGUGUGCAUUGCAUGUUAGUGGUCUAGAGAUGGCCGGGUCGAUGCGUCUGUUCUGUGCUGGAGUGAGUCCAGCAGUUUGUUUUGGUCAGGUCGUGGUGGCUAGAGCCAUUCUAGGAGAGGAUCAAGUCAAGUUGUUAGCUGAACUCGGCUGGGUAGUGUUUGGCCGUUGAGGAUAGGCUGUACUAGUGGUGGGCAUGGCCGUGCAUAUAGCUAGCGAUUAGUUACACUAGUAGAAAACCACCCAUUAGUCCCGGUUCGUAAGGGCCUUUAGUCUCGGUUCAGGAACCGGGACUAAUGGGUCGUUACUAAUACCUCCACCCAUUAGCCCCGGUUCAAACACGAACCGGGACCAAUGUGCCUCCACGUGGCCCUGUGCGGCGAGCCCAGUCAGGGGGCCUUUGGUCCCGGCUGGUGGCUCCAACCGGGACCAAAAGGCAUCCACGCGUCUGCAUUCUAGUGGUUUCUGGUUUUUGUUUUUUUUUUGAAAGGAGGGGGGUUGGGGGUUUUGGGGAGUUAAUUUAGGUGUUUCGUAUAUUGUGUUAACUAGCUAAUUAAUAGAGAGAAGUGUCCUCUCUUAUGUCCGUGCUUGGUCGACGCUACGUAGUAUAUAUACAUAAGUAAUCGAGAGAACCAUUCAGUACAGAAGUUCGUCAUGCAUACCGAGAGAAGUGAUCGAUCGACCUCUCCUUCUCCGAGAGAUUGGUCGAACAACAAGUUUUUUACUGGCUACAUACAUGUACAAUAUGUAUAAGAUCUCUUAAUUACAAACCCAUAGCAUUUGAAAUCAACUUCCACAUGGUAUUCUCCGGCUUUACUGAUGACGUGUUCAAGAAAGAAUCCCGCUAAUUCCUCUUGAAUUGCUUUCAUGCGAUCUGGUUCUAGGAGUUCACCCCGCAUCUGCCACGUCUAAUUAAUUUGAAGAAGGGGGUUAAUUAAUACAUAUAUAUGAAUGAAACUCAACAGAAAAUGAUGGUGUAAUAAAAUGAAAUUGUGAAUAUUAUUGCUUACGCACUUCAUAUUGUCUUCUAGAGUAGCCCCGCUUGUUUCUCAAAGUUGCGUUGUGGAUGAACUCGCACACGUAGUAUCCACAAAAAUCAUUCCCUUCCUCCUGUCACAAGCACUUUACGAGAAACAGAGGUCAAUCAAACUGAUAAUGAAGCAUUAUAAAUGGCAUUGAUGAAAGUAUAGCUAUAGAAUCAACGGGAGAUGCACGCAACUAGCUAGCCAGUAGUACUUACUUUCGGGUAUACAUAUCGCAGCUCCUUCGGCAGUCCCGGAGCUUGUGCGGUGAACUGUUUCCGAACCCUGCAAGACAAAGAAAAUAAUUAUUAUUACUUGAGAUAUCAGGAAAUGAACAAAAAGUUGCCGAUAUGGUGCGAUAAUGAUCGAUUGAACUUACUUGCUGAGCAUUUCAGUCAUGUCCACAUAGGUGCUGGGAUCUUUCCGUCUCGAGUCUAAGACGGUUACUAGUCCACGCUCAAGCUUAAUCUCCAGAAGAAUAUAGUGGUACCUGCGCACGCGUGCAUAACUCAUCAAUUACAUUAACCUCGCUCGAGUAAUAAGGGAAACCGAAUAUGCACACGACAGUAACACUCACGGGCCGUUGUAAGGAAAGAGUAUGGUAUCUUUGUUUUGAUUUUUGAUCAACGAUUGUAGCAAGUUGUCCUCGGCCUCUUCGACGUUCUUUUCAACCAGAAAUACAUCUAUGAUAUUUGUGUUAAUGAACCCAAUAUCAUAAAUUUUUUGUUUUUUGCACUCGACGAUCUUCAAUCUGCAUAAUAUAUUGAGGAUAAUUAAUUAUAAAUACAUGCAAUGAAAGAUCCGAGCUAUAUAUAGAGACUUAAUGUCAGAAAUAGUACUUACAUGCAGUAGCAAAAGACCAUUAAUUUAUCGAGGGCCUUUUGAUUGAAGAACUCAAAGAACUCCUCAAAUGGAACACACAACAGAUCAUUUGAAAUGAGGUCGUGCUCCUCUUUAAUAUUCAAAUACAAACUGUUCGUCCCCUCAGACUCUCUGCAGGUUUUCAUGUACCAAUUAUGGAAUCUUCGCAUCAUUAUUGUCAGAGAUUUUUCAUCUUUGACGAGAGGCUUCCCGUACUCGUAUCUGAAUACGUCCACCUCCAUGAAAUCAGGAAGUGCAUCGUCAGGCAGGUAAUCUUCAAGAUUGCCAUAACCGGCCACCGUCCCCGGAGGAUUAGACACAUUGAGCGGGGGGCACGAUUGCUGUGCUUGUUCGCCGAGCUGGGCAAUUUUUUUCCCCUUUGCUCGUUGUUCUUUUGACCUUUUAUCAUUGACAGUAGUUCCCGACCGCUUGGCUUGGAGAUAUGUCUGUUCAGUAAUGCGCUCAUAGUUGGUUCUCGGCGGAGACUUUGGUGGUUUCCUCAGGGCAUCGAGAGUGCGCUUUGCUUUCACCGGAUCUACCUUCUCCUCCGGAGGUGGAUGUCUCUUUGCUUUCACCCCUUCAAAGAACUCCUUCACGUGGGCCUGCACGAUCGUAUUGUUUUCCUCCUUGGUCCUCUCGUACGGUAACUUCUCUAGAGGCUUUAGAGGUGGACCGUAUCUGUAUUGCCUCUCUCUUCUUGUGCUGCUAGACGCCGGAGCAGACGGAGCGGCUGUGGCGUCUGUCUUCUUCCGUGCUUGCUUAUGAGGCGGAGGAGAAGGACUACGACGCGCCGGAGCAGCCGGGGCGGCGGCGGGUCUCUUCCGCCCUUGCUGGCGAGGCGGAGAGGAGGAGGCGGAGUGCCGCCACAUGCCGGAGAAGGAGGCGGAGUGCCGCCAUGCGUGCCCUGAUCGUCACUCGCCGGAGGAGGAGGCGGUGGAGGAGGCGGAGUGCCGCCACGCGUGCCCUGAUCGUCACUCGCCGGAGGAGGACGCGGUGGAGGAGGCGGAGUGCCCUGACUCGCUGAAAGAGGAGGAGGAGGCGGAGGCGUCCAGUUCAGAAGGUUGAUGAGCUCCUUCUGCCAUAGGCAUGGAGUCUUCAGAGCAGAACCCAGCCUAGUCUCCCCUUCACCGGUAGUGUGCUCAAGCACGAGGUCCUCAAAUCCCUCCGUUAUUUCAUCCACCAUCACCUUAGCAAAUCCUUCUGGAAUUGGCUGGCAGUGAUAAGUUGUGCCGGGUCCACUAGGAUAAACUUGGCCAACAGCCGCCUUGACCUUCAAAUUCAUCCAUCACACAAUAAUGUGGCAAUUUUGAGACUCCGUGAUACCAUCCACGGGAUAGCUGGCAGGAGCCGUCAAGACAUGCUCCGGCUGAAGCAGCUCAGUGGAAGCCACGCUGCUUCUCUGCUGAGAUGGCGGGGUAGCUUCGGGGGAAGCUUCGGCAGGUCGUUUGUUGUGAUCUGCUGCUUCUUGUUCCUCUAGCCCCAUUACCCUUUCGUGCAGCGCCUGCAUUUGGUCCUGCUCCAGUUUCUUCCUCCUCUCGUAGGCUUUGUAAACGCCUGCGUCCAGAAAACCAACCUUCCACGGAAUGGAGCCUGGCGUGCCUCGUGUCCGUCCAGGGUGCUCGGGAUUCCCAAGGGCCAUUGUGAGCUCGUCCUUCUCCCUGUUUGGAAGGAACGUCCCUCGUUGUGCUGCAUCGAUAUAGUGUCGAAGGUUCUUGACUGGUGUUUGCAGUUGCUCGUCCGUCCACUGACGCUUCCCUGUUACAGGGUCCAAGGUUCCGCCAGCCCCGAAGACCCAAGUCCGGCAACGGUCUGGCCAGCGCAUUGUCUCUGGUUCGAUUCCUUUUUCAAGCAGAUCAUGCUCAGCCUUGGACCACUUAGGCCGGGCUUUGAGGUAGCCACCUGACUCCGUGCGAUGGUGAAGCUUCUUCUUCGCAGCAUUUUUCUUGUUUGUCUCCGACAUCGUCUUACUCUUUUCCGAUGUCUUGUGGGCCACAAAUGCGGGCCAGUGAUCUUUGAUCUUCUCAUAUUUGCUGAUGAAUUCUGGUGUCUUUUUUUUCUCGAGAAACUGGUUCAGCUCUUUCCUCCACCUCCUCAUUAGGCUUGCCAUCUUCUUAAGAGCACAAGACUUGAUUAAUUGCUCUUUAACUGGCUUCUCCGGAUCCUCCUCUGGCGGUAGGGUGAAAUUUGCCUUCAGCUCAGUCCAAAGAUCUUCUUUCUGCAUAUCAUUGACAUAAGACACCUCAGGGUCUUCAUCCUUAGCAGGCUUAUACCAUUGCUGGAUGCUGAUCGGGAUCUUGUCCCUAACAAGAACCCCGCACUGAGCAGAAAAUGCCUUCCUUGUCCGGAUGGGUUCAAUCGGUUCGCCGUCGGGCGCGAUUUCUAUGAUCUCAAACUUUUCAUCCGAGAUCAACUUUUUCUUCGGGCCUCGUCUCCUUACCGAAGUUGUGCUCGAUCCGGAGGGCUAGAAAUUAUAAGGAAGAAAGACGACAGUAAUUAAUAUGUGUACAUAUACCAAAACAAUGGAUGCAUCAAUUAACUAGUCAGCACGGGCUUAACUAAUAUAUAUAUACCUGGCCGGACUCGGUUCGGUGACCGGAGCAGUCAGCACGGUCUCCUUGUACCUCCAUUGUGUCACCGGAGCCAUCAUGAACAUAGUCCUCCUCUUGUACCGGCAUUAAUGGGUCGAAGCCAUCAUAAACAUAGCCCUCUUCUUCAUCCAGUCCUUCCAGCUGACCAUCGGUGUCGAUGAGAAAUGACGCAACAUCAUCACUUCCAUUUGCGAUUAUGUCCCCCAACAUCGCUUCUGUUUCUUCGUCUCGGGAGUGCUCCAUAGUUUCUGCAAAUAUUUACAACAUGUCAAUUAUUAUUCAAACAUGGUACAAAUGGAUAUAUAUAUAUAUAUAUAUAUAUAUAUAUAUAUAUAUAUAUGAAAAUGGAUUGGUACUCCUAGGAGUACAUACUCUCACCUACACCCGUCAUCGUUGGAAACAUUCAUCCCGCUAACUACUAAAAAAAGAGCUAACUAACUACGGAUAAAGCCUUUGGAUUUAAAAAUUAGUUGAACCGCUUCCUUUUUUUUCAGCUCUCGUAGGCGUGCCUUCCAGGGAUUCCAUUUGAAACGGCGUUCUCAUCUCUUGCCAGCACCCAUGAACAUAAAAAAACAGAGCAUCGGCUCGCCUCCGCCCCGCCGACUGACCGGAAGACUUGGUCGACAUGGCCGACGAUGAUCCCCGUGCUUCUUCCCUCGCAAACUAGGCUUCAACCACCACGUCCAUCAAUCAGAGGAAGAUUGAUUCAUCAUCUGUAGUUUGCGAGGGUACGUGCAAUUGAUGUUUCCCGAUUUUUCUGUUCGGCUACCACAACCGUGUUCAUGUUCCCGCUGACCCCUUGAUCCAUUCCUGUCCAGUAUGUCAUCGUCCGAGAAGAAAAUAGGACGGAGAUGAUUGAUCGGCCAGAUUGAUCGGCCAAGUCUACUAGUACCACUGGUGGAAAAAAGGCCUUUGGUCGCGGUUCGCAACUGCCAUUAGUCGCGGUUGCGCAACCGCGACCAAAUAAGCGCGACUAAAGCCCCCCACCUUUAGUCGCGGCUGCUUAAGAACCGCGACUAAAGGCCCGUCCAUGUGGGCGCCAGGCGGCCGUCGGGACGGAGGACCUUUAGUCGCGGUUCUUCUGGCCAACCGCGACUAAAGGCCGCCACAGGUUUAGGGUUUUAGCCCCCCCCCUAAACCUGUUUUCUGUUUAAUUUGUAUUGUUUUAUUUCUUUUGUGCUUUAUUUUAAUUUUGAAGGAGUUUCAUAUAUUCUACGGUACUACAUACAUGCAUAUGAAUGUACAAUUUCAAAUAAAUUUGAAAUUAGAACCAAAAAGAAUUCAAGAGGAAUAUACAAUAUAUAUUCAAUAUCAUCGGAUGACCAUAUACAAUUUUGAACAAGUUUCCAUACAUGAUUUAAUGCAUAUAAAGUUCUACGUCCUCGUAAUAGUGUUCUCCUUUAGGAUGGAGGACUUCCCUGCUGAACCAUCCAGCUAGUUCCUCUUGAAGUGGUCGGAAGCGAGCUUCUGGACUAAGCAUCCACCGGAGGUUAUUCCUCUGAGCAUUGGUAUCACUCGGAACCCGCUCAGAGGUGUAUCUCCGGAUCAUCUCACAGACAUAGUAUCCACAUAGAUUGGUCUCCGGUGGCUGAAUAUCCCCAGCAUUCUUAGCCACUGACCUUUUGAAUUCUAGCUCUUUUUUGAAUUCACCGACCUUUGUAUCUACGAACCGUCUCCAAACCCUACGAGGCAAAGAAAAUUAAAUGAACAAGAGAGUUAUUAGUUACUUGAUAUUAGGAAAUGAACGAAAUAGGCCGAUUGAUAUAGAGCGCAAAUGAAUGAAAAUAAUUACUUCUGCAGCAUUCUUCUCAUGCCGCCCCAAAGCUUUGGAUCCAUAUUCACAGAGUCGUGGACGAGACAUUCUGAGGUGUUAACUUUAAUUACUAGCAGAAUCCAGUGGAACCUGCGGACACGAUACAUGCACAGUACGUCAUGCAUAACUCAUCGAUUAGCCGGCCACAUACCAUGCAUGGAGUAAACAAAAGAGAAUGUGCUCAAGACACAAACACUCACCCAAAAUGGUAAGGAAAUAGAAUAUCACUUUUGAGUUCCUGCUUUGUAAGAAACUGCCACAGGUCUACCUCCACGUCGGCGGGGUGACGCUCCAACACAUGUCCAUUAACGAUGUGUGGGUCAAUGAACCCAACAUCAUGGAUGUUCCUUACUCUGCAUUCCUUAAUCUUCAUUCUGCAUGUAUAAUAGCGGACACAACAAUAUAGUUAGGACAUAUAUAUAGUGCAGGCAAUAUGAACGAGAUGGGGUAGAAAUUAAUAAAUCACUUACAGAACGUAGCAACUGAUGAUAGAUUUAUCGAGCUCGCGCAGAUUGAAAAGCUGGAACAAUUCACUCAGUUCAAUUUGUACAUAGUAAUGUUUGAAGUGAUGCUCAUGUCUAACUUCCGCAUAAAUAUAUUCUUUGGCGUUUUUAUUUUUUAUGUAACCCUUGUACCAUUUCAGCAGACCUUUCAUUUGUGGAGGUAGAUCCUUUUCCUGCGCAGGCUCGACGAGAGGCCCAUUCUUGACAUAUGUAAUUACUACCUCCUUCACUGGCGCCUCAUCAAGGCCUAACAGUUCACGAAGAGUAAUACCUAAGUUGGCCGCUUGUUCUAUGGCACUCGUUACAGUCAAUCCCUGUGCUGCCGCAGCUUGUAUGAUCUCGGGGGCAUCCGGACAGAAGGCUUCCACUAUAAGCGGGGCAAUCGAUUGUUUACUUUGUUCCCCGAGCUGGGCAACUUGUUUCCCGCUUUUUUUACUUUCGGCCUUCUCCCGCUCUUUGUUCUCCUUGAACAUGAGUGCCUGCCUGCGAAGUUCACGUGCAUAGUCGUUAGGCAGAUUCUUCGCGGCUUGGGACGGUGUGCUCAAAAAUGACUUAGCCCACUUGUUUUGCUCAUCAGAAAAUACUGGCUUGGGCUCGAGCUCUCUUUUCUUCUUGCAGUCCGCCUUCCAUUUCUCCAAAUCAGCAGCCGCGGCCGCGUCGACUUCCUCGGCACUACGUUCCCAAGGCCUUGUGGGGAGAGGCUUCAGUGAUGGCUCCGGUACCUUUGUGGUCUUAGGUACAUAAGGGUCCGGGUUAAUAAUCCAGGACUGCUUCUGCUUCUUUGCCGGAGGUGGAUUGGGGGGCGGCGUCUGAUCACCCGCCGGACGAGGACUGGGGGGCGGCGGCUGAUCACCCGCCGGACGUUGUGGACUGGGGGGCGGCGUCGGCUGACGUGACGGAGGUGUAGGUGAACCGCCACCACCACCACCACCACCACCACCGCCACCGCCACCACCACCACCGUAGGGGGGUGGACUUGUUGUCCUUGGCGCCUCGCCUGGAAACUUGAUAAACUUCUUUUGCCAUAGAAUGAAAUGGCGCUUGACAUCUCCAAGUCUUUUCUCCCCUUCAGGUGUAGCAAUGUCAAUCUCCAGGUCCUCAAACCCUUGGACUAUGUCCUCCACCGUGACACGAGCAUAGCCAUCUUGAAUGGGGUUGUUGUGGUGGAGUGCUCCAGGUAAACAUGGUAAAGCACUGCCGAUGGCUACCUUCAUGGACAUGUUCCCGAUAGGAUAAUACAGAUGACAUUCUUCUCCGCUGCUGGCUUCCGAGAUCUGCUGGAUGAUCUUCAUGCUGCACCCGAGCUGCAUCUCUUUCGGCUACUAGUACACUCAUGGUUUUCUUCAUCACAUCCAUUUCCGAUGCCAACCGCGCCACAACAUCUGCUUCCCGAUCCACCUUUCUCUUACGGCUUCUGUAACCGUACGGGUCAUCGUUCUGGGGGAACCCUAUUUUCCACGGAAUGUGCCCCAUGCCUCGUACACGUCCUCCGUGUUCAGGAUUCCCGAGGGAUUUUGUCAGCGCGUCGUUCUCUCUGUUGAACUUGAUCUUCCCCUGUUGAGCAUCCCUCAUUGCGUUAAUAAGGGCUUGGGUGGGUUUAAUUAAUUUGCCCCGGUAAACACACUCCCCUGUCUCCGGGUUCAGCGUUCCCCCAUGCCCGUACCACCAACUUUUGGCCCUUGGGUCCCAUCCCUCCGUACCUGCACGGAUUCCUCGCGCCCUCAGCUCGUUCUCCAUCUUCUCCAACCUAGGCACCCAAAUGCGAUACCCUCCUGGCCCCAUAACAUGAUUGUACUCCUUCUUAGCCGCAUUUUCCUUAUUUUUUCGAUAUUUGAAUGAACUGCUCCGAUUUCUUUUGCUUCACAAAUUCUGGCCAAUCAUGUUUCAGUUUCUCAUAUUGUCCUUUGAAAUCCGGAGUCUUGUUCUGCUUGACAAAGUCAUGGGCUAGAUUUUGCUUGAAUUUCCGGAAUGCGUCGGCCAUCUUAUGAAGAGCGAACUGUUUGACUAGCCUCCUCCUCUCCUUGUUUUCUUCAAUCUUGUUACCCUCCUCAUCGAAUUUGUUGUAUUCCGGAGGUAGAACGAAAUGUUCCAUAAGCUUCUUGAAGCAAUCUUUUUUUGUUCUCUUAUCGACAAAAGUGAAACCAUCAAUUCGUGCCUUCUUUGGCUCAUUCCACUCCUGGACGGUGAUCGAGACGUUGUCUCUAACAAUGGCUCCGCAUUGGCUGACAAACUUGGUGGCGUUCUUGCGGGGCUCCAGCGGCCUGCCGGUUGCACUGUCGACAACCUCGAUGGUGCAUGUUUCUCCUUGUUUCAUCGUCUUGGUUGCGCCACGCUUUGACGACGUACUCGAUUGUUUCGACGAUCCGGCCGAGGGCUAAAAUAAGAAAGAGUCGCGCGCGUUAGUACACACAUAUUUAUUCAAAUCAGUUAGUUUGUAUCACCAGAGGCUCAAUGUAUAUAUAUACCUCGGCGCCGGAGGUGGUUGCUACAUCCAUUUGAAGAUCGUCGUUUAUCGACGUUUGUUCGGCAUCAUCUUGCUGACGGCGCCCUUCAUCUUCACCGUCAAGGUUCAGAUAAGAAGAGAUAUCAUCUUCUUCUUCUCCGGUCGGCACAUAUAGAAUAUCGCCGUUUAUGAUGCCGAACAUAUGUGCUUCACCGUCCGGAUCAUAGUUGUCCAUAAUCGGGUCAGCUCUAUCGUCCGCCAUUAUGUCAGUCCUGAAAACAUGUAGUAAAAACAAAUUAAUUAAGUGAAGAAGGGGGGCGGUGGCGGUGGCGGUGGCGAAAGGGUGGUGGCAAAAGGAGGGGGCGAGGAAGGGGUGGGAGAGGGUGUCGCGGUAGAGCGCGAGACGGGGCGGCACGAACGUCAUUUUGUGAAGAAACUUUGCAAGCAAUUAAACAUUUGUCAAUGUUUGGUAAAAAAAAUACAGGUAGCGUCUGUUGCUCCUAAUGAUUGGAAACGGUUUCCAAUUGCCAACGAGGAUUUAGAUCGACUACUACUACUAGUUGCAUUGCUCCCCAUCGGGACGAUGUUGCUCCUAAUCCCCUCCUUUGGAAUCUAUAGUACUAGUGCAUACUAGCUGGCCGUUGACCGUUGUUGCUCAUCGCGUUUUCUCAAAGUCCACUGAUUUUGCUCAGGGCCAGUUCGGAGAUUUUGCUGGUCCACUGAUUUUGGAUCAACGCCGGGAUGGCAUGGGCGCUCGGCGAUGAUGCGAAGUAGACUUGCACAGGCAACGUGAUGUACAUGGAUGUGUCAGUACGGUACGCUCGGCGAUGCCACGGUAUGGAUGACUUCUCGAGUGGAGAUUGGAGAACCAAGUUCGCCGGUGAAACGUCGGCUCCUGAUCAGAUCUGGGGGUCGCGAACUAGCGAUUGGAUCUCGGAAGGGAGUUAGGAAAGCGAACAGACGUGCGUUCAAGGCUACAACUUUUUUUUUCAGGAUCUUGAAAACAGCUACGCGUUCAAGGCCCGGUCCUGAUUUUGCUCAUCUACCCGGGGCGGCGUUCGCACUGCGCGAGGGCCGACUCCGCGGGGUGCUGCCGCGUCGCCUCGUCGACGCUGAGCGAGUUGGCGAGGACCGUGUACAUGGUCGGCACGUCGCCGGCGGAGAGGGUCAUGCUGUCCCCGACCAGCGGCGGCCACGGACGGGGAGGGCGGCGGCGGUGACUGGGAAGGAAUGAUAGGAGAGGAAGGAAGGUCGCGUGGGGUUGAGGGCGGNNNNNNNNNNGGCGAGGAGGGACUCCUUGGCGGAGAGGCGCUCCGUCUCGCGGGCGUAGCUGGCAGCGGGCUCCCACGCCUGCGCGUACACGUCGUCCCGCCGUGCGUUCAAGGCUACAACUUUUUUUUUUAGGAUCUUGAAAACAACUACGCGUUCAAGGCCGGCCCGGUCCUGAUUUUGCUCAUCUACCCGGGGCGGCGUUCGCACUGCGCGAGGGCCGACUCCGCGGGGUGCUGCCGCGUCGCCUCGUCGACGCUGAGCGAGUUGGCGAGCACCGUGUACAUGGUCGGCACGUCGCCGGCGGAGAGGGUCAUGCUGUCCCCGACCAGCGGCGGCCACGGACGGGGAGGGCGGCGGCGGUGACUGGGAAGGAAUGAUCGGAGAGGAAGGAAGGUCGCGUGGGGUUGAGGGCGGGCGAGCGAGGCGGCAGUACCGAGGCUGGCCGGCGGCGCGCGCGCGGUGGGCGAGGGCGACGGCGGGCGGCGUCGAGGGCGAGGGCGACGGCGGGCGGCGUCGAGGGCGCGGCAGAGACGAACAGGCGAGAAACGGCGGGCGGCGUCGAGGGAGCCUUGUAUUUAUAGCCCCCCCNNNNNNNNNNNNNNNNNNNNNNNNNNNNNNNNNNNNNNNNNNNNNNNNNNNNNNNNNNNNNNNNNNNNNNNNNNNNNNNNNNNNNNNNNNNNNNNNNNNNNNNNNNNNNNNNNNNNNNNNNNNNNNNNNNNNNNNNNNNNNNNNNNNNNNNNNNNNNNNNNNNNNNNNNNNNNNNNNNNNNNNNNNNNNNNNNNNNNNNNNNNNNNNNNNNNNNNNNNNNNNNNNNNNNNNNNNNNNNNNNNNNNNNNNNNNNNNNNNNNNNNNNNNNNNNNNNNNNNNNNNNNNNNNNNNNNNNNNNNNNNNNNNNNNNNNNNNNNNNNNNNNNNNNNNNNNNNNNNNNNNNNNNNNNNNNNNNNNNNNNNNNNNNNNNNNNNNNNNNNNNNNNNNNNNNNNNNNNNNNNNNNNNNNNNNNNNNNNNNNNNNNNNNNNNNNNNNNNNNNNNNNNNNNNNNNNNNNNNNNNNNNNNNNNNNNNNNNNNNNNNNNNNNNNNNNNNNNNNNNNNNNNNNNNNNNNNNNNNNNNNNNNNNNNNNNNNNNNNNNNNNNNNNNNNNNNNNNNNNNNNNNNNNNNNNNNNNNNNNNNNNNNNNNNNNNNNNNNNNNNNNNNNNNNNNNNNNNNNNNNNNNNNNNNNNNNNNNNNNNNNNNNNNNNNNNNNNNNNNNNNNNNNNNNNNNNNNNNNNNNNNNNNNNNNNNNNNNNNNNNNNNNNNNNNNNNNNNNNNNNNNNNNNNNNNNNNNNNNNNNNNNNNNNNNNNNNNNNNNNNNNNNNNNNNNNNNNNNNNNNNNNNNNNNNNNNNNNNNNNNNNNNNNNNNNNNNNNNNNNNNNNNNNNNNNNNNNNNNNNNNNNNNNNNNNNNNNNNNNNNNNNNNNNNNNNNNNNNNNNNNNNNNNNNNNNNNNNNNNNNNNNNNNNNNNNNNNNNNNNNNNNNNNNNNNNNNNNNNNNNNNNNNNNNNNNNNNNNNNNNNNNNNNNNNNNNNNNNNNNNNNNNNNNNNNNNNNNNNNNNNNNNNNNNNNNNNNNNNNNNNNNNNNNNNNNNNNNNNNNNNNNNNNNNCGAGGAAGACCAAUCGGCUUAAGGUCAGGAACAAAGUCAACACAAAACUCAAUUACCUCCUCAUUUCCAUAGCCCUUGGCGAUGCUUCCUUCUGGCCUAGCACGGUUACGAACAUAUUUCUUUAAUACUCCCAUGAACCUCUCGAAGGGGAACAUAUUGUGUAGAAAUACAGGACCGAGAACGAAAAUCUCUUCGACUAGGUGAACCAGGAGGUGCGUCAUAAUAUUGAAGAAGGAUGGCGGGAACACCAACUCGAAACUGACAAGACAUUGGAUCACAUCGUUCUGUAACCAUGGUAGAACUUCUGGAUUGAUUACCUUCUGAGAGAUUGCAUUGAGGAAUGCACAUAGCUUCACAAUGGCUACUCGAACAUUUUCCGGCAGGAGCCCCCUCAAAGCAAUCGGAAGCAAUUGCGUCAUAAUCACGUGGCAGUCGUGAGACUUCAGGUUUUGGAACUUUUUCUCCGCCAUGUUUAUUAUUCCUUUUAUAUUGGACGAGAAUCCAGACGGGACCUUCAUACUGCUCAGGCAUUCAAAAAAGAUGACCUUCUCUUCUUUGGUCAGAGCGUAGCUGGCACGACCUUGAAACCAUUCCGGAUGCCGGUCAUCAGGGUCUUUCAAACGUUGCUGGUCCUGCCGUGCUUCCUUUGUAUCAUUUGUCUUCCCAUACACGCCCAAGAAGCUUAGGAGGUUCACGCAAAUAUUCUUCGUAACGUGCAUCACGUCGAUUGCAGAGCGGACAUCUAGGACUUUCCAAUAUUCUAGCUCCCAGAAUAUAGAUUUCUUCUUCCACAUGGCUGCGUUCCCGUCUGCUCCCUUCGGAACUGAUUGUCCGCCAGGACCCUUUCCAAAGAUGACUUUCAAAUCCUUGACCAUAUCAAAUACCUCAGCACCAGUGCAUUCCGCAGGCUUCGGCCGGUGAUCUGCCUUGCCGUUGUAAUGCUUGCCUUUCUUUCUUACUGGAUGAAUUUUCGGAAGAAAUCGAUGAUGCCCAAGGUACACGUUCUUCUUACAAUUUGGCAAAUGUACACUUUCAGUCUCAUGUAAGCAGUGCGUGCAUGCAUUGUAUCCCUUAUUUGACAGUCCCGAAAGGUUACUAAGAGCAGGCCAAUCGUUGAUGGUUACGAAAAGCAACGCUCGUAGGUCAAAUUCCUCUUGUUUGUGCUCAUCCCACACACGGACACCACCCCACAGCUGUAAAAGUUCAUCAACUAAUGGCCUUAGGUACACAUCGAUGUCGUUGCCGGGUUGCUUCGGACCUUGGAUGAGCACUGGCAUCAUAAUGAACUUCCGCUUCAUGCACAACCAAGAAGGAAGGUUGUAGAUGCAUAGAGUCACGGGCCAGGUGCUAUGGCUGGAGCUCUGCUCGCCAAAAGGAUUCAUGCCAUCCGUACUUAGAGCAAAUCUUAUGUUCCUUGCGUCAGCUGCAAAAUCUUUGAACCAUCUGUCGAUCUUUCUCCAUUGCGUUCCAUCUGCGGUGUGUCUCAACUCCCCGUCCGACUUACGGUCCUCUUUGUGCCAUCGCAACAACUUGGCAUGCUCUUUGUUCCUGAACAGACGUUUCAACCGUGGUAUUAUAGGAGCAUACCACAUCACCUUGGCGGGAACCCUCUUCCUGGGUUUCUGGCCCUCAACAUCGUCACCAGGGUCAUCGCCUCUGAUCUUAUAACGCAAUGCAGUGCAUAUCGGGCAUUCAUUCAAAUUCUCGUAUUCACCGCGGUAGAGGAUGCAGUCGUUGAUGCAUGCAUGUAUCUUCAGAACCUCUAAACCUAGAGGGCAGACAACCUUCUUUGCUUCGUACGUACUGGCGGGCAACUCGUUAUCCUUUGGAAACAUACUCUUCAACAUUUUCAGCAAGUUUUCAAAUGCCGAGUCAGCUACACCUGCCUCUGCCUUCCAUUUCAGCAAAUCCAGUGUGCAGCCCAGCUUUUUCAGACCAUCAUCGCAUCCGGGGUACAGCGCCUUUCUGUGAUCCUCUAACAUGCGAUCCAAAUUCUCCCUCUCCUUUUCAGUUUCGCAGCGUCUCCGUGCAUCAGCAAUGGUCCGACCAAGAUCAUCAACGGGAUCAUCACGUGCCUCUUCUUCACCUUCCCCUUCACCUUCAGCAUCCUCCAUGAAAGUAUCACCGAGAUGAGCAAGAUAGCUUUCAUCGAUGAAAUCAUCCCCUUCUUCAUCUUCUUCCAUUAUAACCCCUCUUUCUCCAUGCUUGGUCCAACAAUUAUAGCUUGGCAUGAAACCGUGCCGAAGCAGAUGCAUGUGAACAUCUCUUGAGGAAGAGUAACCCUUCUGAUUCUUACAGAUAACACAUGGACAGAUAACAAAAAACCCCUGCUUGUUCGCAUUAGCCACUACGAGGAAAUCUUUCAAACCCGUAGUGAACUCGCCGGAGAGUCGGUUACCGUACAUCCAUUGCCGAUUCAUCUGCAUUAUUAUAAUAUAAAAUAUAUAAUUAACCAUCAUGCAUUUGUUAAACUAACUAGCUACAAACAAUAUAAAUUAAACAAUGAACUGCACACAUGCAUAUUUUAUCAAUGACACAUCAAAGGUUCAUCAAGUUGCUAACCGCGAUCGAGGAGUGUGGCUCCAACACUUCAUGUCAUGUUUGUUUCAUGCUCUUGGGGCAUUUCAUCAAACACCUUAUGUGCAUAAGAGGAACCAAAAGCAAACCUACACCCACUUGUGAAGAGAAUGGCUCCAAAUGGCUAAGUGUUGGCUGCUGGAUGGGUAUAUAUAGGGGAGGGGCUUUAGUUGCGGUUGGCUUGGCAAACCGUGACUAAAGGUGCCCGAAGGCCUUUAGUCGCGGUUGUCCUGGCCAACCGCGACUAAAGACCCUCACGUGCGCCAGCUGGCCACCGAGCGCCCUGAGCCCAGGCCUUUGGUCGCGGUUCACCUCCAGAACCGCGACUAAAGGUCCCAUUAGUCGCGGUUCCUACAGCUUCGCGACUUAUGGGGCUGGACGGAAGCUUGUUUUUCCACCAGUGUACUAGGUAAGGUGUCGUUCCAGUCAAAUUGAUGAAUUCAUCUUUUGUUACCUUUGUUAUAGGAAUAUAGGCUGCAUUUAUUAGUCAUAUCGAGCUCUCAAGGAGUCAAGAUCUUGUUAACUUACUAAUAAUUUCUAUAUACCUGCAGCGUUAUGGCCUAUGGUGCAGGGCAAAGACAACAAGGACGACAUGCGGCGGCGACGUGGCCAUGGUGAAGCUACUUCGUCCGGCUACCCCAUGGUUGGCGUGUCUGCCGUCCUCUCAAUCUAUCACACGUACGUCCGGUGCAUGCAUGGUGUCGGGCCGAAGAGCACACAAAUCUACAUCCAGGCCCUGGGCACUAGCAACCGCUGAUGCACUUAGCCACUUACCAAUGUAUUCCUAUUGUACGUAUAUAAUAAAGUGGUUAGUACGUCGACGUAGAAAUAGUUAGUAGCUUGCUUUGCACUCACACAAUCGAGUCAUGAUUGUUACUGAUGAUCAAAAUUUUAUGUAUUUUUUAUGCCGGAUGGGUUUACUACUUCUUCUUCGGUUGUAUAUAAAGCUUCCAAAAAAUUAGUAUAUAAUCCUCCAGAAUAAAUCAGUAUAUAGUCCUCCAAAAAAAUGAGUAUAUACACUUUGUAACGCAGCAUAUACCCCAUAAAAAAUGUAGUAUAACGCUGCAGAAAUAAGACAUACUCCUUUUCUAGUUGCAUAUACCCAAUCACAAAACUACACUGAAAUAAUUAGUAGUACAUACUCCUUUUCUAUUUUGGAAAGGAACGUCCAUUUCCCUCUUCAACAAGUGCUUUAUUUUUCUAGGGGUAGCCUUGUGUUUUUACUGCCAUGCGACGACAUUACAAAAUGUAUUACACCCAUUAUUCAUCUAAUUUUUUAUAUACCCUUUUAUGCAUACUUUGAAUUUAUCACUCAUUUGGGCGACCAGCCCGCUCUCUCAUUGCAGCGACUCGACUCUCACAUAAAGCCAGUAUAUACUCACGUAAAAAAAAGCAGUAUAGACUCCCUUACUGAAAAAGAACUAUAUACUCCCCUACCAAAAAAAGUAGUAUAUGCUCCAUUACCAAAAAGGCAGUAUAUACUCAUAUACAAAAGGUGGUAUAUACUGUCUUCCCAAAGUAGUAUAUAUCUUUUUCCUUGCGUUAGAGAAGUAGUAUAACCAGAACAGAUAGUUCAUACUUGUGUGCUGAAAAAAGUAGUAUAUAAAUAUAUAUGUAAGAGUGAGUAUGGUAGAUAUGUAUCGGUCCUUACAAAAAAAAUCAACCACUGUUAUUGUUUAUUUGCACCGAACUAACCUUAUCUGUAUGCUAGGAUCCUUGAAUCUCUCAAUCUGUUGAUGCACAUGCAUGCGUCGGCCGGUGGAGCAAUUAGCAACUAGAUCUAAUAACUGCCAACCUGUUCAGUCCAUGGGAGUACAUACUCCUGGGAGUAUAAAAGAGGAGUCUAUAUAUAUAUAUAUAUAUAUAUAUAUAUACGGUGGCGCUAUUGUGUGCGUGAGCGCAGAUUUACUUAUCGUGCGCGCCGGUCAUUGCGUGCGCCACUCGUAUUCCUAAUGAUGGUAAAAUUCCUGGCAGAAAUAGUAAUAUAAUUUAAUUGGUUACUGCCUGCCACCACCACGGUAGCGAUUUAAUUGGUUAGGUCUACUAGUAAAAAUGCAUAGCAGAAAAAGUAAAAGAGCUAAAAGUAUUACUGUUGGAUGCAUCGGUCCCCGCUUCGACUGCCUACUAGUAAAACACCUCAUAAAAGUAGUAAUAGGAUUACCCUACACGCAUCAGCCCCUUGCCAUACUUGUGAACAGGUAAACUUCAUGUGAAGAAUAGUACUGGAUGGUAACUGUGUUACCAUAGAACGGACACUUGCUAUUAGCUAGCUACAUGGUAAUUUUAUUACCGCUAACUUUCAUCGGUUUAAUACCUAAUCAUGUUACCACUUAUUUUCUUAGUAGUAUUGGAUGGUAACUAUGUUACCACAUGACGAAAAAAUUGCUAUUAGCUAAUAGCUACACGGUAAUUGCAUUACCACUCAUGUGUAGAAGCAUGAUACACGGUCUUUUUUCCAAUUACGUUUGGUCGAAGACGCAAGGGUUUGCUAAUCGCUAAAGUGGGGUCGAAGCAGUAAUAAGUUUCCAACCGUUACCAUGUUUCUUAAGGUAUGUUACGUAUGGGCGCAAGACAUGUUCUUUAAUAGGAGCGGGACAACGGUUGCUUAGACGGAGAAUGGCGCGCAGUCUGGCCGGAGCGUAGAAUUAGACUUCUGCGCUCAGGCUUAGUUUAGCACGUCUAUAUAUAUAUAUAUAUAUAUAUAUAUAUAUAUACAUACAUGUUAGUGGCCUCGACGCUGCUUCUCUAGGGUUUGGGGUCGCCUCGACACAACGCUUCAAGGGUUUGGGGUGGCCUCGACGACAACGUUUUUUUAACUUGAUAAAUUUGGGUGGCCUCGAGAGAGUUAAUUUGUCGGGUAGGGGCGCGGCGGGAGGGGGUAGGAGACCAACAUCGUUUUCUCUCUAGGGUUUGGGUGUCCUCGAGAGUUAUCGGGGAGGGGGUAUCGGUACCACCCCCUAGCUCGUGUUGAAGUUUCUUCUUUCUCCUCUAUUCCUUUCUUUCUUCUUCUCCUCUUCUUUUUCUUCUUCUCCCUCGAGAAAGGAAAAUANNNNNNNNNNNNNNNNNNNNNNNNNNNNNNNNNNNNNNNNNNNNNNNNNNNNNNNNNNNNNNNNNNNNNNNNNNNNNNNNNNNNNNNNNNNNNNNNNNNNNNNNNNNNNNNNNNNNNNNNNNNNNNNNNNNNNNNNNNNNNNNNNNNNNNNNNNNNNNNNNNNNNNNNNNNNNNNNNNNNNNNNNNNNNNNNNNNNNNNNNNNNNNNNNNNNNNNNNNNNNNNNNNNNNNNNNNNNNNNNNNNNNNNNNNNNNNNNNNNNNNNNNNNNNNNNNNNNNNNNNNNNNNNNNNNNNNNNNNNNNNNNNNNNNNNNNNNNNNNNNNNNNNNNNNNNNNNNNNNNNNNNNNNNNNNNNNNNNNNNNNNNNNNNNNNNNNNNNNNNNNNNNNNNNNNNNNNNNNNNNNNNNNNNNNNNNNNNNNNNNNNNNNNNNNNNNNNNNNNNNNNNNNNNNNNNNNNNNNNNNNNNNNNNNNNNNNNNNNNNNNNNNNNNNNNNNNNNNNNNNNNNNNNNNNNNNNNNNNNNNNNNNNNNNNNNNNNNNNNNNNNNNNNNNNNNNNNNNNNNNNNNNNNNNNNNNNNNNNNNNNNNNNNNNNNNNNNNNNNNNNNNNNNNNNNNNNNNNNNNNNNNNNNNNNNNNNNNNNNNNNNNNNNNNNNNNNNNNNNNNNNNNNNNNNNNNNNNNNNNNNNNNNNNNNNNNNNNNNNNNNNNNNNNNNNNNNNNNNNNNNNNNNNNNNNNNNNNNNNNNNNNNNNNNNNNNNNNNNNNNNNNNNNNNNNNNNNNNNNNNNNNNNNNNNNNNNNNNNNNNNNNNNNNNNNNNNNNNNNNNNNNNNNNNNNNNNNNNNNNNNNNNNNNNNNNNNNNNNNNNNNNNNNNNNNNNNNNNNNNNNNNNNNNNNNNNNNNNNNNNNNNNNNNNNNNNNNNNNNNNNNNNNNNNNNNNNNNNNNNNNNNNNNNNNNNNNNNNNNNNNNNNNNNNNNNNNNNNNNNNNNNNNNNNNNNNNNNNNNNNNNNNNNNNNNNNNNNNNNNNNNNNNNNNNNNNNNNNNNNNNNNNNNNNNNNNNNNNNNNNNNNNNNNNNNNNNNUGAAAACACUUUUUUUUGUUUUCUUUCUUGCUUUAUUUAUUUUAUUUUGUUUCUACUUGCAAUAAAAUACUUAUUGUUGUUUUUUUGUUUUGUUUUCUGCAUUAUUUAUUUUCUUUUGUUUUUUGCUUUAUUUUUUAAUUCUUUUUGCUUUUAGUUUUAGGAAAAUUAUAAACUUUCUAUUAGUGCCAUUACUUUUCAAAUUUGAAAACACUUUUUUGUUUUUUAGUUUUCUUUCUUGCUUUAUUUAUUUUAUUUUGUUUCUACUUACAACAAAAUACUUAUUGUUGCUAUUUUUAAUUAUUACGAAGGCCAAACCAUAAGACAUUAAAGCAUUUCAAAUGAACUCUGAAAAAGUUGAAAGUUGGCAUGGUAUCAUAAAUUGACCCACACAUAGCAUGUGCAUGUACAAAACGGACAAUGUUAUCAUACUCGUCAGUUACAAAGUUGGCAUGGUAUCAUCAUAAUAGUUGCGGGAGAAAGUCUUCACUUUUUCUUCGCUUGUGUCAUUUGCUUAUUGCGCCGUAACCAUGGAUAAUCUUCAUCGUUUAUCAGGAUGCUGGGGUCAGCCUUGACUUUAAAGGGAGGAAUUUCAUGAAACUUUUCAUAAUCUUCAGACAUGUCUGUCUUGUCCUCCUCUCCCACGAUGUCCCUUUUUCCUGAAAGAACUAUGUGGCGCUUUGGCUCAUCGUAUGAUGUAUUCGCUUCCUUAUCUUUUCUCUUUCUUGGUCUGGUAGACAUGUCCAUCACAUAGAUAACCUGUGCCACAUCAUUGGCUAGGACGAACGGUUCGUCAGUGUACCCAAGAUUUUUCGGAUCCACUGUUGUCGUUCCGUACUGUGGGUCUACAUGUACCCCGCCUCCUGACAGAUUGACCCAUUUGCACUUAAACAAAGGGACCUUAAAAUCAUGUCCUUAGUCAAGUUCCCAUAUGUCCACUAUGUAACCAUAAUAUGUGUCCUUUCCCCUCUCGGUUGUUGCAUCAAAGCGGACACCGCUGUUUUGGUUGGUGCUCUUUUGAUCUUGGUUAAUCGUGUAAAAUGUCUUCCCAUUUAUCUCAUAUCCUUUCCAAAUCGUAACAGUCGAAGAUGGUCCCCUGGAUAACAAGUACAUCUCAUCACAAACAGCGUUGUCACCUCUGAUACGUGCUUCCAACCAACUGCUGAAAGUCCUGAUGUGUUCACAUGUAAUUCAGUCGUCGCACUGCUCCGGGUGUUUGGAGCGCAGACUGUUCUUGUGUUCAUCCACAUACGGGGUCACCAAGGUAGAGUUCUGUAGAACUGUGUAGUGUGCUUGAGACCAAGAAUAUCUGUCCCUGCAUAUUAUUGAGUCCCUUCCAAGCAUGCCUUUUCCAGUCAGUCUCCCCUCAUACCGCGAUUUAGGGAGACCUAUCUUCUUAUGGCCAGGAAUGAAGUCAACACAAAACCCGAUGACAUCCUCUGUUUGAUGGCCCAUGGAGAUGCUUCCUUCUGGCCUAGCGCGAUGAGGGACAUAUUUCUUUAGGACUCCCAUGAACCUCUCAAAGGGGUACAUAUUGUGUAGAAAUACGGGGCCCAAAAUGACAAUCUCGUCAACUAGAUGAACUAGGACGUGCGUCAUGAUAUUGAAGAAGGAUGGUGGGAACACCAGCUCGAAACUGACAAGACAUUGCACCACAUCACUCCUUAGCCUUGGUAUGAUUUCUGGAUCGAUCACCUUCUGAGAGAUUGCAUUGAGGAAUGCACAUAGCUUCACAAUGGCUAAUCGGACGUUUUCCGGUAGAAGCCCCCUCAAUGCAACCGGAAGCAGUUGUGUCAUAAUCACGUGGCAGUCAUGAGACUUUAGGUUCUGAAACUUUUUCUUUGCCAUAUUUAUUAUUCCUUUUAUAUUCGACGAGAAGCCAGUCGGGACCUUCAUACUAAGCAGGCAUUCAAAGAAGAUUUCCUUCUCUUCUUUGGUAAGAGCAUAGCUGGCAGGACCUUCAUACUGCUUUGGAGGCAUGCCGUCUUUUUCGUGCAAAUGUUGCAGGUCCUCCCGUGCCUCAGCUGUAUCUUUUGUCUUCCCAUACACGCCCAAGAAGCCUAGCAGGUUCACGCAAAGGUUCUUCGUCACGUGCAUCACGUCGAUCGAAGAGCGGACCUCUAGGUCUUUCUAGUAGGGUAGGUCCCAAAAUAUAGAUUUCUUCUUCCACAUGGGUGCGUGUCCCCCAACGUCACUCGGAACAGCUAGUCUGCCGGGACCCUUUCCAAAGAUUACGUGUAAAUCAUUGACCAUAGCAAGUACGUGACCACCGGUACGCAUGGCGGGCUUCUUCCGGUGAUCUGCCUCGCCUUUGAAAUGCUUGCCUUUCUUUCGACAUUGAUGGUUGGUCGGAAGAAAUCGACGAUGGCCCAGGUACACAUUCUUCCUACAGCUUGCCAGGUAUAUACUAACGGUGUCAAGUAAACAGUGCGUGCAUGCGUGGUAUCCCUUGUUUGUCUGUCCUAAAAGGUUACUGAGAGCAGGCCAAUCGUUGAUGGUCACGAACAGCAACGCCUUUAGGUUAAAUUUCUCCUGUUUGUGCUCAUCCCACGUACGUACACCGUUUCCAUUCCACAGCUGUAAAAGUUCUUCAACUAAUGGCCUUAGGUACACAUCAAUGUCAUUGCCGGGUUGCUUAGGGCCUUGGAUGAGAACUGGCAUCAUAAUGAACUUCCGCUUCAUGCACAUCCAAGGAGGAAGGUUAUACAUACAUAGAGUCACGGGCCAGGUGCUGUGAUUGCUGCUCUGCUCCCCGAAAGGAUUAAUGCCAUCCGCACUUAAAGCAAACCAUACGUUCCUUGGCUCACUUGCAAACUCAUCCCAGUACUUUCUCUCAUUUUUCUCCAUUGCGACCCGUCAGCGGGUGCUCUCAACUUCCCGUCUUUCUUACGGUCCUCACUAUGCCAUCGCAUCAACUUGGCAUGCUCUCCGUUUCUGAACAGACGUUUCAACCGUGGUAUUAUAGGAGCAUACCACAUCACCACUACUAGGGAAAAGCCUAUACAUAGAAUCUUACCAGCAGCGCUCUUCAAAAUACAACGCUACUGCUACUUAGCAGCAGCGCGUGUCUGCCAAACACGCUGCUGACUUGGAAGUAGCAGUAGCGGGUGCAUCGCAUACAGCGCUACUGCUAUAGUUGCCAUGACCUUGCCCCCCCCCCCCCNNNNNNNNNNNNNNNNNNNNNNNNNNNNNNNNNNNNNNNNNNNNNNNNNNNNNNNNNNNNNNNNNNNNNNNNNNNNNNNNNNNNNNNNNNNNNNNNNNNNNNNNNNNNNNNNNNNNNNNNNNNNNNNNNNNNNNNNNNNNNNNNNNNNNNNNNNNNNNNNNNNNNNNNNNNNNNNNNNNNNNNNNNNNNNNNNNNNNNNNNNNNNNNNNNNNNNNNNNNNNNNNNNNNNNNNNNNNGCAAACGCGCUACAACUAUCCCUACCUUAUCCCCAUGCGCACGACCGGCCCUCUCACUCACACUCUCACUCUCGCCCACGUCAACCGUCGUCGUCCGUCGCCGCCGCCGCCGCCUUCGUCCGUCCGCCGCCGAGGUACUCCCCUCCUUCCGUCCCUCCUCCAUCCUCCUUGCACAUCCUCCCUCCGCCUGUGGCCGCCCCUCCUUCCUCCGCCGCUGCCCUCCUCCCUCCGCCUGCGGCCGCCCCUCCUCCCUCCUCCGACGGCAGCCCUCCUCCCACCGCCCUCGACCUCGCUGCCCCUAGCUACCUCUCCGUCGCCCCCCACCCCUGCCACUAGUUAGUACUAGAUUUAGUAGUAGUAGAUGUUAAUUUAGGGUUAGCUAGUACUAGAUGUUGCUUAGUUAGUACUAGAUUUUUAGUAGUAGUAGUGGUAGUUGAACUACUUUAGUUGUAGUUGAACUAGUUUAGUAAGUAAAUUAAUAAACGAGUUGAACUAGUUGAAUUAAUAGAACUAAUCUAUUUUUAGUAAGAUAAUUAAUAUAACUAGUUGAACUACUUUAUUUUUAGAAAGAACUAAUUUUUUUCUAUUUAUAUUAAGUUUAUAUUUAGUAAGAACUAGUUGAAUUAAUAAAACUAGUUGAACAUGUCAUGUUUGUUGUUAGUGAUAACUUAUAUGGUUUCAGGUGACCUCCGUCGUCCCCGUCACCGACCCCCUCCGACAUCCCCGUCGUCGUCCCAGUCACCGACCCCCUCCGACAUCGAGGUGAGACCAGCCAAAUAUCCUUGUAUAUCUUGUGUUGUUGCUCAAAUUGGAUAUGUGGUUGCCCAAGUGGCCGUUCAUGUAGUUUACAUCUCCGAGUGGCCUAUGUUUUGCCGGAGUGUUGAUUAAUUUCCGUUCCGACAAAUUUCAGGCGCUCGAUAUGUCCUUUUUUAGCAAAGGUCAUGCCGGAUUUUGUCGUGAAUUCUGGUAUGACUUGUGCUAGAAUAUGUACAAGUUUAAUCUUUGAAUUAUGAUUGUAGGAAAUGUCGUACUCGGACGACGAAGGUCUCCCGGGGGAGUGUAGCUGGUGCCACGACGAUCGAGGUAUGUGCGAUAGGUUCGUUCGGCUGGACGAAGAUCGGCGCUUCAACAUUAAGCUCGAGGAGACCUUCGAUUGUGAAAUGGUACGCAACAACGACAAGUGUUUUUUCUCCAUUAAGCAUGACUUCAACUAUUUCAACGUCUAAUUUUCAUAUUUUACAAUUCGACUAGCUUAUCCCAUGCCAUGCAAGACGCUAUGUCUUGGAGAGGAUGGGUUUUGAAGACCAUGAAAAUUUCAAAACAAAGAAAAUACACCUAAGGACCCAUCAUGAUAUGGAUUUUGAAGUAAACCUGUGCAAUGCUCAGAGCGCAACCCAUUUUGGUUGCCAAAAUUGGGAAGCACUUUGCAAAAUGUAUGGUUUUUAUGAGGGUAUGAUUGUCACCAUGGAUCUUGGUGAUCCUGACAGUGAGGAAGACAAUAUGGACAUUUGGGUCCUUGUUGAUACGCUUCCGAUUGUACCGCUAUGUGACUUUCUCAAACAUAGUUAUUAACUAAUUUAUAUUGUUUAUUUCAAAAUAGUUGAUAGCUUAUUUCCAUUGACAGCUUAUUUUGAUUCUUCAAAGACUGUGCGGAAGAUGGUAGAUAAAACCCACUACACCGAAGGCACCCAAUUAACGUAUAAGGAGAAAAAUCAUCUGAUCGCAUUUUGUACUCUUCUUGAGAAUUACAAUGACUAUAAUCGAACUCCUCCAGAUUAUGGUGAAUAUGUGCCACUAGUGCAUGUGUUGAACAACGAUAACUUAUCUGGAGAUACCCUGGUAAGAUUUUUUACUAUUACGACAUCCGUGUAUUUUUUGCAUACUUCUAAAACUAGUACAUCAUUGCUAACUACGAAGUUAUUAUUAUGUUUUUCAACAGAAACUCCCGAUGGAUUGUGUGCCUCAUCUGAUGUCUCUGCAUGGUCGCCUCUCAGUUCUGAACAUACUGCCAGGUAAAUCUACAGAGCUCACCUAUGCAUAUCAGAUUUCUAAAACCCGUGAACACAUGAUCAUCAGAGAAUGGAAGAAAUGUAUGGACAUUCGCAAGGAGGUUCUUGGAAGUAACAUUCAGCGAAACGUAAGAAUGGGAGACAGGCUAAUCUCCAUUCUCCAUAAUGGAGAGUCAGGGGCUAUCUUGUUUUUUGUUAUUUUACCUUAGAAAAUGUAGUAGGUCUUAAUCGAAUGUAAUAGGUCCUAUGAGGUACAAUAUGUUUAUUAUGUGGUAAUGUGUUAGAGUUGAUAAUGAUGAUCUUGAGGAGGUGUUAUGUGAUGUCAAUGAUGAAAACGAUGAUAUUGAGGAGGUGUUAUAUGACAAUGAUGUAUUAUGAUGCUAAGUUGUUAAUGAUAUGAUGAUGAUGAUGAUAUUAUUAUAUCAUUGGGUGAAAGAACCGUGGAUUAGUUUCAAGUGGAUGGACAUCCACUUGAAACUAGUCCACGGUUCUUUCACCCCAUGAUGUAAUAACUCAUUAUGAUGUAAAAACAAUCUCUAAAUUCCUGUUGUAUGAAAACUUGUGUAAGGGUGUAUGAAUACAACAUGAAAAAGAAAAGAAAUAAAAUACUAAAUAAUAGUAGUAGCGCGGGUAAGGAGAAGCGCUACUACUAAUUACCAGUAGCGAUGUUCUAAAGAACCGCUGCUACUAAGUCAAUUUAGCAGUAGCGCGUGUCAAGACGCGCUAUUGCUAAGCAUUAGCUGUAGCGCCUUAUCAGUAGCGCUCCUGCCCGCGCUACUGAUAGGCCCAAAACCCGCGCUGCUGCUAGGCUUUUCCCUAGUAGUGCACCUUCGCAGGAACCCUCUUCCUGGGGGGCUCGCCGUCAACAUCACCAGGGUCAUCUCGUCUGAUCUUAUACCAUAAUGCACCGCAUACCAGGCAUGCGUUCAGAUCCUUAUAUGCACCGCGGUAGAGGAUGCAGUCAUUAGGGCAUGCAGGUAUCUUCUGCACCUCCAAUCCUAGAGGGCAUACGACCUUCUUUGCUGCGUAUGUACUGUCGGGCAAUUCGUUAUCCUUUGGAAGCUUCUUCUUCAAUAUUUUCAGUAGCUUCUCAAAUCCUUUGUCAGGCACAGCAUUCUCUUAAAGGAAAUAUGCCCUAGAGGCAAUAAUAAAGUUAUUAUUUAUUUCCUCAUAUCAUGAUAAAUGUUUAUUAUUCAUGCUAGAAUUGUAUUAACCGGAAACAUGAUACAUGUGUGAAUACAUAGACAAAACUAUAGUCACUAGUAUGCCUCUACUUGACUAGCUCAUUAAUCAAAGAUGGUUAUGUUUCCUGACCAUAGACAUGUGUUGUCAUUUGAUUAGUGGGAUCACAUCAUUAAGAGAAUGAUGUGAUUGACAUGACCCAUUCUGUUAGCCCAGCACUUGAUCGUUUAGUAUACUGCUAUUGCUUUCUUCAUGACUUAUACAAAGUUCCUGCAACUAUGAGAUUGUGCAACUCCCGUUUACCGGAAGAACACUUUGUGUGCUACCAAACAUCACAACGUAACUGGGUGAUUAUAAAGGUGCUCUACAGGUGUUUCCGAAGGUACAUGUUGGGUUGGCAUAAUUCGAGAUUAGGAUUUGUCACUCCGAUUGUCGGAGAGGUAUCUCUGGGCCCUCUCGGAAAUACUCAUCACAUAAGCCUUGCAAGCAUGUAACUAAUGAGUUAGUUAUGAGAUGACGUAUUACGAAACGAGUAAAGAGACUUGCCGGUAACGAGAUUGAACUAGGUAUUGGAUACCGACGAUCAAAUCUCGGGCAAGUAACAUACCGAUGACAAAGGGAACAAAGUAUGUUGUUAUGCGGUUUGACCGAUAAAGAUCUUCGUAGAAUAUGUAGGAACCAAUAUGGGCAUCCAGGUCCCGCUAUUGGUUAUUGACCGAGAAUGGUUUUAGGUCAUGACUACAUAGUUCUCAAACCCGUAGGGUCCGCACGCUUAACUUUUUGAUGAUAGUUUUAUUAUGAGUUUAUAAGUUUUGAUGUACCAAAGUUUGUUCGGAGUUCCGGAUGUGAUCACGGAUAUGAUGAGGAGUCUCGGAAUGCUUGAGCCAUAAAGAUUGAUAUAUUGGACGACUAUAUUCGGACACCGGAAAGGUUCCGGGAGUUUUCGGAGAAAACCGGAGUGCCCGGGGGGUUACCGAAACCCCCCGGGAGAGUUAAUGGGCCACAUGGGCCUAGGUGGGAAGAGAAAGGGGCGGCCAGGGUGAGCCGCGCGCCCCCUCUCCCUCUAGUCCGAAUUGGACUAGGAGGGGGGGCGGCGCCCCCUUUCCUUCCCCCCCUCUCUUCCUUCCUUCCCCCUCCUAGUAGGAGUAGGAAAGGAGGAAUCCUACUCCUACUAGGAGGAGGAUUCCUCCUCCCUUGCGCGCCCCAAGGGGCCGGCCGGCCUCCCCCUCCCUCCUUUAUAUACGGGGGCAGGGGGCACCCCAUAGACACACAAGUUGAUCUACGGAUCGUUCCUUAGCCGUGUGCGGUGCCCCCUUCCACCAUAUUCCACCUCGGUCAUAUCGUCGCGAAGCUUAGGCGAAGUCCUGCGCCGGUAGAACAUCAAGAUCGUCACCACGCCGUCGUGCUGACGGAACUCUCCCUCGACACUCGGCUGGAUCGGAGUUCGAGGGACGUCAUCGAGCUGAAUGUGUGCUGAACUCGGAGGCUCCGUACGUUCGGUUCUUGGAUCGGUCGGAUCGUGAAGACGUAUGACUACAUCAACCGCGUUGUCAUAACGCUUCCGCUUACGGUCUACGAGGGUACAUGGACAUACACUCUCCCCUCUCGUUGCUAUGUCAUCACCAUGAUCUUGCGUGUGCGUAGGAAAAUUUUGAAAUUACUACGUUCCCCGACAGUGGUAUCAGAGCCUAGGUUUUAUGCGUUGAUGUUAUAUGCACGAGUAGAACACAAGUGAGUUGUGGACGAUAUAAGUCAUACUGCCUACCAGUGUGUCAUACUUUGGUUCAGCGGUAUUGUGAGAUGAAGCGGCCCGGACCGACAUUACGGGUACGCUUACGCGAGACUAGUUUCACCGUUAUGAGCACUCGUGCUUAAAGGUGGCUGGCGGGUGUCUGUCUCUCUCACUUUAGUUGAACCGAGUGUGGCUACGCCCGGCCCUUGUGAAGGUUAAAACGGAGUCUAUUUGACAAACUAUCGUUGUGGUUUUGAUGCGUAGGUAAGAACGGUUCUUGCUAAGCCCGUAGCAUCCACGUAAAAUUUGCAACAACAAAGUAGAGGACGUCUAACUUGUUUUUGCAGGGCAUGUUGUGAUAUGAUAUGGUCAAGACGUGAUGCUAUAUUUUAUUGUAUGAGAUGAUCAUGUUUUGUAACCGAAGUUAUCGGCAACUGGCUGGAGCCAUAUGGUUGUCGCUUUAUUGUAUGAAAUGCAAACGCCCUGUAAUUGCUUUACUUUAUCUCUAAGCGGUAGCGAUAGUCGUAGAAGCAAUAGAUGGCGUAAACGACAACGAUGCUACGAUGGAGAUCAAGGUGUCGCGCCGGUGACGAUGGUGAUCAUGACGGUGCUUCGAAGAUGGAGAUCACAAGCACAAGAUGAUGAUGGCCAUAUCAUAUCACUUAUAUUGAUUGCAUGUGAUGUUUAUCCUUUAUGCAUCUUAUCUUGCUUUGAUUGACGGUAGCAUUUUAAGAUGAUCUCUCACUAAAAUUAUCAAGUAGUGUUCUCCCUGAGUAUGCACCGUUGCCAAAGUUCAUCGUGCCGAGACACCACGUGAUGAUCGGGUGUGAUAAGCUCUACGUCCAUCUACAACGGGUGCAAGCCAGUUUUGCACACGCAGAAUACUCAGGUUAAACUUGACGAGCCUAGCAUAUGCAGAUAUGGCCUCGGAACACAGAGACCGAAAGGUCGAGCGUGAAUCAUAUAGUAGAUAUGAUCAACAUAAUGAUGUUCACCAUUGAAAACUACUCCAUCUCACGUGAUGAUCGGUUAUGGUUUAGUUGAUUUGGAUCACGUGAUCACUUAGAUGACUAGAGAGAUGUCUGUCUAUGUGGGAGUUCUUAAGUAAUAUGAUUAAUUGAACUUAAAUUUAUCAUGAACUUAGUACCUGAUAGUAUCUUGCUUGUCUAUGUUUGUUUGUAGAUAGAUGGCUCGUGCUGUUGUUCCGUUGAAUUUUAAUGCGUUCCUUGAGAAAGCAAAGUUGAAAGAUGAUGGUAGCAAUUACACGGACUGGGUCCGUAACCUGAGGAUUAUCCUCAUUGUUGCACAGAAGAGUUACGUCCUGGAAGCACCGCUGGGUGCCAGGCCUGCUGCUGAUGCAACUGACGACGUUAAGAACGUCUGGCAGAGCAAAGCUGAUGACUACUCUAUAGUUCAGUGUGCCAUGCUUUACGGCUUAGAACCGGGUCUUCAACGACGUUUUGAACGUCAUGGAGCAUAUGAGAUGUUCCAGGAGUUGAAGUUAAUAUUUCAAGCAAAUGCCCGGAUUGAGAGAUAUGAAGUCUCCAAUAAGUUCUAUAGCUGCAAGAUGGAGGAGAAUAGUUCUGUCAGUGAACAUAUACUCAGAAUGUCUGGGUAUAACAAUCACUUGAUUCAACUGGGAGUUAAUCUUCCUGAUGAUAGUGUCAUUGACAGAAUUCUUCAAUCACUGCCACCAAGCUACAAGAGCUUUGUGAUGAACUAUAAUAUGCAAGGGAUGAACAAGACUAUUCCCGAGCUCUUCGCGAUGCUGAAAGCCGCAGAGGUAGAAAUCAAGAAGGAGCAUCAAGUGUUGAUGGUCAACAAGACCACUAGUUUCAAGAAGAAGGGCAAAGGAAAGAAGAAGGGGAACUUCAAAAAGAACGGCAAGCAAGUUGCUGCUCAAGAGAAGAAACCCAAGUCUGGACCUAAGCCUGAAACUGAGUGCUUCUACUGCAAGCAGACUGGUCACUGGAAGCGGAACUGCCCCAAGUAUUUGGCGGAUAAGAAGGAUGGCAAAGUAAACAAAGGUAUAUGUGAUAUACAUGUUAUUGAUGUGUACCUAACUAGAGCUCGUAGUAGCACCUGGGUAUUUGAUACUGGUUCUGUUGCUAAUAUUUGCAACUCGAAACAGGGACUACGGAAUAAGCGAGCACUGGCCAAGGACGAGGUGACGAUGCGCGUGGAAAACGGUUCCAAAGUCGAUGUGAUCGCGGUCGGCACGCUACCUCUACAUCUACCAUCGGGAUUAGUUUUAGACCUAAAUAAUUGUUAUUUGGUGCCAGCGUUGAGCAUGAACAUUAUAUCUGGAUCUUGUUUGAUGCAAGACGGUUAUUCAUUUAAAUCAGAGAAUAAUGGUUGUUCUAUUUAUAUGAGUAAUAUCUUUUAUGGUCAUGCACCCUUGAAGAGUGGUCUAUUUUUAUUGAAUCUCGAUAGUAGUGAUACACAUAUUCAUAUUGUAGAAGCCAAAAGAUGCAGAGUUGAUAAUGAUAGUGCAACUUAUUUGUGGCACUGCCGUUUGGGUCAUAUCGGUGUACAACGCAUGAAGAAACUCCAUACUGAUGGACUUCUGGAAUCACUUGAUUAUGAAUCACUUGGUACUUGCGAACCGUGCCUUAUGGGCAAGAUGACUAAAACACCGUUCUCCGGAACUAUGGAGAGAGCAACAGAUUUGUUGGAAAUCAUACAUACAGAUGUAUGUGGUCCGAUGAAUGUUGAGGCUCGUGGCGGAUAUCAUUAUUUUCUCACCUUCACUGAUGAUUUAAGCAGAUAUGGGUAUAUCUACUUAAUGAAGUACAAGUCUGAAACAUUUGAAAAGUUCAAAGAAUUUCAGAGUGAAGUAGAAAAUCAUCGUAACAAGAAAAUAAAGUUUCUACGAUCUGACCGUGGAGGAGAAUAUUUGAGUUACGAGUUUGGUUUACAUUUGAAACAAUGCGGAAUAGUUUCGCAACUCACGCCACCUGGAACACCACAACGAAAUGGUGUGUCCAAACGUCGUACUCGUACUUUACUUGAUAUGGUGCGAUCUAUGAUGUCUCUUACCGAUUUACCGCUAUCGUUUUGGGGUUAUGCUUUAGAGACGGCCGCAUUCACGUUAAAUAGGGCACCAUCAAAAUCCGUUGAGAUGACGCCUUAUGAACUGUGGUUUGGCAAGAAACCAAAGUUGUCGUUUCUUAAAGUUUGGGGCUGCGGUACUUAUGUGAAGAAACUUCAACCAGAUAAGCUCGAACCCAAAUCGGAGAAAUGUGUCUUCGUAGGAUACCCAAAGGAGACUAUUGGGUACACCUUCUAUCACAGAUCUGAAGGCAAGAUUUUCGUUGCUAAAUUCGGAUCCUUUCUAGAGAAGGAAUUUCUCUCGAAAGAAGUGAGUGGGAGGAAAGUAGAACUUGAUGAGAUAACUGUAUCUACUCCCUUAUUGGAAGGUAGUUCAUCACGAGAACUGGUUCCCAUGACAACUACACCAAUUAUUGAGGAAGCUAAUAAUAUUGAUCAUGAAACUUCAGAUCAAGUUUCUGCUGAACCUCGUAGGUCUACCAGAGUAAGAUCCGCACCAGAGUGGUACGGUAAUCCUAUUCUGGAAGUCAUGUUACUUGACCAUGAUGAACCUACGAACUAUGAGGAACCGAUGAUGAGCCCAGAUUCCGCAAAAUGGCUAGAGGCCAUGAAAUCUGAGAUGGGAUCCAUGGAUGAAAACAAAGUAUGGACUUUGGUUGACUUGCCCGAUGAUCGGCAAGCCAUUGAGAAUAAAUGGAUCUUUAAGAAGAAGACUGACGCUGAUGGUAAUGUUACUGUCUAUAAAGCUCGACUUGUUGCGAAAGGUUUUCGACAAGUUCAAGGGGUUGACUAUGAUGAGACUUUCUCACCCGUAGCGAUGCUUAAGUCUGUCCGAAUCAUGUUGGCUAUUGCUGCAUUUCAUGAUUAUGAAAUUUGGCAAAUGGAUGUCAAAACUGCAUUCUUGAAUGGAUUUCUAGAAGAAGAGUUGUAUAUGAUGCAGCCGGAAGGUUUUGUUGAUCCAAAAGGUGCUGACAAAGUGUGUAAGCUCCAAUGUUCCAUUUAUGGACUGGUGCAAGCAUCUCGGAGUUGGAAUAAACGUUUUGACAGUGUGAUCAAGGCAUAUGGUUUUAUACAGACUUUUGGAGAAGCCUGUAUUUACAAGAAAGUGAGUGGGAGCUCUGUAGCAUUUCUAGUUUUAUAUGUUGAUGACAUAUUAUUAAUUGGAAAUGAUAUAGAAUUUCUGGAGAGCAUAAAGGGAUACUUGAAUAAAAGUUUUUCAAUGAAAGACCUCGGUGAAGCUGCUUACAUAUUGGGCAUCAAGAUCUAUAGAGAUAGAUCAAGACGCUUAAUAGGACUUUCACAAAGCACAUACCUUGACAAAAUUUUGAAAAAGUUCAAAAUGGAUCAGGCAAAGAAAGGAUUCUUGCCUGUGCUACAAGGUGUGAAGUUGAGUCAAACUCAAUGCCCGACCACAUCAGAAGAUAGAGAGAAAAUGAAAAAUGUUCCCUAUGCUUCAGCCAUAGGCUCUAUCAUGUAUGCAAUGCUGUGUACCAGACUUGACGUAUGCUUAGCAAUAAGCUUGGCAGGAAGGUACCAAAGUAAUCCAGGAGUGGAUCACUGGACAGCGGUCAAGAACAUCCUUAAAUACCUGAAAAGGACUAAGGAUAUAUUUCUCGUAUAUGUAGGUGACAAAGAGCUCGUCGUAAAUGGUUACGUCGAUGCAAGCUUUGACACUGAUCCAGACGAUUCUAAAUCGCAAACCGGAUACGUGUUUAUAUUAAACGGUGGAGCUGUAAGUUGGUGCAGUUCUAAACAAAGCGUCGUGGCGGGAUCUACAUGUGAAGCGGAGUACAUAGCUGCUUCUGAAGCAGCAAAUGAAGGAGUCUGGAUGAAGGAGUUCAUUUCCGAUCUAGGUGUCAUACCUAGUGCAUCGGGACCAAUGAAGAUCUUCUGUGACAAUACAGGUGCAAUUGCUUUGGCAAAGGAAUCCAGAUUUCACAAGAGGACCAAGCACAUCACGAGACGCUUAAAUUCCAUUCGGGACCAAGUCCAAGUGGGAGACAUACAGAUUUGCAAGAUACAUACGGAUCUGAAUAUUGCAGACCCGUUGACUAAGCAUCUCUCACGAGCAAAACAUGAUCAGCACCAAGACUCCAUGGGUGUUAGAAUCAUUAUUGUGUAAUCUAGAUUAUUGACUCUAGUGCAAGUGGGAGACUAAAGGAAAUAUGCCCUAGAGGCAAUAAUAAAGUUAUUAUUUAUUUCCUCAUAUCAUGAUAAAUGUUUAUUAUUCAUGCUAGAAUUGUAUUAACCGGAAACAUGAUACAUGUGUGAAUACAUAGACAAAACUAUAGUCACUAGUAUGCCUCUACUUGACUAGCUCAUUAAUCAAAGAUGGUUAUGUUUCCUGACCAUAGACAUGUGUUGUCAUUUGAUUAGUGGGAUCACAUCAUUAAGAGAAUGAUGUGAUUGACAUGACCCAUUCUGUUAGCCUAGCACUUGAUCGUUUAGUAUACUGCUAUUGCUUUCUUCAUGACUUAUACAAAGUUCCUGCAACUAUGAGAUUGUGCAACUCCCGUUUACCAAAAGAACACUUUGUGUGCUACCAAACGUCACAACGUAACUGGGUGAUUAUAAAGGUUCUCUACAGGUGUUUCCGAAGGUACAUGUUGGGUUGGCAUAAUUCGAGAUUAGGAUUUGUCACUCCGAUUGUCGGAGAGGUAUCUUUGGGCCCUCUCGGUAAUACUCAUCACAUAAGCCUUGCAAGCAUGUAACUAAUGAGUUAGUUAUGAGAUGACGUAUUACGGAACGAGUAAAGAGACUUGCCGGUAACGAGAUUGAACUAGGUAUUGGAUACCAACGAUCAAAUCUCGGGCAAGUAACAUACCGAUGACAAAGGGAACAAAGUAUGUUGUUAUGCGGUUUGACCGAUAAAGAUCUUCAUAGAAUAUGUAGGAACCAAUAUGGGCAUCCAGGUCCCGCUAUUGGUUAUUGACCGAGAAUGGUUUUAGGUCAUGACUACAUAGUUCUCGAACCCGUAGGGUCCGCACGCUUAACGUUUCGAUGAUAGUUUUAUUAUGAGUUUAUAAGUUUUGAUGUACCGAAGUUUGUUCGGAGUCCCAGAUGUGAUCACAGACAUGACGAGGAGUCUUGGAAUGGUCGAGACAUAAAGAUUGAUAUAUUGGACGACUAUAUUCGGACACCGGAAAGGUUCCGGGAGUUUUCGGAGAAAACCGGAGUGCCGGGGGGGUUACCGGAACCCCCCGGGAGAGUUAAUGGGCCACAUGGGCCUAGGUGGGAAGAGAGAGGUGCGGCCAGGGUGGGCCGCGCGCCCCCUCUCCCUCUAGUUCGAAUUGGACUAGGAGGGGGGGCGGCGCCCCCCUUUCCUUCCCCCCCUCUCUUCCUUCCUUCCCCCUCCUAGUAGGAGUAGGAAAGGAGGAAUCCUACUCCUACUAGGAGGAGGAUUCCUCCUCCCUUGGAGCGCCCCAAGGGGCUGGCCGGCCUCCCCCUCCCUCCUUUAUAUACGAGGGCAGGGGGCACCCCAUAGACACACAAGUUGAACUACGGAUCGUUCCUUAGCCGUGUGCGGUGCCCCCUUCCACCAUAUUCCACCUCGGUCAUAUUGUCGCGAAGCUUAGGCGAAGCCCUGCGCCGGUAGAACAUCAAGAUCGUCACCACGCCGUCGUGCUGACGGAACUCUCCCUCGACACUCGGCUGGAUCGGAGUUCGAGGGACGUCAUCGAGCUGAACAUCUGCUGAACUCGGAGGCUCCGUACGUUAGGUGCUUGGAUCGGUCGGAUCGUGAAGACGUACGACUACAUCAACCGCGUUGUCAUAACGCUUCCGCUUACGGUCUACGAGGGUACGUGGACAUACACUCUCCCCUCUCGUUGCUAUUUCAUCACCAUGAUCUUGCUUGUGCGUAGGAAAAUUUUGAAAUUACUACGUUCCCCAACAUCUCUGCCUUCCACUGCAGCAAUUCCAGUACGGUACCGAGCUUUGUGUUGCCAUCUUCGCAAUUGGGGUACAACCCUUUUUUUUGGUCCUCUAGCAUGCGAUCGAACUUCAGCUUCUCCUUUUGACUUUUGCAUUGCGUCCUUGCAUCGACAAUGACCCGGCGGAGAUCAUCAUCAUCGGGCACAUCGUCUGGUUCCUCUUGAUCUUCAGCAGCUUCGCCUGUUGCAGCAUCAUCGUGCACAUCGUCUGGUUCCUCUUGAUCUUCAGGAGCAUCACCGUAUUCAGGGGCACAUAGUUGUCAUCGUACUCUUCUUCACCGUCUUCCAUCAUAACCCCUAUUUCUCCGUGCCUCAUCCAAACAUUAUAGUGUGGCAUGAAACCCUUGUAAAGCAGGUGGGUGUGGAGGAUUUUCCGGUCAGAGUAAGACUUCGUAUUCCCACAUAUAGGACAUGGACAACACAUAAAACCAUUCUGCUUGUUUGCCUCAGCCACUUCGAGAAAAUCAUGCACGCGCUUAAUGUACUCGGAGGUGUGUCUUGAACCGUACAUCCAUUGCCGGUUCAUCUGCGUGCAUUAUAUAAUGAAGUGACCAAAUUAAUAGAAGUUCAUCAUCACAUUAAAACCAAAGUACAUACAUAGUUCUCAUCUAACAACAUAAAGCUCUGCAGAGCAUCUAAAUUAAUUAAACCAUACACUGAAACUAUGUAAAACAUUUCAAUGCGAAAACAAAUGCAACCAUAAUCGCAACCAAUGUAACAACUGAUCCAACGGCAUAAUGAUACCAAGCCUCAGUAUGAAUGGCAUAUUUUCUAAUCUUUCUAAUCUUCAAGCGCAUUGCAUCCAUCUUGAUCUUGUGAUCAUCGACGACAUCCCCAACAUGCAACUCCAAUAUCAUCUUCUCCUCCUCAAUUUUUCUAAUUUUUUCCUUCAAGAAAUUGUUUUCUUCUUCAACUGAAUUUAACCUCUCGACAAUAGGGUCGGUUGGAAUUUCCGGUUCAACAACCUCCUAGAUAAAUAAAAUCUAUGUCACGUUGGUCGGCAUAAUUGUCAUAAACAAUAAAUGAACCAAUAGUUAUGAAAAGAUAAUAUAUACCACAUCCGAAUCAUAGACAGGACGAGGGCCGACGGGGGCGGAUACCAAAACCAUCGCACUAUAUAAGAUGCAAUAAUAAAAGUAAGAAAAUAAUACAAGUAUCUAUCUAAACAUACAAGUAAGAAUAUUUUUCCUUUCAGAAAGAAGAUAAGAACAAGAGGCUCACCACGGUGGUGCCGGCGAUGAGAUCGGCGCGGGUGAUCGACGACGAUGAAGACAAGGACGGGGCGUGACGGACCGCUAAACCUAGACAAAUAUUGAGGAAAAUGGAGCUUGGCGGUCGAGCUUGGAGGGGAGAAAGCUUAAGUAGUGUGGCUCGGGCAUUCCAUCGAACACCUCGUGUGCAUAGGAGGUGAGCUAGAGCACCACAAAGCUCUCCCCUCGCCGGCCACGAAAAACAGAGCACUGGGAGUGCUCUGCUCGCGAGCGGGGGGUAUAUAUAGGCACCACCAUUGGUCCCGGUUGGUCGCACGAACCGGGACUAAAGGUUGGCCUUUGGUCCCGGUUCGUGCCACCAACUGGGACCAAUGGUGGUGGGCCAGGAGCGAGGCCCAUUGGUCCCGGUUCGUCCCUCCAACCGGGACCAAAAGGUCCAGACAAACCGGGACCAAUGGCCCACGUGUUGGGUUUCGUAGUAAUUUCAAAAAAUUUCCUACGCACACGCAAGAUCAUGUGAUGCAUAGCAACGAGGGGAGAGUGUUGUCUACGUACCCAACGCAGACCGACUGCGGAAGCGAUGACACGACGUAGAGGAAGUAGUCGUACGUCUUCACGAUCCAACCGAUCAAGCACCGAAACUACGGCACCUCCGAGUUCGAGCACACGUUCAGCUCGAUGACGAUCCCCGGACUCCGAUCCAGCAAAGUGUCGGGGAAGAGUUCCGUCAGCACGACGGCGUGGUGACGAUCUUGAUGAACUACAGCAGCAGGGCUUCGCCUAAACUCCGCUACAGUAUUAUCGAGGUAUAUGGUGGCAGGGGCACCGCACACGGCUAAGGAAUAGAUCACGUGGAUCAACUUGUGUGUAUAGAGGUGCCCCCUGCCUCCGUAUAUAAAGGAGGAGAGGAGGGGAGGCUGGCCGGCCAAGGAGGGGAGGCGCAGGAGAGUCCUACUCCCUCUGGGAGUAGGAUUCCCCCCAAUCCUAGUCCAACUAGGAUUCCUCGGAGGGGAAGGGAGAGAGGGGGGCCGGCCACCUUCUCCUAGUCCUAAUAGGACUAGGGGAGGGGGAAGUGGCGCAGCCACCUUGGGCUGCCCCUUUCUCCUUUCCACUAAGGCCCAUGAAGGCCCAUAUGGCUCCCGGGGGGUUCCGGUAAUCCUCCCGGUACUCCGGUAAAAUCCCGAUUUCACCCGGAACACUUCCGAUGUCCAAACAUAGGCUUCCAAUAUAUCAAUCUUUAUGUCUCGACCGUUUCGAGACUCCUCGUCAUGUCCAUGAUCACAUCCGGGACUCCAAACAACCUUCGGUACAUCAAAAUGCAUAAACUCAUAAUGUAACUGUCAUCGUAACCUUAAGCGUGCGGACCCUACGGGUUCGAGAACAAUGUAGACAUGACCGAGACACGUCUCCGGUCAAUAACCAAUAGCGGGACCUGGAUGCCCAUAUUGGCUCCUACAUAUUCUACGAAGAUCUUUAUCGGUCAGACCGCAUAACAACAUACGUUGUUCCCUUUGUCAUCGGUACGUUACUUGCCCGAGAUUCGAUCGUCGGUAUCCAAUACCUAGUUCAAUCUCGUCACCGGCAAGUCUCUUUACUCGUUCUAUAAUGCAUCAUCCCGUAACCAACUCAUUGGUCACAUUGCUUGCAAGGCUUAUAAUGAUGUGCAUUACCGAGAGGGCCCAGAGAUACCUCUCCGACAAUCGGAGUGACAAAACCUAAUCUCGAAAUACGCCAACUCAACAUGUACCUUCGGAGACACCUGUAGUACUCCUUUAUAAUCACCCAGUUAAGUUGUGACGUUUGGUAGUACCCAAAGUGUUCCUCCGGUAAACGGGAGUUGCAUAAUCUCAUAGUUACAGGAACAUGUAUAAGUCAUGAAGAAAGCAAUAGCAACAUACUAAACGAUCAAGUGCUAAGCUAACGGAAUGGGUGAAGUCAAUCACAUCAUUCUCCUAAUGAUGUGACCCCGUUAAUCAAAUGACAACUCUUUUGUCCAUGGCUAGGAAACAUAACCAUCUUUGAUAAACGAGCUAGUCAAGUAGAGGCAUACUAGUGACACUAUGUUUGUCUAUGUAUUCACACAUGUAUUAUGUUUCUGGUUAAUACAAUUCUAGCAUGAAUAAUAAACAUUUAUCAUGAAAUAAGGAAAUAAAUAAUAACUUUAUUAUUGCCUCUAGGGCAUAUUUCCUUCAGUCUCCCACUUGCACUAGAGUCAAUAAUCUAGUUCACAUCGUCAUGUGAUUUAACAACAAUAUUCAUAUCUGUAUAUGAUUAACACCCAUAGUUCACAUUAUCAUGUGACCAACACCCAAAGGGUUUACUAGAGUAAAUAAUCUAGUUCACAUCUCUAUGUGAUUAACACCCAAAGAGUACUAAGGUGUGAUCAUGUUUUGCUCGUGAAAGAAGCUUAGUCAAUGGGUCUGUCACAUUCAGAGCCGUAUGCAUUUUGCAAAUAUUUUAUGUCUACAAUGCUCUGCACGGUGCUACUCUAGCAAUUGCUCCCACUUUCAAUAUGUAUCCAGAUUGAGACUUAGAGUCAUCUGGAUCGGUGUGAAAACUUGCACCGAGGUAACUUUUACGACGGGCUCUUUUAUCACCUCCAUAAUCGAGAAAUAUUUCCUUAGUCCUCACUAAGGAUAUUCUUGACCAAUGUCGAGUGAUCUACUCCUAGAUCACUAUUGUACUCCCUUGUCAAAUACUGAGCAAGGUAUACAAUAGUUCUGGUACAUAGCAUAGCAUACUUUAUAGAACCUAUGACUGAGGCAUAGGGAAUGACUUUUCAUUUUUUCUAUUUUCUGUUGUGGUCGGGAUUUGAGUCUUACUCAAUUUCAUACCUUUGCAACACAGGCAAGAACUCUUUCUUUGACUGUUCCAUUUUGAACUAUUUCAAAAUCUUGCCAAGGUAUGUACUCAUUGAAAAUCUUAUCAAGCGUCUUGAUCUAUCUCAAUAUAUCUUGAUGCUCAAUAUGUAAGUAGCUUUUACUGAGGUCUUUUCCUUUUAAAGAACUCCUUUAAAACACUCCUUUAUGCUUUGCAGAAAAAUUCUACAUCAUUUCUGAUCAACAAUAUGUCACUCGUAUAUACUAAUCAGAAAGGCUAUAGUGCUCCCACUCACUUUAUUGUAAAUACAGGCUUCUCAAAAAGUCUGUAUAAAACCAUAUGCUUUGAUCAACUCAUCAAAGCGUAUAUUCCAACUCCGAGAGGCUUGCACCAGUCCAUAGAUGGAUCGCUGGAGCUUGCACAUUUUUUUAGCACCUUUAGGAUUGACAAAACCUUCUGGUUGCAUCAUAUACAACUCUUCUUUAAUAAAUCCAUUAAGGAAUGCAGUUUUGAUAUCCAUUUGCCAGAUUUCAUAAAAUGUGGCAAUUGCUAACAUGAUUCAGACAGACUUAAGAAUCGAUACGAGUGAGAAAAUCUCAUCGUAUUCAACACCUUGAACUUGUUGAAAACCUUUCGCAACAAGUCGAGCUUGGUAGAUAGUAACACUACUAUCAGUGUCCGUCUUCCUCUUGAAGAUCCAUUCAUUUAACAUGGCUUGCUGAUCAUCGAGCAAGUCAAUCAAAGUCCAUACUUUGUUCUCAUACAUGGAUCAUAUCUCAGAUUUUAUGGCCUCGAGCCAUUUCGCGGAAUCUGGGCUCAUCAUCGCUUCUUCAUAGUUCGUAGGUUCAUCAUGAUCUAGUAUCAUGACUUCCAGAAUAGGAUUACCGUACCAUUCUGGUGCGGAUCUUACUCUGGUUGAUCUACGAGGUUCAUCAGUAUCUUGAUCUGAAGUUUCAUGAUCAUUAUCAUUGGCUUCCUCACUAACUGGUGUAGGUGUCACUGAAACAGUUUUCUGUGAUGAACUACUUUCCAGUAAGGGAGCAGGUACAGUUACCUCGUCAAGUUCUACUUUCCUCCCACUCACUUCUUUCGAGAGAAACUCCUUCUCUAGAAAGGAUCCAUUCUUAGCAACGAAUGUCUUGCCUUCGGAUCUGUGAUAGAAGGUGUACCCAAUAGUCUCCUUUGGGUAUCCUAUGAAGACACAUUUCUCCGAUUUGGGUUCGAGCUUAUCAGGUUGAAGCUUUUUCACAUAAGCAUCGCAGCCCCAAACUUUAAGAAACGACAACUUUGGUUUCUUGCCAAACCACAGUUCAUAAGGCGUCGUCUCAACGGAUUUUGAUGGUGCCCUAUUUAACGUGAAUGCGGCCGUCUCUAAAGCAUAUCCCCAAAAUGAUAGCGGUAAAUCAGUAAGAGACAUCAUAGAUCGCACCAUAUCUAGUAAAGUACGAUUACGAUGUUCGGACACACCAUUACGCUGUGGUGUUCCGGGUGGCGUGAGUUGCGAAACUAUUCCACAGUUUUUCAAAUGUACACCAAACUCGUAACUCAAAUAUUCUCCUCCACGAUCAGAUCGUAGAAACUUUAUUUUCUUGUUACGAUGAUUUUCAACUUCACUCUGAAAUUCUUUGAAAUUUUCAAAUGUUUCAGACUUAUGUUUCAUUAAGUAGAUAUACCCAUAUCUGCUUAAAUCAUCUGUGAAGGUGAGAAAAUAACGAUAUCCGCCACGAGCCUCAGUAUUCAUCGGGCCACAUACAUCGGUAUGUAUGAUUUCCAACAAAUCUGUUGCUCUCUCCAUAGUACCGGAGAACGGUGUUUUAGUCAUCUUGCCCAUGAGGCACGGUUCGCAAGUACCAAGUGAUUCAUAAUCAAGUGGUUCCAAAAGUCCAUCAGUAUGGAGUUUCUUCAUGCGCUUUAUACCGAUAUGACCUAAACGACAGUGCCACAAAUAAGUUGCACUUUCAUUAUCAACUCUGCAUCUUUUGGCUUCAACAUUAUGAAUAUGUGUAUUACUACUAUCGAGAUCCAACAAACCAUUUUCAUUGGGUGUAUGACCAUAGAAGGUUUUAUUCAUGUAAACAGAACAACAAUUAUUCUCUAACUUACAUGAAUAACCGUAUUGCAAUAAACAUGAUCAAAUCAUAUUCAUGCUCAACGCAAACACCAAAUAACACUUAUUUAGGUUUAACACUAAUCCCAAAAGUAUAGGGAGUGUGCGAUGAUGAUCAUAUCAAUCUUGGAACUAUUUCCAACACACAUCGUCACUUCACCCUUUAACUAGUCUCUGUUUAUUCUGCAACUCCCGUUUCGAGUUACUAAUCUUAGCAACUGAACUAAUAUCAAAUACUGAGGGGUUGCUAUAAACACUAGUAACGUACACAUCAAUAACAUGUAUAUCAAAUAUACUUAUGUUCACUUUGCCAUCCUUCUUAUCCGCCAAUCACUUGGGGUAGUACCUCUUCCAGUGACCAGUCUCUUUGAAGUAGAAGCACUUAGUCUCAGGCUUAGGACCAGACUUGGGUUUCUUCACUUGAGCAGCAACUUGCUUGCCGUUCUUCUUGAAGUUCCCUUUCUUUCCCUUUGCCCUUUUCUUGAAACUAGUGAUCUUGUUAACCAUCAACACUUGAUGCUCUUUCUUGAUUUCUACCUUCGUUGAUUUCAGCAUCAUGAAGAGCUUGGGAAUCGUUUUCGUCAUCCCUUGCAUACUAUAGUUCAUCACGAAGUUCUAGUAACUUAGUGAUGGUGACUAGAGAAUUCUGUCAAUCACUAUCUUACCUGGAAGAUUAACUCCCACUUGAUUCAAGCGAUUGAAAUACCCAGACAAUCUGAGCACAUGCUCACUAGUUGAGCGAUUCUCCUCCAUCUUUUAGCUAUAGAACUUGUUGGAGACUUCAUAUCUCUCAACUCGGGUAUUUGCUUGAAAUAUUAACUUCAAUUCCUGGAACAUCUCAUAUGGUCCAUGACGUUCAAAACGUCUUUGAAGUCCCGAUUCUAAGCCGUUAAGCAUGGUGCACUAAACUAUCAAGUAGUCAUCAUCUUGAGCUAGCCAGACGUUCAUAACUUCUGCAUCUGCUCCUGCAAUAGGUCUGUCACCUAGCGGUGCAUUAAGGACAUAAUUCUUCUGUGCAGCACUGAGGAUAAACCUCAGAUCACGGAUCGAAUCCGCAUCAUUGCUACUAACAUUUUUCAACACAAUAUUCUCUAGGAACAUAUCAAAAUAAACAUAUGAAAGCAACAACGCGAGCUAUUGAUCUACAACAUAAUUUGCAAAAUACUACUAGGACUAAGUUCAUGAUAAAUUAAAGUUCAAUUAAUCAUAUUACUUAAGAACUCCCACUUAGAUAGACAUCCCUCUAAUCCUCUAAGUGAUCACGUGAUCCAAAUCAACUAAACCAUGUCCGAUCAUCACGUGAGAUGGAGUAGUUUCAAUGGUGAACAUCACUAUGUUGAUCAUAUCUACUAUAUGAUUCACGCUCGACCUUUCGGUCUCUGUGUUCCGAGGCCAUAUCUGUAUAUGCUAGGCUCGUCAAGUAUAACCUGAGUAUUCCGCGCGUGCAACUGUUUUGCACCCGUUGUAUUUGAACGUAGAGCCUAUCACACCCGAUCAUCACGUGGUGUCUCAGCACGACGAACUUUGGCAACGGUGCAUACUCAGGGAGAACACUUCUUGAUAAUUUAGUGAGAGAUCAUCUUAUAAUGCUACCAUCAAUAAAAGCAAGAUAAGAUGCAUAAAAAGAUAAACAUCACAUGCAAUCAAUAUAAGUGAUAUGAUAUGGCCAUCAUCAUCGUGUGCUUGUGAUCUCCAUCUCCGAAGCACCGUCAUGAUCACCAUCGUCACCGGCGCGACACCUUGAUCUCCAUCGUAGCAUCGUUGUCGUCUCGCCAAUCUUAUGCUUCCACGACUAUCACUACUGUUUAGUAAUAAAGUAAAGCAUUACAUCGCGAUUGCAUUGCAUACAAUAAAGCGACAACCAUAUGGCUCCUGCCAGUUGCCGAUAACUCGGUUACAAAACAUGAUCAUCUCAUACAAUAAAAUUCAGCAUCAUGCCUUGACCAUAUCACAUCACAACAUGCCCUGCAAAAACAAGUUAGACGUCCUCUACUUUGUUGUUGCAUGUUUUACGUGGCUGCUACGGGCUUAAGUAAGAACCAAUCUCACCUACGCAUCAAAACCACAACGAUAGUUUGUCAAAUAGACUCCGUUUUAACCUUCUCAAGGACCGGGCGUAGCCAUACUCGGUUCAACUAAAGUUGGAGAGACAGUCGCCCGCAAGCCAUCCAUGUGCAAAGCACGUCGAGGGAACCGGUCUCGCGUAAGCGUACGCGUAAGGUUGGUCCAGGUCGUCUCGUCCAACAAUACCGCCGAACCAAAGUAUGACAUGCUGGUAGGCAGUAUGACUUGUAUCGUCCACAACUCACUUGUGUUCUACUCGUGCAUAUAACAUCAACAUAAAUAACCUAGGCUCGGAUGCCACUGUUGGGUUUCGUAGUAAUUUCAAAAAAUUUCCUACGCACACGCAAGAUCAUGUGAAGCAUAGCAACGAGGGGAGAGUGUUGUCUACGUACCCAACGCAGACCAACUGCGGAAGCGAUGACACGACGUAGAGGAAGUAGUCGUACGUCUUCACGAUCCAACCGAUCAAGCACCGAAACUACGGCACCUCCGAGUUCGAGCACACGUUCAGCUCGAUGACGAUCCCCGGACUCCGAUCCAGCAAAGUGUCGGGGAAGAGUUCCGUCAGCACGACGGCGUGGUGACGAUCUUGAUGAACUACAGCAGCAGGGCUUCGCCUAAACUCCACUACAGUAUUAUCGAGGUAUAUGGUGGCAGGGGGCACCGCACACGACUAAGGAAUAGAUCACGUGGAUCAACUUGUGUGUAUAGAGGUGCCCCCUGCCUCCGUAUAUAAAGGAGGAGAGGAGGGGAGGCUGGCCGGCCAAGGAGGGGAGGCGCAGGAGAGUCCUACUCCCUCUAGGAGUAGGAUUCCCCCCAAUCCUAGUCCAACUAGGAUUCCUCGGAGGGGAAGGGAGAGAGGGGGGCCCGCAGCCACCUUGGGCUGCCCCUUUCUCCUUUCCACUAAGGCCCAUGAAGGCCCAUAUGGCUCCCGGGGGGUUCCGGUAACCCUCCCGGUACUCCGGUAAAAUCCCGAUUUCACCCGGAACACUUCCGAUGUCCAAACAUAGGCUUCCAAUAUAUCAAUCUUUACGUCUUGACCAUUUUGAGACUCCUCGUCAUGUCCGUGAUCACAUCCGGGACUCCGAACAACCUUCGGUACAUCAAAAUGCAUAAACUCAUAAUGUAACUGUCAUCGUAACCUUAAGCGUGCGGACCCUACGGGUUCGAGAACAAUGUAGACAUGACCGAGACACGUCUCCGGUCAAUAACCAAUAGCGGGACCUGGAUGCCCAUAUUGGCUCCUACAUAUUCUACGAAGAUCUUUAUCGGUCAGACCGCAUAACAACAUACGUUGUUCCCUUUGUCAUCGGUAUGUUACUUGCCCGAGAUUCGAUCGUCGGUAUCCAAUACCUAGUUCAAUCUCGUCACCGGCAAGUCUCUUUACUCGUUCUAUAAUGCAUCAUCCCGUAACCAACUCAUUGGUCACAUUGCUUGCAAGGCUUAUAAUGAUGUGCAUUACCGAGAGGGCCCAGAGAUACCUCUCCGACAAUCGGAGUGACAAAACCUAAUCUCGAAAUACGCCAACUCAACAUGUACCUUCGGAGACACCUGUAGUACUCCUUUAUAAUCACCCAGUUACGUUGUGACGUUUGGUAGUACCCAAAGUGUUCCUCCGGUAAACGGGAGUUGCAUAAUCUCAUAGUUACAGAAACAUGUAUAAGUCAUGAAGAAAGCAAUAGCAACAUACUAAACGAUCAAGUGCUAAGCUAACGGAAUGGGUGAAGUCAAUCACAUCAUUCUCCUAAUGAUGCGACCCCGUUAAUCAAAUGACAACUCUUUUGUCCAUGGCUAGGAAACAUAACCAUCUUUGAUAAACGAGCUAGUCAAGUAGAGGCAUACUAGUGACACUAUGUUUGUCUAUGUAUUCACACAUGUAUUAUGUUUCCGGUUAAUACAAUUCUAGCAUGAAUAAUAAACAUUUAUCAUGAAAUAAGGAAAUAAAUAAUAACUUUAUUGUUGCCUCUAGGGCAUAUUUCCUUCACCACGUGGCCCGGCCGGCCCCCGGGGCUCAAGAACCAGGUCCAAUGCCCCCAUUGGUCCCGGUUUUGGAUUGAACCGGGACUAAUGGGCUGGACCGGCCUGGACCAUCGCCCCCUUUUCUACUAGUGUUAGUGCAUGGUGGUUAGUGAAGUUAGUGGAGCAUGGUGUGAGUGCGUGGGUCAUGGUUGAGUGCCAGACUUUGUAUAAAUUGUCAUUUGAGUCAAUGAGAAAAUGUAAGGCCGAGAGGGCCAGUGCAAAGAUGUAGCAUUUGUGGUAGCCAAGGGAGAUUAACUGGGCAAAGCUAUGUGUUCUUCCUUGGUCUAUGCGUGUGUGUGUUCUGUGUGUGUUCUCUCUCUGCGUCCUUGUGUUCAUGGGAGUGUUUUUGAGAGAAGCCAGAAGAGAGAGUUGUGAGAGGCAGCUCGAGGUAGAAGAAGGAGCGGUGCUGCUCCGAGAGGAGGCGGCGCCAACAAUUAUUGACGAAAGGGAUAUUAUAUUGCGCAAGGUAUAAUCAGACGCGUCGGGGAUGGAGCGACUACACACAUAUGGGAUCACAACUGGAUUAUGAGGGAAAGCUAUAAGAGGCCAAUAAAUAAGUUAGUGCAGAUCCCCCCUCAGAAACAUUUUAUGUAUACACGUUAACAUUUCCCAGAUAUAUGAUUAAUAUUUUUAGAAAACUUCUAUUUUUUAUGUGUACUUUUUAUACAUUUUGUAAUAUCAGAAAUAGUUUUUAUAGAAGGUUUAACAUUUUUCAAAUACAUGAUUACCUUUUUGUAAACUUAUAUUGUUUGACGUUUACUUUUUUCCAUAGACAUAGUGAGGGGUUAUAUCUAAGGAAUAGGCCCAAGUACAUGUAGGCACAACCAAAGGCCCAUGUUAAUCAAGGAUGUUCCACAAGACAAAUGGGAAAACACACCGGGGCUAAUGGAGCUACAAGGCCAAGGCAUCGGAUACAAGGGGAGAGUCAACUGUGUACAGUCAGAUUACACAACCCUUAACAGACAAGACUCAUCAGUUGGUCCACUAUAGGAAUCAGGUCAUUUGCCGUCAGCCGAGAACAGAUGCGAAGGCUUUGCCGUGAGCAAGUUGACGACAAACACAAUCAGCAAAGACUAUAUCAGCAAAGAGCUAAUUUGACGUCAACUUUUCAUCGCGCUGAUGACAAAGACUUUGCCGUCAAUUAAACUAUGUGUUUGUCGUCUGUAGAAAAAACACAAAUGGCAAAGAAAUUAAACAAAUGGUCAUUUUAUAAUAAUUUUUCGAAAUGUAUAUAGUGUAUUUUAAAAUGUUAAAUAUGUAUCAAGAAUUAUUUCAUAAAUAUACAGAAGAUGUACAACGUGUAUGAAAAUUAUGUAGACAUCAGAACAUAUUAUAGAAAUGUUAAUCUUGUAUUUAAAAAUGUUAAAUACACAUAAAUAAAAAUGUUUUUGAUGUACAUAAAAAAAUUGUACAUCGUGUGUGAACAAAGUAUGCAUUGAAAAAAAAAUCUUGUUGGAAAGAAAAUCUCGUGCUAUAUACGAAAAUGUAAAAGGUGUAUGAAAAUAAUUAGAUAUAUGCUUAACGAAAAAAAGGAAAGAAGGCGCAAAAAAAUCCGAUCAACACCAAGAUAGGAACAAGAAAACCUGAAGAAGACCAUUGAAAAAAAAGAAAAGAAUACAAGAAAGAGGAAAAAAAACAAAAAAAUGAAGAAGCUGAUGCAGAACAGGGAACUUGGUGAAAACGAAUAAAAAUUGAUGAAAACCGAGAAGAAAAACAAGAAAACUGAAGCAAAAAAAUAAUAAAAAUAUGUAAAAAAAUGAUGAAACAUUGCAAAACACUGAAAUACUAUGAAAACCAAAGGAAGAAAAGACUCAAAAAGAAGAACAUACAGCGAGCGAAUGAACAACAACUGAGUGAACGAGCGACCAUGCGAGAACACGUUAAUUGUCCGGCCCAUACUUGUGGACUCCAGAGGCGAGCCAGAAUAGGCGAGAUAUAGCUAUGACGAUUUGAUACCCUUCACAGCUUCACGAAUGCUAUAUCUCGCUCACAGCGAAAGUAUAUUUUGUCUGGCCUGAAGGUGCAAGAAUAGCAUCAGGUCGCUGUAAGGUUUGUGAUCCUACAAUGAGAGCUCCGAUAAGAUUAAAGUUCAUUUUUCUGACAACCUUUGGUCGUUCGUUCGCGCUCAGGUCGUCCGCUCACUCGAUUCCACGUACUAGUUUGGUUAUGUUGUUUUUUUCAUUUUGUUCUUUUUUUGUUUCUUCACUGGCUUUCUUUGGUUUUUAUAUCGGUUUUCUUUGUUUCCUUCACGUUUUAUUCCUGUUUUCCUUUUUACUGGUUUAUUUAUUCCUUUUUUUCUUUGUUUCUUUCUUGGUUUUCUUUGUUUUUCUUUCUUUUGAUGUCAAUCUUUUUACAUACGCAUUCAACAAUUUCCGUAUACAUCAGAAACAUUUUAUGUAUACACAUUAACAUUUCCCAGAUAUAUGAUUAAUAUUUUUGGAAAACCUCUAUUUUUUAUGUGUACUUUUUGAUACAUUUUGUAUAUAUCAGAAAUAUUUUUUUAGAAGGUUUAACAUUUUUUUAAAUACAUGAUUACCUUUUUGUAAACUUAUAUUGUUUGACGUUUAUUUUUUUCCAUAGACAUAGUGAGGGGUUAUAUCUAAGGAAUAGGCCCAAGUACAUAUAUGGCACAACCAAAGACCCAUGUUAAUCAAGGAUGUGGUCCACAAAACAAAUGGGGAAACACACGGGGGCCAAUGGAGCUACAAGGCCAAAGCAUCGGAUAUAAGGGGAGAAUAAGUGUGUACAGUCGGAUUACACAACACUUGACAGACAAGACUCAUUAGUUGGUCCACUAUAGGAAUCGAGUAAUUUGCCGUCAGCCGAGAACAGACUCGAAGUCUUUGCCGUCAGCAAGUUGAUGACAAACACAGUGAGCAAAGACUAUAUCGGCAAAGAGCUAAUUUGACGUUAACUUUUCAUCCGCUGAUGACAAAGACUUUGCCGUCAAUUAAACUAUGUGUUUGUCGUCUGUAGAAAAAACACAAAUGGCAAAGAAAAGCAUCUUUGCCAUCAGCAACUGAUUCACAUGUGUCGUCAGCCAGACUCGUCUUGUCACUAGCCUCAAACAUCACAGAUGGCAAAGAUUUUUUUUUAUUUUUAAAAUUCCGCGUCGACCACCCUAUCGCUCGUGCAGCCACCGCCUGGCCGCGCUCGCCUCCCUGCUCACAUGCCCUGCCAGCUUGCGCCGUUGCCAUCCGGCAGCGCUCGCCCGACCCUGCUCAUCGCCCGGCCGAGCUCGCCCGCCCUGCUCGGUCGCGUCGUCGGCAGCUGCCCUGCUUGCACACGUACCUGCCCAGCCUUGCUCAUACCGCCGGCCACCCUGCUCGCUAGAGAAAGGAAGGCGAGAGAGGAGGCUCGGGGGAGAAAGAAAAAACAAAGGAGAGAGAGAGGAUGCUACCACUGCCACAUCACCAAUACGCAUGAUCGAUCUGCAAGAUGUGCUCUCUCUUUUGCCGCCUCUGAUGGCAAAGUAUGUCUUUAUCGUCUAUAAUAAGAUUACAAACAGCAAAGUGAGCUCUUUGCCGUCUGUAAAAAAACGGACGACAAACAAACUUUGUUGUCAGCUGCCGACGGCAAAAAGUGCUCUUUACCGCAGCCUCGAUGAGAAGCUGAAGGCAAAGUGCCCCACAGACGGCAAAUUAGUUGAUUCCUGGGUGGUUAUGAGCAAGACAGGAGCAAUAACCCUAUCUACACUCGGUCAUCUGGAAGACAGGAGUAGUCGAACCAUCUAUAGUCGGCUACAUCUGAGGUUACCGUGACCCUUACGAUGCAUUCAUUAUCGCCGUUACUCAAUGGAGUAGUUAAAUACGUCAGUUAGCAAUAAUAAUAGCCACGAACAGUCAAUCAUGCAUGUGACCAUCAAUAGCAUUUAUACCAACCCAUUACGGCACUUCCUCCUAGCACACUCUAUAUAAGCCAGGAGUAGGACAUGAGAGUGAGGGAUGAACUCUCUCACAGUAUAACCUACGCCAAGAGCAGGAACACCACAUGAAUAGAGAUUACCUCCACCAACGUACUCCCAUCCGUUUUAUGUACCGAUCAAUGUAUAUAAUGGCUUCUACAUUCACAUCCCGUAGUAUUGUCAGGAUUAUAUCCACGACAGAAACUAUAUUUUGUUAUACAUCAAGAACAUUUUAUAUAUAAAUAUUUACAAUUUUUUAAAUACAUGAUUAAUAUUUUUUCAAACAUAUAUUUUGUAUGUCUCCUUUUCAUAAUCUUUGAUCCCUGGAAGUUUCAGAUUUUUUCCGAUUUGUUCUCAUUUUUUUAUGAAUUUACUGUUCAUGAGGGUGUAGGGGCACCCAGGAGCUGUUAGGCAUAAUAUUUCUGCUGUUGUUGUCAUCAUCAAGGGGAAUGAGAAGGGUUGAAGUUUUCGUUUUCUUUGAGGGGGAAAUCAGAGUUGGGGGCUGGAAGUGAGUGAUUAGGCCCAACAUAAGCGCUGUGUGUGUGUGUCUCGUCACGGGCACCAAAUUCGAACUGGGCUAUUGUUUUCUGAGAACCCAACGUCACAAGCCCAACCAACAGUCUGCCGAUCUGCAUCUUCCUCUCCUUGUCCAUCCUCCUCGUUGGCCGGACCGCCUCGAGCCACGGCCGCUCCCUGGCGCAGCGUCCUCCCCUUCCUCUCCACCCCCAAAUUCUCUUGUAUCCUCUUCUGAUCUCCUUCCUUACUUCCUCUCGCUGAUGGUCUCCACAAGAAGGUCUCCGAGCUCCUCGGAGGGUUCCGGCUGUACGUCGACGCAGCCUCUCCGACCUCCCCAUGAACAUGAGCUAUCGACCCUGAAAGCCUGUCUCUUCCAUGAUUCGAUUCACAUGAAUUCACGAGCCGCAUGAAUCAUGAAGGUCAUGGAGCAGAAUUCAGUCGUGUAGCCUGACAGUGAUGUACAUUUGUGGCUUUUCUGGCUAAAUAGCUCUGUACCCUAUGUGGAUGCCACUUCAAAUAAUCGUCAAAAUAAUUCUCCUGCACGCGUUAUACAAAUGGCGAAGAAGAAGUUCGCGUGGAACAUUUCGUUUCUUAUUGAUGUCCGAGAGAAAAGCUCCUAGGAAGUUCAUCCGCUCGGUGGAUUAUAAGUUUAAGUUUGUUACAACAUCCAAUCAUCCAUAUAAUCUCUGUGUUUCUUCUGUUUUCUACCAGUCAUAUAUCAUAUGUGCAUCAGAGGAAAAAUGCUUUCAGCAGUCAUGUUGGAGCGCGCAUACCAAGUUCCCACAUUGCAAAUAUGAUCCUAGCCAUUAAUAUGUUUCAUUCCACAUUUUCUUGAUCUAAUUUCUAAAUGAUUGGACAACCUGUUAUAGUCUUAUAGAAUUAUGAGCCGCCAAAUCCACAUUUCUCUUGGUCUAAUUUCUAAAUGAUAAUGUGCAGCAUCUAUCUCCUGGUGAACCUUUUUUUCUUGCGACUGUAUCUCCUGAUGAACCUAGUUUUCUCUAGGUAGCACAAUAAUUGUACUGGUUUGAUGUAAAGGACAUAAAUACAAGGGAAUAAAUUGGAAGCUUAUUUCAAAUUAACUAGCUAGUGGUGUUUGUGAAGUUCAAGAAAAAGCUGGUCUUUUUCUCGACAAAUAAUUUAACAUGCAAAGAAUCAAUAAAUGUAUUUGCAAGAAAGCAAACAUAAUUAACGAUAAAACUGGUUUAUUGUCACUGUAGACAACGGUAGUAGUUGGAACUAGAUACAAACCAAUAAAAAACAAGAUCUCAAAUCUCCAACCAAUAAAGAGUUCAACCCAAAUUUUACAGUAACACCAUUAUAUUCAAAUAGUGAUUAUUCCAACACAUGGAUAAUUAAUUAAGGCACCAGGUUGCCCUUGUGACUAGGAAAGACAAACUUAUGAACUUGCAAGCAUGGCAAUCAGAUCGACAUCCACACAAUGCCAAUAUGAACAUUGUCUUGAUACAACUUUAUUUUUAUUUUAUUUCAGAAUUUAAACAACUAGUAUGGGCGGGUCACACACGACAUUGUGUGACACUUUAUUUGUCACCGCUGCAUCGACAUAUCCAUCGACUAAACAACGGUGAUCCAACUAUAUAUUACUAGAGACCUUUCCUUAUUAGUAGGAACCAACUCCGGUGCCAACACCGAAUGGCACACUAGUGGUGGUUCUAUACAACGGCACAUUGACACGGCACAUCGUUGGCAGGGUACGGAGCGCAAUGGAAGUCAUCACCUCAAGCUGAGCUAUCUGGUGUGGCUGCAAAAAGGUACCUUGUGCCAAUUGUUGUUGUUGAGGUUGUUGCCCGAGUUGUUGUUGUGACUGCUGUUGGGGUUGGGAAACACAUUGGCCCAACUGUUGGGGUUGCUGCUGAGGAGUUUGGAUGGAACCCUGAACCUGUUGUUGUUCUUGCAGGAUGAUGGAGUAGAUGAUAGCACGGAUUGCCUCAUAGCGGGAUUGCUGGGGGAUUUGCGGCAACUGCUGGCAACAUUGUUGUUGCAUCACAUGGCAACUGCUCUGCUGCAACAUUUGCGACCUAGCAAGACUUUGUGGCAUUGCCACAGGGCUGCAUUGCUGCUGGAGGAAUACCUUGCAUGGGUUUAGCUGCUGCAAGAUAGAUGGAUGAACAAAUGGUAUUUGUUGUUGCGGUAGAACUAGUUGUUGUUGUUGCUGCGAAAAUGGUGGUUGUUGCGGUAGACUUGGUUGUUGUUGUUGCAAAAAUGGUGGUUGUUGCUGUAGUACUAUUUGUUGUUGUUGCGAAAACGGUGAUUGUUGCUGUGAAAAUGGUGGUAGUUGUUGCUGUGAAAAUGAUGGUUGUUGCGGUAGAACUGGUUGUUGUUGCUGCGAAAAUGGUGGUUGUUGUUGUGAAAAUGGUGGUUGUUGUUGCUGCGAAAAUGGUGGUUGUUGUUGUGAAAANNNNNNNNNNNNNNNNNNNNNNNNNNNNNNNNNNNNNNNNNNNNNNNNNNNNNNNNNNNNNNNNNNNNNNNNNNNNNNNNNNNNNNNNNNNNNNNNNNNNNNNNNNNNNNNNNNNNNNNNNNNNNNNNNNNNNNNNNNNNNNNNNNNNNNNNNNNNNNNNNNNNNNNNNNNNNNNNNNNNNNNNNNNNNNNNNNNNNNNNNNNNUGGUUGUUGUUGCUGCGAUAAUGGUUGUUGUUGUUGCUGCGAAAAUGGUGGUUGUUGUUGUGAAAAUGGUGGUUGUUGUUGCUGCGAUAAUGGUUGUUGUUGUUGUUGCUGUGAACAUGGUUGCUGUUGUGAAAAUGGUUGUGGUUGUUGUUGGAUGGGUUGUUGUUGUUGGUGGUGCGAUAAUGUUUGUUGUGGUGGUAAUGGUUGUUGCUGCGAUGGUCUCUCCAAACCAGGGAUGUGGCUAUUCUCCAUUUGUGCAAUGGCACUUGUCGCCACAAUGGCGAGGAGAGCAAAGAUGAGGAAGGUCUUCAUGGUGGAUUGGUGUUAACCAGUGUUGCUUGGUUUUGAUGCUUGUGCUUGUGAUGAUCUUUAUACUUCAUGCCUAUUUAUAGUAGCCCGGGCACCACCUCUUUUCUUCUUUGCAUUAGCUUUAAUAAUUCUGUUUGGAUGCAUCUAAAAUGAUUUUUGGUACAAUGUGUUAGGUUGCACUAGCUACACGCGUACUUUUGGAUUGAUCAUCAAAGUUGCUUUUUAGUUGUGCAUAUGAUCACACACAAAGUACAGAAACCUUGAUGUUUGGUACAUAUGACUCACCUUAUUCACUUUACAUGUCACACACUUAUCUGGAUAGUAUCACUUUUGCAACCGAGUUUGGAACCUUGUAUAGGCUGUCAUCCAUAAACAAGAAAGGCAAAACUUGUGUAGGACUAAGUUUGCAAUCGGAGGGUUCUUCUAGACUCGAUUUCUUUUCGUAAAACUAACUUUGUAUUUUUCCUCUAAGAUGAUAAGAUGAACCGACGCCUAUAGAGCAUGACAUGACUCAUCGAAUUCCCUUUACAUGUAAAGGAUGGUAAUUGCUUACAAGCUACUCCUACUAGCAUAUAUCCGGUUCCAAGCCUAGACACGUCAUCAUCAGUUUCGUCUAUUUUUUUAGAUAAAUCAUCAGUUCUAUCUAUUUGUGAAGGGUUUUUUUGGGGGGAAAUGAUAGUUUUUUUAUGCUAGGGGGGUUUUUUNNNNNNNNNNNNNNNNNNNNNNNNNNNNNNNNNNNNNNNNNNNNNNNNNNNNNNNNNNNNNNNNNNNNNNNNNNNNNNNNNNNNNNNNNNNNNNNNNNNNNNNNNNNNNNNNNNNNNNNNNNNNNNNNNNNNNNNNNNNNNNNNNNNNNNNNNNNNNNNNNNNNNNNNNNNNNNNNNNNNNNNNNNNNNNNNNNNNNNNNNNNNNNNNNNNNNNNNNNNNNNNNNNNNNNNNNNNNNNNNNNNNNNNNNNNNNNNNNNNNNNNNNNNNNNNNNNNNNNNNNNNNNNNNNNNNNNNNNNNNNNNNNNNNNNNNNNNNNNNNNNNNNNNNNNNNNNNNNNNNNNNNNNNNNNNNNNNNNNNNNNNNNNNNNNNNNNNNNNNNNNNNNNNNNNNNNNNNNNNNNNNNNNNNNNNNNNNNNNNNNNNNNNNNNNNNNNNNNNNNNNNNNNNNNNNNNNNNNNNNNNNNNNNNNNNNNNNNNNNNNNNNNNNNNNNNNNNNNNNNNNNNNNNNNNNNNNNNNNNNNNNNNNNNNNNNNNNNNNNNNNNNNNNNNNNNNNNNNNNNNNNNNNNNNNNNNNNNNNNNNNNNNNNNNNNNNNNNNNNNNNNNNNNNNNNNNNNGCCGCCACCGCUCGACAAAAAAGGUCACUUUUGUAGCUCCCCCGUCGAUUGCGGGCCGUACGUCGACGGCAGCCACUCCGACCUCCCCGUCAACACAAGGUAUCGAUCUGUUUCGUCUGUCUCUUCCAGCGAUUCAAUGCACAUAAAUCCGAGAGGCAGACCCAUCUCCAUGCUAGCUGCACGGAUCAGGAGGGUCAGGCAUCAGAAUUCAGCUGGGAAGCCUGACACUAAUGUACAUUUGUGGCUUUAGUAGCUGAAUAUAACUAUGUGUUUUCUGAGAAUUUCACUUCAAAAGUUCCAAUAAUCAUCAAAUUUCCGCCUAUGCGCGCUAAGCAGGUGGACCAUAUAUUUCUCAUGUCGACGAACGAAAAAACAAAACUCCACAACUAGAAGUCUAUGAUAUUGACACGGAACCGUGCUGUAGGGUCGCAAGUAAAAAUAUGAAAAGCAUGCCUAACACUACUAGGAAAAGGGCUAUAGAUGGAAUUGACACUAAUGACGCACCAGACAUGUGGUGCGCCAUUAGUAUAUACUAAUGGCGCACCAUCUUCUGAUGCGCCAUUAGUGUUGAAAUUACUAAUGGCGCACCCUGCCCACGGUGCGCCAUUAGUACCAAUUUUUUUUUGAACUAGUGCGCCUGUCCAAACAUACUAAUGGCGCAUCCGCUGGUGGUGCGCCAUUACUAGUUGUAACUAGUAAUGGUGCACCAGCCAGAGGGUGCGCCACUAAAGUUAUUUUUUUUAUUAUUGUUUUUAUUCCUUUUUUUGCAAAAGUACUAAUGGCGCACUCACACGCGGUGCGCCAUUACUAGUUCAAACUAGUAAUGGCGCACCGUGGCAGAGUGCGCCAUUAGUAUGUUUUUUUUUCAAAACUACUAAUGGCGCACCACCUGGUGGUGCGCCAUUAGUAACCUGGAUUACUAAUGGCGCAUUUGUUGCUGGUGCGCCAUUAGUAAGUGGGCAGCAACAAGAUAUUUUGGACAGCCUCUCCUCCCACACUCACUUUCUCCCCAUUUCAUUCUCUCCACCGCCUCCUCAUGUCUCGGGUGCCUCCUCUUUUUCACCUCAUUUCCACCAUAGAUUCAUUCAAAUUAAGUGGUUAAGUUACCUUGUUUUGCUAGGUAAGUAAGGGGGGAAGCUAUAUUUAUGUUGUUCUCCCUACAACAGUGUGCACAUGCACUUUUUAUGGCCUAGCUAGAUCUAUGUAUGUUCGUGGUGUUGCAUAUGUUUGUGGUGUUGCAUAUGUGUUUGUGUUUGAAGGUGUACCGGUAUUUGAAAUGCGAUAGUUGCCAAUAUUUUGCCGGAAUGUUGAUUCAUUUCCGUUUCGGCGAGAAUUUUGGCAUUAAGCAUUCUUUUUGGUCCUAUUUUUAGGGAAAGUCAUGCCAAAUUUUUUCUUGGUUCUAAAAUAUCGUUUUGCUCUACCCCGCAGGCGACCAUGGUCCGCACGAUGACCGAAGGCAUCGUGAAUAGGUUUUUGAGGUCCACGAAGGCCGAGAUGCUUCAAAAGAACGAGACGGAGAUAAGAUGUCCGUGUCGAAGAUGCAAGCUGAAUAGCCUUAUUGCGGACCCGGAUUCCGGGCAGGUGCGGGACCACCUGCUCUUGCGUGGUUUCAUGGAUGGCUGUCGGUGGCAAGGUGAUGAAGAUGACUACGAAGUCGUCCAUGGGGGCCGGGCAAGAAAUGAGGAAGGGCAGCAAGACAACCACCGCGGCUCGGGGGGGCGAGAAGAAGAAGAAUCCCCAGGAGAUGAUCACGACGGUGAUGUUGUACACAGUCAUCAUGUAGAAGAUGCAGGACAUGAUGAUGAUGCCGGCGGAGCAGACGACGCUGGACCAUCGAUGGGCUGGGUGCAGGACCCUCAUAUUCAAGAGCUGCUUCUCAAGCAGACGGAUAACGCAAGAGCUGCCGCCCGAGAGAAAGCCAAGAUGGAUCAACUUGAGUUAGACGCGGUUACUCCAUUGUAUGAAGGAUGCAGGCCCGAGGAUACCCGCCUGAAAGUAACACUCAUGGCUCUGGAGAUGAAGGUAAAACACAAAAUGACCGACGCAUGCUUCGACGAGAACAUGUCAUUCUGGCACGAACGUCUUCCCAAAGGGAACAAGUGCCCGACCAGUUUGGAGGAGGCGAAGAAAAUCGUGUGUCCUCUGGAUUUACCGCACGUGAAAUACCAUGUGUGCAUGAACAAUUGCAUCAUUUAUCGGGACGAGCACGCGGAGUCUACCAUAUGUCCGGUGUGCGGUGUCACUCGAUACAAGAAGGGGAAGAAAGCUCCUCGAAAAGUGGUGUGGUACUUUCCGAUCACUCCUCGUCUGCAGCGGUAUUUCGCGGACCCUAAGGUAGCAAAGCUCCUGCGUUGGCACGCGGAUAGGGAGGAGAAGAAGCGAGAAGAUGACGCAAAUGAUACGGAGAUAGAUAAAAAAGACAAGAUGCUGAGUCACCCUAAGGAUGCGAGCCAGUGGCAAGCGUUGAACUUCGAAUAACCAGAAUUUGGGAACGAUCCAAGGAACAUCGUGCUGGGCGCGAGCACCGGUGGAGUCAAUCCGUUUGGCAGCCAGAGAAGCACACAUAGCACCUGGCCUGUGUUUGUGUGGAUGUACAACCUUCCCCCCUGGUUGUGCAUGAAGAGGAAGUACAUUCACAUGAGUAUGCUAAUUGAAGGGCCGAAACAACCAGGGAACGACAUCAAUCUGUAUCUGGGGCUGCUGAAAGAGGAGCUUGACACGCUGUGGAAAACGCCCACCAAUACGUGGGACGCCGCAGAGAAAGAAUAUUUCCCUAUGAGAGCCGCACUGCUCACGACGGUGCACGACUAUCUCGGUUACGGAUAUCUUGCGGGGCAGGUAGUCCACGGAUUUUCUGGAUGCGUAAGGUGCAUGGAUGACACAACGUAUCGCCAGCUAGAUAGAGACGAUGACCCGUGGAGGAAACGCAAGGAUCUGUUCGAUGGUGAAACCAAACCCCGAAAACGCCCGUGUACGAGGAGCGGCGAGGAAAUAGACAAGCUGUUGAAAAAUCGGAAAGACUGCCCACUGCCGGGAAAGAAGCAAAAGGUGCCAGAGCCGGGAAAGAAGCGAAAGGCGCCAGAGCCGCUGCUGAAGCUAUGGAAAACGAGGUCUGUUUUCUGGGACUUGCCGUACUGGAAGAUCCACCGUGUGCCUCACAGCCUUGAUGUCAUGCAUAUCACGAAGAACGUGUGCGAGAGUCUGCUUGGUACCCUGCUCAACAUGCCAGAGAGGACCAAAGAUGGGCCGAAAGCGAGGGCAGACUUGAAAUCAAUGGGCAUCAGGCAGGAGCUUCACGCUAUAUAUGAUGAUGAUGAUGAUGAUGAUGAUGAUGAUGAGGCGAAGCAGGACACAGAAAGUCGUCGCAAAGGCAAAAAGGCCAAGAAGACCGGAAAUGACUACCCUCCCGCGUGCUUCACUCUAAGUCAGGAGGAGAUCGAGCAGUUUUUCACCUGCCUCCUAGGAGUAAAACUUCCUUACGGUUACGCGGGGAAGAUAAGCAGAUACCUAGACCCAGCGAAGCAGAAGUUCAGCGGGAUGAAGUCUCACGAUUGUCACAUGCUGAUGACGCAGAUACUUCCAGUUGCAAUCCGUGGGAUCAUGGACGCGCACGUCCGUGAAACGCUAUUUGGCCUAUGCAACUUCUUCGACGUCAUCUCUCAGAAGUCGAUUGGCAUGAGGCAACUCAGAAGGCUACAGGAAGAGAUCGUGGUGAUACUAUGCGAGCUUGAGAUGUACUUCCCGCCCGCAUUCUUCGAUGUUAUGGUGCAUCUGCUGGUCCAUAUAGUGGGGGAUAUCAUCCAACUCGGGCCGAUGUUCCUGCACAGCAUGAUGCCGUUCGAAAGGAUGAAUGGUGUCAUCAAAGGAUACGUUCGCAACAUGUCACGUCCAGAAGGAAGCAUAGCCAGGGGCUUUCUGACCGAAGAGUGCAUCUACUAGUGCGCGAAUUAUCUAGGCAUCGAGAACCCCGUUGGUCUGCCCGUCAACAGGCACCUCGGCAGGCUCGCUGGAUGGGGUCACCGUGAGGGUCGCCGCGAAAUGCAUGUCGACUUCGAGGGUCGACUCGCCGACUUUGAAAGAGCAAACCUAGUCGCGCUACAACACAUAGACGUGGUCGAUGCUUGGGUGGUAGAGCACAAAACCUUUAUUAAGAAGACGUACAAUGACCGAGGCCAACAGAGGACGGACGGAGAUAUACUCAAAGAGCACAACUCAUGUUUCACGCGUUGGUUCAAGCAGAAGCUUCUGUCGUACCCUUUACAUGAGGAUUCUUCCGCGGAAGAACAACUCAUAUUCGCCUUGUCACAGGGCGCCGAGCACAACCUGAUGACCUAUGAGGCGUACGAUAUCAACGGCUACACAUUCUACACCGAGGCCAAGGACAUGAAGAGCGAUGGUUAUCAGAACUCCGGGGUAACGAUGGAAUCCUACACCGGUAACGACAAGGACAGAUACUACGGAAGGAUCGAGGAGAUCUGGGAGCUGAGCUAUGCUGGAGAGAAGGUCCCGAUGUUCCGUGUCAGAUGGGCCAAGAACGUCAUAAAAGAAGACCGGUAUUUCACCACCAUGGUUAUACCCGGAGCCAAAUCCAAGACCGCGAGCGCAAACGUCACCGCGAAAAAUGAGCCAUGGGUACUGGCUUCCCAAGUGGACCAAUGCUUCUUCAUUACCGACCCGCCAAAGCCCAGUCGUGUUGUCGUGAGGAGAGGCAAAAGGAAGAUCAUCGGAAUGGAUGGAGUAGCCAAUGAGCAAGACUUCGACAAGUACGGCGACCCGAGGAUCGAACAUGACGACGAUGAUGAAGUAGCAGCAUACACCACAAGAAGAAGCAGGACCACCCUACCUAAAGGACGUCCGUUCCACAGAAGAACUCCAUUUGCGAAAAAGAAGGGCAAGAAGAUUGUGAACAGAUAGCUAGCUAAGAUCGAUUGUAUUUAAAUCGUAGCCUUCAUUUCUCGAUUGUAUUUCAUGGGUACUUUUUGAACUAUCAUGAAUAUUUUUAAAUUUAAUGGACACUCGAUCUCGAUCCCCCUCCAUCUCGAUCGCUAUCCCACCUCGCCAGAUCCGGUCCCCCUCGCCGCCAAGCACCCCCCCAGCCCACCGGCCGCCGCCGCCGACCCCCCGCACCCUCGAUUCCCCUACCCAACCGCCGCCGCCGACCCACCGCACCCCGCGCACCCUCCCCUGCUCCACCAGCAUUACUGUUUGAUGAUAUUUUUAAAAAAAUUAUUAUUGUCUUAUAAAAAAAUAUUACUGUUAUGAUUUAAACAAGUUUGAACAUAUUUAAACACAAAUAAGUAUCAAACAGGUUUUUAAAUGCUAAAAAAAAUUUGUGGAGCCUGGGAGUCGAACCCAGGACCUCCUGGUGUGAGAACUGGCUGCUGACCAGUCGAGCUAGUAGAGGGGACUUGAUGUGGAUCAAUUCUGGUGGUACAUAACCUGUUGGCUCGAGUUGAAAUAAAAAAAAUACUAAUGGCGCACCACGGUGAGGUGCGCCAUUAGUAUGGAUGUACUUAUGGCGCACCGAGGGGUGGUGCGCCAUUAGUAUUGUGCCCGAUCCCUUCCCUCUCCCCCUUCGCCCGAUCCCCCCUUCCCUCUCCCCCUUGCCAGUUCCCUCUCCCUCGAUCCACCGCCGCCGCCGCCGCUGCCCUGACCCACUGCGCCGCAGCCGCCCACGCGCCCCCGCCGCCUCCCUCUCCCCUUCCUCCCCCUCGAGCCCGCGCCGUCCGCCCAAACCUAACCCGACGCCGUCCGCCGCGCCCGCUCCACCGCCGCCGCCCUGCCUCUCCGCCCUCUCCCUCCCUCNNNNNNNNNNNNNNNNNNNNNNNNNNNNNNNNNNNNNNNNNNNNNNNNNNNNNNNNNNNNNNNNNNNNNNNNNNNNNNNNNNNNNNNNNNNNNNNNNNNNNNNNNNNNNNNNNNNNNNNNNNNNNNNNNNNNNNNNNNNNNNNNNNNNNNCGUCGCCCCGCCGCCCCGACACCACCGUCCGUCGCCCCGCCGCCCCGCCGCCCCUCUCGCAGCAAGGUAUGCGGCUGGUUCGUCCCCUGUCAUGGUUCUCUCUUCGUUUAUUUUCCUGAAAUCUCUGCUGUUCAUUGGCCGAUGAUGUCUUACAAGUAAAAUAUCUGGCAAACUUGUGCUGUAAACUGUACAUUGCUGAGGCUGUGGGCAACCUGUUCUUCUCUUUGCCAUACUAGUGCUUUUGUUCAUUGGCCGAUGAUGUCUCUGUUGGUUUACGUCCCCGGCAAAUUAGGUACCCGUGAACCAUUUAUAGGCCCAACUUUCUUACUCUCAAUGACCACAAUGUGCUUAUUUUGUUAGGAUUGUGCAUUUGCGCGAUUUGUGCAGUGCUUAUUUGUUGGCACCUCACCAGCUUUCAAAUUCAGCAUUUGUAACACAGUUCAAUUUGAUCUAAGGGCCUAUCUUGUCUCAUUUCCAACAUGUAAUAAACUUCCCCCGAGGCCAUAGAUGAGAAUACUUCUUUCAGUACAUUUUGCUGAUUUCUCACUGUUGAAUACUUCAUUUCUGUUUGCCUUUGGCCAAAGAUGCAUUCAGUUCUUUCUGCCCUUAGCGGUUUGAUUCAAGUUUGUCAGGUUCUGUUAACUAAAAAGGUUCAGAUUCAGAAACAUUGUUGGACUACUAGGAAGUUGGACUACUAGGAACAUGUUUAGAUUCAGGUUCUGUUAACUAAAAAAGUUCAGGUUCUGUUAACUAAAAAAGUUCAGAUUCAGAAACCUGUAAUUUCUACUUUUAUGCCUCUGUUACUCCAGUCAAAAUUUUAUGUUUGAUGCCCAUGGUAGUUGAGCUCUCACCUCACCUCACGCAACAUGCAUGAUGCCACAAUGUCUAGUAUGUACUGCCAAGCAACUGGCAAAUAAUUAUAACUUAGAAUAAAUAAAUCUGAUGUAAGAUAAGCAUGGCAUGAGCUUUAAUUAAAUAGCAUAAUACACGUUGGUAGUCCAUCUCUCUCAAAAAAAAUACAUGUUGGUAGCAGAAAAAAAUACAUGUUGGUAGCAGAAAUUUUUUUGAGCCCUUAUUAGCUACUCACACUAUUUGCCCCGCAGUUUCUCUGUCAUGGCUACCAAGUGAUUGACGGUGGGCUAGAAAAAUAAAACCACCAAACUAUCAGUAAAAGAUGUGAACCAACAUCUUUCAUUGUUAUGCAUAUCAAACACCAAGGGUUAUUUUCACUUAAAGUUUUAGAAUGGGUGCAUUACAAUUCAGUCUGAUAUCUAAUAAGACACUCUGGGCUGAUAUAAUUAUGGAACAGAACCAACCAUGAUAAAUAAAAGGUGAUGUUGUCUAUGCAUUACCAAAAAUGUAUCUUUGUGAACAAAUAAAUUGGUACCAACAGCAAUGCCAUCUUACUGUAGAAUUAGAAUACAUGGACAUGAUCAGCUCAGCUCCCAAACUGCCAUUCAUCACAUCAAUUUCCCCUUAUGUAACUCCAGUCAAAAUUUUAUGUUGGUCUACCUAGUAGAUGCCCAUGGUUUGAUUUUAUGUUUGUUCCUAUCAAUACAAAUGCUGAGCUAUGUUCCAUUUUUACUGUUCUUUGUGAUAGUUUUUGCAACUUUACUUCCCAUCUUAAGGCAAGCCCCAUUUUUACUGUUCUUUGUUAGCAGAGCUGCUUGUUUCUAAGAACUUUGAUACUAUUUGGAUCAAAGUUAAAUGAGCACAUAGAUGACAAAAAAAAGUUCAGAUUGUAAAAUGUUCAUUUUGCUGCUAGUGCCCAUUUUGAGUAAUUGCUUAGAGGGAUGAUCCUGUGUGAGCUGGUGGAGUGAUUUGUUUUCUACAUAAAGCUCUUUAGUCAGGCUGGUUUUCGUGAAAUACACAUGAAGCUUCACCAGCUCCUGUGGGUGUGGGAUCCAUGUGACAUGUGACAUUGCAUCCAUGUCCACCUGGGAUAAUGAUUUUGCAUGUACCCCGAGAGGCCCUUAAGUUUGCCGGAAUGUCGAUUAACUUCCGUUCCGGCAAAUUCGGGUACUCCAUAUGUCCUAUUUUCAGCAAAGGUCAUGCUGAAAUUUUCCGUGAAUUUUAGCAUGACUUUGCAAAAAAUAGGACAUAUGGGGUACUUGUGACUAAUGCAUGGGCCGGGGUAUCAUAGUAGUUAAUUAAGUAGGAUCAAGUGCCCCGGCGUACUUGUGACUGAUGCAUGGCUUUUAGGGUGCCUCGGUGUUGAUAAAAACCGAAAUGAUGAAAGCUUAGGCUUUUAGGGUGCCUCGGCGUCGAAAAACCCUCAAUGAUAAAAGCUUAGGUCUUAGGAUGCCUCGGUGUCGACAAACCCUAAAUGAUGAGACCAUGUCUUGUUCCUUGACAAUAACCAACUUUUUGACCAAACUUUGUUUCUAUUUAGAGAGAAACAUGGCCCACAACGAUGAGGCCGGGGGUUCGGGCGGCAAGGCAUUCUGGGAGCUGUCCCAGGAGAUGGAGGAACAACCUCACUUGUAUGAGGCCGCCGCCUUCCCCACCGAUCCUGAGACCACUGAUGGUGCCGCCGAGGAUGACCACACUGAUGCCACCACUGAUGGUGCCGCCGAGGAUGCCACCACUGAUGAUGGCAGCGCCCGCACAGAUGGCAGCCAACCGAAGAGGCAACGGAAGGACCGACGCCCGAUCGUGCUCCUCACCCUCAAGGAGGAAGUUACUGAAGUGGACUCCAACGGGUAUCCAACGGCGCCCGAACGAAUAGUCAAGGGGUACUCGCUUCAGCUCGGGUGCAUUGUCCGGAGCACCGUCUCGAUCAACACCGAGAACCUGAGGCAUCCUGACCGAGGGAAUUUGUGCCACCUCCUCUUCACGAAGCUGCACGAAUGAUACAAGUUCCCCGCUGAAUUUGCAAACAGAAGCCUCAAAGGGAAUAAAGUGAACAAUGCUGCCCUCACGAAGAUGAGCAAGGCCCUGUCUACUUGGAAAAGCAAUGUGAAGAAAAUGAUCGAUAAAGGUGAGAGUUAUCAGAAGAUCAAGGAGAAAAAUCCUUCGAUCACCAAAGAUGACUACAAUGACUUCAAGAUCAAUUGCUCGAGCACCGCAAGCUCCCAAUCAAGUGAGUGGGGGAAACAAAUGCGGGAGCUGAACAUAGGGGAACACACACUCGGUCCCGACGGUUACAGAGUGGCGGAGCCUAUAUGGGACAAGGAGGAGGCGGACCGUGCCGAGCAAGGCCUACCGCCCCUCUUCGAGAAAUACAGCGGUAACAAGCAGACCAGGAACUUUGUCAGGGCCCGGUACAAGAAGGACCCGAAAACAAAGGAGCUUACCACGGAUCCGAAGACCAGGCAGCUUGAGCUUGUUCUGGUAAGGAAUACACCCCCGCGUAAUUAGCUCCAUAUGGUUGCAUUCUAAUUAAUGAAGCCAAAUUUCUAAAUGGUUCACAUUCCUUCCGCAGGCGACUGAAAGCAGUAGCGCGGGGUCGACUAAGAGCAACCCUUGGGACACCACUCUAAAUAGGGCGAUGAAUGUAAUGAAGAAGAAGGAUAAGCUCAGUAAGCCGACGUCAGCUGGUCGUGUGGCCGGCAAAGGCUUGUCGACAAAAUGGGGGUCAUACUAUACCGCUGGUGUGCGGAAGGAGAAAAAGACCAGCUCGGAAAGCCAGGCGCGAGAGGAUCAAGAACUCAAGGAACAGGUGACGCGGAUUCCGGAGAUUGUCCAAGAGCAAGUGGAACAAUGACUCGGAGCGACGAUCACCGCCAUUGUGCCUACCUUGAUCUCGGGGUUGAGUGCGUGGAUUGCGGGCGGCCAACAGGGGCCGCCCCCGAUUCCUAGCUUCACGGCCAGCAACUCGCAUAAUGCGAUGGCGGGGCCAUUGGUGCCUCCGGCGGAGGCGGCAUUGGUGUCUCCGACGCCGGCACGGGAGCUUAAUGCACCCGGGUGUACGCCGGCCGGCACCUCUGCAGCAAGCGGCCCCUCCGUCAACUGCACGCCCGCCGUUGGCGGUGCGUCGACAUUAGCCGAGCUCGACGCCAUCAACACGGUAACUAAUUAAGCCUCUCUCGGCCGAGGACUUCAUCUCCUUGCCUUUGACUAGGCAUCCCUGACGCCCUACAUGUUUUCGCAGGGCGCCGCCGACGUUCCGUGCACUCUCCUCCACUUCGUGAACAACGAGUUGGUCGAUGUCGCCAAGGGCAAAAUCGUUCAACCGGCAACCCCUUGUUCCACGGUACCCAGAUGCCACCCAACUUGUUUAGGGUUCAACUGGUUCGGGUGUUGCCAGGCUGCGACGACUUGUUACCUCUGAUUCGACCCGUUGGGGCCGACGAUGAAGACGUGAUGACCCUCAGCGCCUGCCUGAGCUGGCCCCUAGUUUGGCCGAAGAGCCAGAUUCGUUUGGGGGCGGGGGACACCACCCCAAAGACAACACCGCCAGUCGUGCUGGUGCCAAGUCGGCCCCAUGGCAAGACCGCCGUAACGGUGCCGGACAUCCCUAUGCCACUGGAUCCAAACAUGCAUAUGGCACAGGAUCAGAAUGACGACGACAACGACGAUGAUACAUUUGGCAACGUCGAUCAGUACUUUGCCGAUCAUGGGUACGAUGGCGACUUCAUGGGGCCUCCUUCUCAAGAACCAAACCCAACAAAAGACGUGUGCGAUCUAGCUGGUACCGCAGAGAAGCCAAGUUGCAACAGGCGCCGUCUGGCGUUCAGCUCUCAGGAGACGCCUCCAGCUGCCGACUUCACCGAUCCUCAGAUAGGCGAGGUGCGAAAUAUUAUCAGCCCCAACACACUCAAGAAGGCGGUCUGUGAGCAGAACUCGGUCCCAUUACAGGAGAAGAAGAAGGCACGCAAAAGAAAGACUAAGAAGGGUGCGAGCCAGCCGGCACCGAGUACGAUCCGUGCUCAGGACGGGCCACCUUCACCGCAGGAUAUCUCGAGGAGGGUGCAUGUGGCGGGUAGGGCGAUGCUACCGACAAAUAUGCUCAAUGCUGCAACCGGUGCUAUGCGGAGUCUGCAUGACAGUGUUCUUGCUUUGGAGAAGCGGCGUCUCAGAGAGAAGGAUGUGGCAUACCCGGUUUUCGCGGCCAAGGUGCCAAAGGGCAAGGGCUUUGUGGAUAACUCCAUCGGGCGUACGAUCGUCCUGCGUUUUGAUGACAUCCACGCUAUGUUGAACCUUCAUCCGCUGCACUACACCUUCGUUCGGCUAUUUUCGCUGAGUAUGGAGAUGCGGAUCAUUCGCGACAAGACCCCGGACAUCGUGAUAGUCGACCCCUUCUACAUGCGUGCCAAGAUCUUGGGCAGCGCUGGGGACCGGCAAGUCGCGAGUUCUUACCUCGAAGGCAUCAUUCUGGCAAACCAAGAUAAGGAUAACUUCCUCGUGCCUUACUUUCCCGAGUAAGUCCUCCCCUCAACCGGCCCGUAACAUAUGAAUUCUUACAUUUCGAUCGUUUUUCUUUUAACAUUCCGUGUUUUUUGCAGUGACACACGUUGCACGCUCAUCCUCCUAAGCCCCAAAUAUUCCAUGGCCACAUAUUUCGACCCGGACUGUUAGUCGAACGUAGACUACACAAAUGUCAAGAAGGUUCUUGAUGAUGUUCUCCCCGGCUAUGCCAAAUCUGGAGGCACCUUCACCAGGCCUAAUCGUAAGUACGGCAAGCAUGUUUUCUCCCACAAUACGAUGUUCUACUGCGUCAAGCAGCCGCCUGGUGGUCAGAAGGGUGCCUACUACGCCAUCCAUCACAUGCGGGCGAUCGUACGGGACCAUCAUCAACUUCUGCUACCGAGUAAACUCAAAGAUUGGGCAAAGAGCGUGUCGGCAAUCGAGGACGCGGACCUCCGACAAGAAUUCUUUCGCAUCCAGUCGGAGUUUGCGGAAAUCAUCCAUCAAGAUGUCCUUCGUACCUCGGGGCAGUUCUACCUCAACAAUCAACCGUCCAAUAGUGACAUCGACAUAAUGCUACAAAUGCAGGCUGACAACGACCGUUAUUUCAUGACUCCCACGAUAGACGGCGGCUUCAUCCACGCUCCGGUCCCUUGAGUCGAGUCGAAAGCAGUGAUGCUGUGUCUAGUUCUGAAACAUCGAUUGGCUCAUGUUGUAAUUAAACUUUAAUGAACUUGUAGUAUGUCUCUUUGGUUUCGAGAGUCGUUCAACUUAGAUGUAAUCGAUGCUAUUAAUGUCUUGCUUUUCUCUUCCGAUUGUUCUGUUGCAUACUUAUAUAUUGCUUAUGUAUUGUCUGUGAAUUGGUACUAACGUUUCGUUUGGCUAGUGCAUAGCGAUGCCGACGUAUGUCGUGUACAAGGGUAAGGUUCCCGUAGUCUACGAUGACUGGGAGGAGUGUCGGAGACAGGUUCACCGAUUCAGCGGUAACAGUUACAAAGGGUACACCACUAGGGCCGAGGCCGAAUCUAGAUACGCCCGCUAUCUAGCGGGAGAGGGGAGGGAGCGUUGGAGGAACCGGAUGAAGACGAGUUUCAUCGUGAUGAUGCUCAUCGUGAUGACCGCAGCUCUCUUCUAUGUGAUGGUAGUUUAGAUGAUCGAUAUCGACUUGUAAUGUGAAGACAAACUCGCUACUCGCGGUCUCGAGACUUGUAAUAUAAUGUUCUAUCUUUGUUCGGUCUUUUUAAUUCGGAGACUAAUAUGAUGAAUUGUAUUCGGAGACUAAUAUGAUGAAUUGUAUUCAAAGACUAAUCUUCUAUUGUAUUCGAUGAAUCUGUUGUUGAUGUGUGCUGUCUAUAUUUUGUCAAAUUAUACAUUUUGUAACCUGUGCAAAAAACAGAAAAUAAAAAAUAAAAAAAACCUAAUAUUCAUACUAAUGACGCAUCACAUGAUAGUGCGCCAUUAGUAUGACAGUGCAUACUAAUGGCGCAUCACUGGGCAGUGCGCCAUUAGUAUGCCGCGGUUACUAAUGGCGCAUCCAGCGGUGGUGCGCCAUUAGUAUGCCAAAGCACCUGGGUAUACAUGGCCCCUGGGAGGCAUACUAAUGGCGCACCCUUGCCUAUACUAAUGGCGCACGCGCGGUGCGCCAUUAGUAUACCAGAUACUAAUGGCGCACCAGGUGGUGCGCCAUUAGUAAAAAUUACUAAUGGCGUGCUAUUAAUGGCGCACCACAGAUGCGCCAUUAAUGGCCAUUUUAGGUGCGCCAUUAGUAGGGGUUUUUCUAGUAGUGUAAUAAGCGAGAUGACGCAGUUCCUGACCGCCCCGCUACCACUACUGGUUCCAGCGUGGCGUUUGAAUUAUGCCGCGCUAGAUGCCUUUUGUCCAGCGAGGAACAAGUGGGGUCAAGCGUGCUUUGGCAAUUCCCGCCGUCAGAAGACUUCCUUGUAGUCCGGUGUAGAGGUGAGGUUGUAGGGAGAUGCAUCGACUAGGAAGGAGUGGCCACAUGAACGAGCAUAUGUAUGAUGUGAUUAAGUCUCUCGAUCGGGUAUCUGGUGCCUUACGUACGGUGUCUUAUUUUUGUCAAGCUAUGACAUCUUUCAGUUUGAGUGUCUGAUAUUAGGGUUGCAUACGUUUUGUUAUUCAGUUGCCUGUUGUCAACUCUAUGGUUAUAUCACCUCGAUGUGUGAGUCAAUGUGUUUGAACCAAUGUAGAGUUUCAUGUGAAUGUUACAAGUGUGAUUGAUAUCUUCAUGUUAUAACCGCAGUUGCCUUGGUAAGAAAUUGAAAGAGCAAACCGUUAUCGUGUUAGGAAAAAAGUCAUCGCUCAAUAUAAGUUGCUUCUCUAGAACAACCACACCUUUCCCUCAAAAAAAAGAACAACCACACCUUGUGAAAGAAGAUGGCAAACACCCAAUUAUGUCUGGUUAGAUAUGGGCAUGGCUAUGGGUAGCUUAUAGCGACACGGAAGCUAGCAUCGCCUGAAGAAACACCCGGAUGGGCCGGCCUAGAGACAAAUUUCUUCAUUUCUACCCUUAGUUUUGUUUUUCUGCCCUUUUUUCUUUAUAUUUUAUAUUUUUCCCGACAUGUUCACUACUUGAUGCUCAACUGGGAUCUCAUCUGAUGCGGAGCAUCCUAUGGACAUCACCAUGUCAAGAGUCCGUUCGGCAAGUGACACGUGUGACAUCUACUUCUCAUACAUAAAGGUGAAUCUUCUCCUUUACACGUGUUUACUUGACCCCUUCGAGGAUGGUAUACUACUUGACACUUCUCCCGUGUGCAUGCAUAGGUAUUGUCGGAGCUUCAUGGAUGUCGAGGAGGAGUGCAAGCGCCAAGGAAUGACUACACCGUCCGCGAGGGAAGCAUGGAAGAGAAGGAGGAAGAGAACCUGGCUACUCCAGAACGAGCGGUACUACUGCCCACUCCAAGCGGUACUACCGCCGAGGCCACCCAAGCGGCACUACCGCCCAGCAUCCGCCCUUCUACUGCUCAACCCGACAAACUCCAGUGAUCGAGCGGUGUAAGUCCGGUACUACUGCCCCUCCAAGCGGUACUACCGCUCAAGCGGUACUACCACCCAUGAGUCCGGUACUACCGCCCUGCCUCUGCCCAGCCGUGGGCCUUUGGCCUUGUAUCCCUCUCCCACUUACCCCUUCGUGGCUUAGACUAUAAAUAGGCCACCUCCACCUCCUUUCUAGGGUUAGCACAGAUUUAGCUCAUUUUGAGAUAGAGCUUUGCUCAUCCAUACGGAUCUACUCCUCGUGAGAGACCGCGACCUCUUCGGAGAAGAUCCAUCUUGGAUUCAAGACCCCCUCGUGGGAAGAUCCGUCUAGGAUACCAACAAGACCUCCUCUUGGAGAUGAACCUUACCUUGUAUCUUUCCCUUUGUUGUUCAUGUACCCUUGUGGAUCUUGUGUGUUUGAUUGUCUAGUGGAUGUGUGAUUGGACUUGUACUUGAGUGUUUCCCCUUGUGAUUUCUCUCCGUUCUUCCACGUGUUCUUCAUAGGGAUCCGCUCCAAACGUGAAAGAUCGGCCUCUAGGGUUCUAGCCUACAUCAUCUUGGAUCAGAGCAAGGUUGAUCACGGAUUUGGAGCCCCUACCCCUCUUUUUCUAGCCUUCUUUUGCUUGCUUUCGUCCUAAAAUCCCCACAAAAAAUAGCCCCAAUUUUUUUGUGAUUUGUUCGUUUGAUGAUUUUUUGUUGAUUUUGAUCCAUGGAUUUGCUUGGUUUUGAGUGGAUCUAGCAUCUCUCCAAGUUUCCCCACCUUCCAUCCACGAAAUCCAUCCAAUUUUGCCCCUGAAAUCAUCCUUUUCCGCCCCAAAUUCGCCCCGAUUUCGAUCUGUGAAUUUUCCCGACACGAGCGGUACUACCGCCCUCGAAGCGGUACUACCGCCCUCGAAGCGGUACUACCGCUGAGCACCACAAGCGGUACUACCACCCUCCCAAGCUAUGACGCCCGGAUAAUUAAGCUACAGUAAUCCCCUUCUAAUGGUGCCAUGUCAUCACAUUACUGUUGCUAAUCCUCGCUUGAUCCAAAUCUUAGUUCAAACUCAAAUUCAAAUUAAAGACCAAAAUUCAAAUUUCUCAAGCAUGCAAAAUAAAAUGUUCAAAGUGUGGCAAAUAAUCGCUGGAUAUUUGUCAUGUUGCAAACAACCUCUUUUGAAUUCUCAAAAUGCCCCUGGGAAUUAAUUUUUGGUCCAGUAGUAAAUUAAAUGGCAUUUGCAAAAUAAAGAAUUGUUUAUUUAACUCCAAUUGCCUCCAAACUUUAUGUGCCACUCCAAAAUAUUUGUGGCUCUGUCUAAGAUCGCCAAGGAAUUAAAAGGGCACUUCCCAUAUUUUCCCUAAGUAAAUAGUGUGCCCAAAAUAUUCUCUUAACCAUCUCUAUUUUUUUAAAUAAAAAAAGGCGAAGAAGAACUCCCCCGGGCCUCGGGCCACUCCCACUUACCAGCCCACCUAAGCCGGCCCACUCCCCCGCUCCCCUAGCCUAUAGGCCACGGCCGACCGAACCCUAACCCCGCAUGAUCCCCCCACUCCCCACUCCUCUCCCCUCUCGAUCCGAUCUGGAUCGGACCGAAACCGGCGCAAUUGGUCGAUCCAUGUAUAAAGUAAAAAUAACUAGGCCCAAUUGGUCGAUCCAUGACAGUUUUCGUGACGGUACUUCCACGUCUGUCAUGAGGGGGCUACCCUACUUGGCCCCAAAUGGAUCUUGCUAAUUGGUGACGGUUUCCGUGAUAGAUUUCUGGAACGUCACCAGAAAUCCGUCAUUGAUUAACAGAUUUCCGCACAAUCCCCCCACUCCCCACUCCUCUUCCCUCCUGAUCCGAUCUGGAUCGGACCGAAAUCGGCGCCGCGACGCCAACCGCCGUCGCUGGAGGCGUCCCCGACUCCACGCCGGGCCGCCCCGUCACUGGACCUCCUCCCCGUCGCCACUCGUCACUCGCUGGACCGCCUCGUCCCCACCAAUGCCGCCCCCACCCCAACGUCCCCGACGCCUUCGCCGUCGGCACCGCCCCAAUGUCGCCGCCACCCGACGCCGGCGCCCUCGACAUCGCCACCCCGAGCCCACUGCCACCCCUACGCUCCGCUAUGAGCCCCUCGCUGAUUCCCCCUCCUUCCCGUCGUCGUAGGUGGCUGCGCGCGUCGUUGGCCAUCGUGGCCGCGCUCCGGCCGUUCCCCAUCCGUGCGCUGGCCUCGCCUUCCUCGGAUUGCAAACAUUGAACUUUUCCCCUCGGGUUCAUCUAUCUGACAGACGUUCGGGACCAGAAAAACUUUCCCGGAUGUUUCCCCCUUCGCCAGUAUCACCUAGCACCGCGUUAGAACACUUCUAGCCCCGCUUAUUGUCUUGUUAUGCAUAUGUUUGCGUGUAUUUACUGUUUCUUCCCCCUCUUCUUCUCCGGUAGACCUCGAGACCGUUGCUGAUGCCCCUGUGGUCGACUACGUCGACGGCGACCCUCCUUGUCUGAGCAACGAGGCAAGCCCCCCCUUUGAUCAUCCCGAUAUCGCCCAUUCCAUUCUCUAAUGCUUGCACUAGAUUUUCUACUGUAUUUGAUUGCUCCUAUUCUGAUGCAUAGCAUGCUUUUCUACCUGCUGUUGUACCUUACCUGCUUAUCCUAAACUGCUUAGUAUAGGUUGGCUAGUGAUCCAUCAGUGACCCCCACCUUGUCUUUGUUGCCCCUGCUUCAUCAUUGACGACUCGAUCAACGUGAUCGACGACCGGAGCCUGACACCUCACAUCACAUCACGCCCCUUUUUGUUGCUCGACUCUGCAGAGUUACCAUCGAGUGCCGAGGGUGGAACCUCAUACAUCACUCCUUAUGAGAUCUCUGUAGUGUAGCUAUUCGGUCGUGGUCAUCGAGGGUGGUUCCUCCUUCACCAUUCCUAAUACGGCUCUGUCGUGCAACACCUCAAGUGUGAACCUCGAGGGUGGUUCCUCUUACGUUCACCUUGAUGAUUACAUCGAGUGGAAUCCACCGGGGGUGAUUCCUCGGAUUUUCCCCUUUAUGUCUGGACACACAGUUACCUUGACUUCACUUGAGACCGUUUUGAAAGCCGGGCAGGCCCGGAGAGCACCCGUGCGGUGUGACGGUGGCGGCUGGCUGUUUAGCGGUAUCACCCGGGAGGGGGUGAUAGCUCCGGACUUGUCCCGACAGCCGUCACUUCUUUUAAUAAUGCACUAACAGGUUUGGGUAUUUUUUCUAAGUUCACUAACCACGACGCUAGAAUAGUUAUGGGUCUCGAUGUUGCAGUAUCAGCCGAAGCUUUCUCAGACGUCCAGUUCAGCAUUGUGGCCGGGCCGAAUCAUGCCAUCCACUUCACGGGUGGUGCUGGUAUCCCCUUGCGCACAACGACCCAGAGUGCAACGGGCGAUGGGCCCAGACCCCGGAGUGCUUAGGAUGUAGACCGGCAGGGACCUCUCUGCUGAGCCUAGGUAGGGCAGCUACGUGUUGAUCUUCCGAGGCCGGGCAUUGACCCCAGAAAGGUGUGUCCUUCCAGAGUGAUCGAGCGUGUUGGGUAACGUGGUGCCCCCCUGCAGGGAAGAUUAUCUAUUAAUAGCCGUGUCCACGGUAACGGACGUUCAAACUUAUAUCUUGAUCUUAUACAACUACAAAUGGAUACUUGAGAUAUGUGGCUCCGGGAUUGCUUUCUCGCAGGGAGUCGAGGAAGGAUCUCUGGGCGUUGUUGUCACAACAUGCUUGUUAAUUAAACUGCUAUUCUUUACUCUUCUACAUGCUGCAAGAUGCUUGGAGCUACUUGAAGAUGCUAGUCUUCAUGAGGCUAGGCCUUCCCCUCUAUUCUGGCAUUCUGCAGUUCAGUCCACAGAUACAACCCUUCCAUUUGAUACCAAUGCAUACUUAGUAUAGAUCUGAUGCUUGCGAGUACUUUGGAUGAGUACUCACGGUUGCUUUGCUACCCCAUUUCCCCCUUCUUUCUUCUUUCCGGUUGACGCAACCAAAUGGUGGAUCCCUGGAGCCAGAUGCCAGCGCUGAUAGAUGCUACUAUGUGAAGAUCGCCGACGACCAGGAGUAGUUAGGAGGUCCCAAGCAGGAGGCCUUGCCUCUUCGAUCAUUGUUGCUUUUGUGCUAGCCUUCUUAAGGCAUCUUUGUUUAACUUAUGUCUGUACUCAGAUAUUGUUGCUUCCGCUGACUCUUGUGUAUCGAGCUAUGUAUUCAAGCCCUCGAGGCCCCUGGCUUGUAAUAUAAAGCUUGUAUUAUUUUGAUUUGUGUCUAUAGUUGUGUUGUGAUAUCUUCCCGUGAGUCCCUGAUCUUGAUCAUACACAUUUGCGUGCAUGAUUAGUGUACGAUUGAAUCGGGGACGUCACAAGUUGGUAUCAGAGCCGACUGUUUGUAGGAUCCCCCUUUCCAACUCCUUGGCUGAAGUUGAGUCUAGUCUUUGAAAAAAAUUGUUUUACUAACAUGGUUGUGUGGCUUACGGGCCCAUGUCGCCAUUGGGUGGUAUUAGGAUCUUUUACUCCUCGACCUUUACUCUGGGACUCUAAUCGCUCUUCUAUUCGGGUUAAAUGGUCUCGCAAACUAUAACUCUAGGUUCUCGUAAAUACUUUCUCCCGGAGAGCCCCUUCAUUCCAGAUGAUGGCCUGCUUCACCAGAUGAUUUCGAAGAUACCCUUCUGUAAUUUCCUGAGACUUUUGUACUCAUUGCUUUUGCAGUUCCCUACCUCUGAUAUAUCCUUACGGAUAACUUCAUACACUUGUCAUUCAUACAAUCAUUCCUAGUUGCUCUUGUUUUUACAAGAUACAUUGAAUUAUUCUCCGACUUUUAAGAAUCCCUUGCUUACUGCCCUGCAGUUCCUUGCCGCAUGAAUACCCCUACGGAUAAUUACUCGCACUUGCCGAGUAUCCGUUCGUCCAUAGUUGUUCAUGUGUUUCACAACAUUCUUUGGAAAGCUAUUUGAUCUUUUCAAAAAUCCUCAGUAGCCUAUUACUCUUGUUCCUCCUUACCUACUUACAGUAUGGUUACUUCCAUUUGUCUAGCAAUAUUCUUUAAAAUCCUUUGCGAUUGACAUCCUUACCCUAUUGUUUCAACAUGUGUGUGAAUGCACGCAAUCAUCAAUUGUUCCCUGGAAUUGUCCUUCUGGCUCAGACGUUACCCCGGACACGAGCUGGUGUUCGACAAAACAAACCUUGAUUGAUUUUGAAUCUAUGUCUAUACAACUUAAUUGUCUUUGAUCAGAGCCUCUGCUUUUGAUCCCCCAUUUUGAAAAUCAUAAUCCCCUUUGCAUUCGAGCAUAGAAUUAGUCAGUUGUUUCUAUAACCUGACCUCCUUGAAUUCUUUCUUCUUCUGGUUGAGUAUCGAUACUCACAUCAGAUCCAUUGUGGACCUCCAGGUCCUUUGUUGGUUUUUAUCCGACAGCAUCCUUCAUAUUCAGUAACCUUGUGAGCCUUUCCUCGAAUACACAAUGCCUUUGGUAAAUUGUAUCCCCCACUCUCGUCAACCAUACUCUGCUUCCGGGCUUGAGUUAUUUACUCGUGAAGUUUGUGGUAUAUGUUCCUAAUAUGUCCCUAUGGGUUGAAUCUAUGUCUUCCCUAAAUCUGUGUGAACCCUACGACUCAUACUCUACUGGUGUUAUGCCAGAUAAAAUCUCAACAGUACGGCUUCGUUGAAAAUGAGAAGUGAAUGAAAGGUUAUGCAUCGAAGAAGUGGGAGUCGACCUUGAGCCUUGUGUUCAUGCCCAUGGACACGAUGUGGAACUUAACAUGGAAGCUUCUUUUUAUAAUAAUAGCCCCCUAGCGAUAAGUACAUCUUGUAUCCAUGUGUGGUCCAUUGCAAUCGUGGUUCCGACCAUAUUGUUCUUGUUUGAUCCAUUUAUCGGACAAGUUAAAGUACUUGUCUUCUUCAAAUUGUUUCACAUGUUCAACCUCUACAUUGAUAUACCUUCGAGCAUUAUCCUCUGGUAUCUCGAGAAUAUCACGGAACUACAUAACUUCUUAUGAGUUCUUGAUCAACUAUUAUUUCUCACUGAUUCAAAUUUUUCACUAGUUGGGAGUUGUUAGACACUCGAGAAUACAGUUAACUGAUUCAAGUCUACGCUUUCCUUUCCAUUGUUCUGUUUAAUCUUUCUGGUAACCUAUCUUAUCUGAGAACUGAUAAUUCCCUGCUUAUGUAAACACCUCGGUGUACAAGCUCUGUCUGUAAGACCUUGUUACUAUUGUUGAGGACAUUCCGAUAGCUACCGAUGGACGAGAACUUUGCCUAUUGGUCCGCCUCAUCUUAACGAGCAGGAAAAUGGUUCUCUUUGUCCCUCUCCCUUGGUACCAACGUUGUUGCCAACAUAACUGACAAGUUGUCCUCUGACCUGCCUUGCUAUCAUGACCAUGCAAAAUGCUAGCGCCCUUCCUGCUUUUAACCCACAAGGUGGGCCUGAGGGAGUCCUGGACUAGGCGGUGUCCGGACAGCCGGACUAUCAUCGUCCGCCGGACUCCAAGACUACGAAGAUACAAGAUUGAAGACUCCGUCCCGUGUCUGGAUGGGACUUUCCUUGGCGUGGAAGGCAAGCUUGGAAAUACGGAUAUGUAGAUCUCCUACCAUUGUAACCGACUCUGUGUAACCCUAGCCUCCUCCGGUGUCUAUAUAAACCGGAGGGCUUUAGUCCGUAGGACACAACAUACAUUACAACAAUCAUACCAUAGGCUAGCUUUAGGGUUUAGCCUCCUUGAUCUCGUGGUAGAUCCACUCUUGUACUACCCAUAUCAUCAAUAUUAAUCAAGCAGGAUGUAGGGUUUUACCUCCAUCGAGAGGGCCCGAACCUGGGUAAAACAUCGUGUCCCUCGUCUCCGGUUACCAUCCGCCUAGACGCACAGUUCGGGACCCCCUACCUGAGAUCCGCCGAUUUUGACACCGACAUUGGUGCUUUUAUUGAGAGUUCCUCUGUGUCGUCACCAAUAGGCUCGAUGGCAUCUUCAACCAACAACGCUGUCCAGGGUGAGACUUUUCUCCCCGGACAGAUCUUUGUAUUCGGCGGCUUCGCACUGCGGGCUAAUUCGUUUGGCCAUCGGAGCAGAUCGAAAGCUACGCCCCUGGCCGUCAGGUCAGAUUCGGAAGUCUCAACUUCACGGCCGACGUCCGCGGAGACUUGAUCUUCGACGGGCUCGAGCCACAGCCAAGCGCGCCGCACUGUUACGAUGGGCAUGAUCUAGCUCUGUCGCCGAACAGUGCCUUGGUGGCCGCCCACGAAUCCGCUUCGGCCUUUAGUCCGGGGCCGAUCGCCCAGACCGAGGAACGGUGGAUGGACACCGCCUCGGGGGCUUCAACUUCCACGGCGAUGGAGCCGAACACUAAUCUUGUCCCUCGCAAAACUCGUGAUUCCGAGGUGCCGGACUCCUUGCCGGACUCCGAAGCUCCCACGCCCCUACCAACCGAAUCGGAUUGGGCGCCGGUUAUGGAAUUCACCGCCGCGGACAUCUUCCAAUACUCGCCUUUUGGCGACAUCCUGAAUUCGCUAAAGCAUCUCUCGUUAUCAGGAGAGCCCUGGCCGGACUAUGGCCAGGAUGGUUGGGAUACGGACGACGAAGAAAUUCAGAGCCCACCCACCACCCACUUUGUAGCCACUGUCGACGAUCUAACCGACAUGCUAGACUACGACUCCGAAGACAUCAACGCUAUGGACGACAAUGCCAGAGACGAACAGGAACCAGCGCCUACAGGGCACUGGAAGACCACCUCGUCAUAUGACAUAUACAUGGUGGAUACCCCAAAAGACGGGGACGGCGAAGAAACAGCGGAGGCAUAUUCUUUAAAGAAACAGCCCAAGCGCCGGCAUCAGCGGCGCUGCUCUAAAUCCCGCCACGGCAAGAAUGGAGAUUCCAGCACAGGAGAUAAUAAUACCCCAGAAAGUGCCGAAGAUAACCCCCUCCAGCAAGACUCAGCGCAGGAGGAUGCAGAAGCAAGCCCUCACGAGAAGGCGGCAGACAAAGAGGUUGAGGAUUACAACUAUAUGCCUCCCUCCGAAGACGAGGCAAGCCUCAACGAUGACGAAUUCGUCGUGCCCGAGGAUCCCGUCGAACAAGAGCGUUUUAAACGCAGGCUUAUGACCACGGCAAAUAGCCUAAAGAAAAAGCAGCAGCAGCUUCAAGCUGAUCAGGACCUGCUGGCCGAUCGAUGGACCGAGGUCCUCGCGGCCGAAGAGUAUAAACUCGAAUGCCCCUCCAAAAGCUAUCCAGGACGCAAGCUGCUCCCCCGAUUAGAGGAGGAAGCAUACAUACCUCCAUCACCAGCGCACGAUACGGCUGACCGACCACCCCGUGGUCGUGACAGAGAGGCAUCCAGGCCCCCAACCAAGACCGUACCCCGGCAUCGCUCGAAAAGUAUGAAGCCAAGAGGGAACGCGCCGGACUUGCGAGAUAUAUUGGAGGACAAAGCAAGGCAAUCCAGAUCCAUCUACGGAUCACGGGGGUGCCCCACGACCCAUGACGAAUACCGUCGCGCCGGAUACAAUAACCCCGGCCGGGCCGAACACAGCAGACAACGCUCUCUCGAGUUGCAUCGUGAUAUUGCUCAAUAUAGAGGCGCCGCACACCCGCUAUGCUUCACAGACGAAGUAAUGGAUCAUCAAAUCCCUGAAGGGUUUAAACCCGUAAACAUCGAAUCCUACGAUGGCACAACAGACCCUGCGGUUUGGAUCGAAGAUUACCUUCUCCACAUCCAUAUGGCCCGCGGCGACGAUCUACAUACCAUCAAGUACCUCCCACUCAAGCUUAAAGGACCAGCUCGGCAUUGGCUCAACAGCUUGCUCGCAGAGUCAAUUGGGUGUUGGGAAGACCUAGAAGCCGCAUUCCUUGAUAACUUCCAGGGCACGUAUGUGCGACCACCAGACGCCGAUGACCUAAGUCACAUCAUUCAGCAGCCAGACGAAUCGGCCAGACAAUUCUGGACACGGUUCUUGACAAAGAAAAAUCAAAUCGUCGACUGUCCGGAUGCAGAGGCCCUUGCAGCCUUCAAACAUAACACCCGCGACGAAUGGCUAGCCCGGCACCUGGGGCGGGAAAAGCCGAAAUCCAUGGCAGCCCUCACAUCAUUAAUGACCCGCUUUUGCGUGGGAGAGGAUAGCUGGCUAGCUCGCAGCAACAAUCUCCGUAAAAAUUCUGGCAGUCCAGACACCAAGAACAAUAAUGGCAGGUCACGUCGAAACAAAAACAAACGCCGCAUCAACGGCAAUGAUAAGGAGGAUACGGCAGUCAACGCCGGAUUCCGAGGCUCUAAACCCGGUCAACGGAAGAAGCCAUUCAAAAGAACCACUCCGGGUCCGUCUAAUUUGGACCGAAUACUCGACCGCUUAUGCCAGAUACAUGGCACCCCUGAAAAGCCAGCUAAUCACACUAAUAGAGACUGCUGGGUGUUCAAGCAGGCAGGUAAGUUAAUUGCCGAAAACAAUGACAAGGGGCUAAACAGCGAGGACGAGGAGGAGACCCGACCGCCGAACAAUAGAGGACAAAAGGGUUUUCCCCCACAAGUGCGGACGGUGAACAUGAUCUACGCGACCCAUAUACCCAAUUGGGAGAGGAAGCGUGCACUAAGGGACGUCUAUGCGAUGGAGCCAGUCGCCCCGAAGUACAAUCCAUGGUCCUCUUGUCCGAUCACUUUCGAUCGAAGAGACCAUCCGACCAGCAUACGCCAUGGCGGAUUCGCCGCAUUGGUUCUAGACACAAUCGUCGAUGGAUUUCACCUCACGAGAGUCCUGAUGGACGGCGGUAGUAGCCUGAACCUGCUUUAUCAGGACACAGUGUGCAAAAUGGGCAUAGACCCCUCAAGGAUUAAACCUACAAAGACAACCUUUAACAGUGUCAUACCAGGUGUGGAAGCCAACUGUACAGGCUCAGUCACACUGGAAGUGGUCUUCGGAUCCCCGGACAAUUUCCGGAGCGAGGAGUUAAUCUUCGACAUAGUCCCGUUUCGCAGCGGCUAUCACGCUCUGCUCGGACGAAUCGCGUUCGCAAAAUUCAACGCGGUGCCGCAUUGUGCAUACCUCAAGCUCAAGAUGCCAGGCCCUCAUGGAGUCAUCACGGUCAAUGGGAAUACGGAACGCUCCCUCCGAACGGAGGAACAUACAGCGGCUCUCACGGCAGAAGUACAGAGCAGCCUUUUAAGGCAAUUCUCGAGUCCGGCCAUUAAACGGCCGGAUACAUCAAAGCGCGCCCGAAGCAAUACCAACCAAGACCACCUGGCGUGAUCAGAGCACGCGUAGCAAUGCGGCCCCAACCCCCGCCCGCGCGUGAUUGCAAGAAUAACCCUCCGCGUACAUCAUUACGCUUUGGAGAUACCAUGGGCGCAGGGGAAGGGGCACGAUCACAACGGACCCAGAGUGCAGUUCGACCGCACCAGGGGCUCGCAAGUGUGCCCCCUUUUUUUUAUUGUUAUUUUCCCUCUUUGUGUACACAGGACUCCGUUAGCCAGAGGCCCUAUCCGGCGGUGAACCUGCCGAACUCAUGAUGCAAUAACCAGGGAAGAAAGAACGCUGCGACGAACACUCAGGUGGUCUCAAUUACAAGCAUUAAAUUCGAUUAUAUACACCAAGUCCGCAGCUUACCCUUGGAGGGGGACAUGUUUAAUUAGUCCAAAUCCCUUGCUUACCACACUAUUUGUAUCAGUCCGCACUCAUAGCAGACUUUCUUUCAUAAAUAAUGCAGCACCUUUUUGACUGCAAUUACAUUACCUUUUAUAUAUAUAUGCUCAUUACAUGACAUCUUGCACCCGUAUAUUUUGGUACGGCCUAAUACACCAGGGGCUUAUGUUCCCCACAUUAUGGUGUGAUAAGUCCGAACACUUUCGUAAGUGCAGCACCCCGAACUUAUAGCACUAUAUGAAUCGGCUCCGAAUCAUGUCUUGGGUCAAUAGUUGGGUUUGCCCGGCUCCCACGUUUUGGUGCCUUACGUUCCGUUCUGUCGGCUAAGGUGGCACUGGGAGAACCACUGCGAUUGCGCCCCGGUUGAGCCGGGCGAGCACCUCAGUGGAGAAAGCUAAAACUGACCGGCAUGAUAAGGCGAGAGACUGGUCGCUGUUCGAGAGGUUUUUUCGGGUCCUUAAAGACUCACGCCACUUCGAGCGAAGUUCCGGACCAUGUCUGACGAAGGCGUGGAUAGCGCCCCGGAUUCGGCCUUUCGGAUACCAGGGGCUUCGCCGAAAUUUAAAAUUAUAGAAUUCUAUGGCUAAGUGAGAGUGUUCAAGCAUUAUAAGUCCGGUCGCCUUGUUCGUUGUGUUGAGCACCUCCCUAGAUGGACCCAAAAAUGGGAAUAAGAGUGCUCAAGUUUAUCCCGAACACCCCAGCACUCGUGGCUCGGGGGCUGAAGCCAAUGACUUUCCAUCUCUCAGAUUUUAUAAACGGCCGCACAGAAGGUAAUAUUUUAAAUUAAAACAAGCGUUGCUCAUGGCGCAUCUGAACGAAGUUUUCAGCGCACAGGAUAAUACAUAGCGAGUUCACUCAAAGAUUACAUUUCUAGGGCACUCAUCCGCAAUAUCGCGGGCUCCCUUCAGGACAGUUUUAUAAUACAUUUCAGGCGUGCGAUACUCCUUGCCCGGCGGCGGUGGGUCUGUGAGAAGCUUCUCCGCAUCCAACCUGCCCCAAUGCACCUUUGUGCGGGCAAGGGCCCGACGAGCACCUUCAAUACAGGCGGAGCGCUUGAUGACCUCCACCCAGGGGCAUGCAUCCACCAGCCGCCGCACGAGGCCGAAGUAGCUACCAAGCAUGACCUGUUCAGGCCACAGCCGGACUAUAAGGCCCUUCAUGGCCUCUUCAGCUACCUUGUGGAGUUCGACCAGCUGCUUCAGCUGGUCGCUUGGGGGCACCGGAUGGCCUGCCUCAGCGUACUAAGACCAGAAGACCUUCUCCGUUGAGCUCCCCUCCUCGCCACGAUAGAAUGCGGCGGCAUCGGAGGCACUACACGGCAGAUCUGCAAACACCCCUGGAGAGCUCCGAAUGCGGGUAAUUGUCAGGUAGUUUACAUUAACAUGCUUGCUUUGCAUGAAAAAUGCCUUACCCGCCGCUAUCUUCUUUACAUCUUCAACCUCCUGAAGGGCCUUACGGGCCUCGGCCUUGGCGGACUUGGCACUUUCGAGAGCCGAGGCAAGCUCGGACUCUCGAGUCUUGGAGCCUCCUGCUUUUCUCGCUCCGCCCGUUCCGCGACCGCACUGCGUUCAGCCGCGGACACAGCCUCCUUCAGGGCUGCCACCUCGUUCGUGGCCCCUGCAAUACCCAUAUUAUCCUUGUUAAUUUUAUUGCAACCAAAAUCCUUUUCCGUAAGGUGACUAUUCAAAGCGGUGUUACUCACCUUCUUUGUCCUCGAGCUGCUUCUUGGCAGUGCCGAGCUCUUGCUCGGACCGCUCGAGAUCCUGCUUCAACACAUCGACCUCCGCCGUCAGUGCGGCAGAGGUCAGUAGCGCAGCCUGCAAACCCAUAUUGACAUAUUUUAAGCAACCCUGCGUAUAUCUUGUUAGAUCCUCAGUCCGGCUUUUCUUUCCGAACACCGAACUGAGCAUCAAGGGCUACUGUCUAUGCGGUAUUACAUUACAUAAUUUUAACUUCUUACCUCAAAGCCUGUUAGAAGGCUGCUGCAGGCUUCGGUCAGCCCGCUCUUGGCGAGCUAAACCUUUUGAAUCACCGCACUCAUGUUAGUGCGAUGUUUUUCCUCGAUGGAAGCGCCUUCAAGCGCCUCCAACAAGUUAUCCGGCGCCUCCGGUUGGACGGAGGUCGCCGGUGUCAAGGUCUUGCCCUUCUUUCGAAGGGGCCGCCCGCCGGACUCUAGAACCACUGCGGGUUCCGAUGUAGAGUCCGGCACAAAGUCUGGGAGGCAGCCUGACGACGCCUCCGGAGCCUCCUCCUGAUGGGUCCCUCUCUGGGAUCCCACCUCGGCGUCCCCGUCGGCGCGGGGGGUAGAGGCGGUCGGAAGUGAAUCCACAUCUAACGGGGCCAACGACCCGCUCGAUGAAGCGGGGAGAUCAUCAUCGGCCGGACUACGGACAGAACGCGGCAUUAGAAGGACACUACGCGACACGAAAGAAAUUGCAUAUCAUGGAUCCGGAUACUUACGAUCUUGUCGGACGCCUGGCCCUUGGAGGCCACUCAUCCUCGCCAACGGUGGUGUUGGCGAAACUGUCCGGGGGGAUAGUCCUCCCCCUCUUGGACCCUUCGGCCUCCCCUAUUGGGAAAGCCUUCCACUUCUUCUCUCCCUCCUCCGAGAGAGAGUCCUCUUCCUCCUCCUCGUCUUUGGGGGAGGAGUCCGCCUCGUCGUCGGACGCCUAAUUGCGGGAACUCUUUCGAGUCCCCGCGGCCACCUUCUUGGCCUUCUUCUCCGGCACCACGUGCGGUGCCGGAACCAGCAGCCCUGCUAAACGGGCGUUCUCUGGGUCUUCAGGCAUGGGAGCCGGGCUGAUGAGCUGCUUGGCCUUCUCCAUCCAUUCCUAUCAAAGGAAAAGAGAGAUUGAAACCCUCUUAGAAUCAGUUUAAUUACCACAAGUGUCCCGUAACGUGGUUGAAUCACUUACCUCGUCAGCCGGAUGCUGCGAGCGAAAUCCGUGAUCUUCCGUCGCGGAUGCGGGGGCUUCGGCGCCCUUAAACAGCACCCUCCAGGCGCCUUCGUAUGUCGUAUCGAAGAGCCCGCUCAGCGCCUGGUGCUGUUCCGGAUUGAACUCCCACAGAUUGAAUACCCGUUCUUGGCAUGGGAGAAUCCGGCGGAUGAGCAUGACUUGGACCACGUCGACGAGCCUGAGCUUAUUGCUCACCAGCUUCUGGAUGCAGGCUCGGAGUCCCGUCACCUCCUUCGGAUUUCCCCACAGCAAGCCCUUCUCUUUCCAGGAGGUGAACUGCGUGGGGACGCCAGAUCUAAACUCGGGGGCCGCCGCCCAUGUGGGCUUGCGCAGCUCGGUGAUGUAGAACCAACCCGAUUGCCACCCCUUGACGGAGUCCACGAAGGCCCCUUCGAGCCAAAGGACGUUGGGCAACUUACCCAACAUGGCGCCUCCGCAUUCCGCUUGCGUGCCCUUCACAACCUUCGGCCUCCCCUAUUGGGGAAGCCUUCCUCUUCUUCUCUCCCUCCUCCGGGAGAGAGUCCUCUUCCUCCUCCUCGUCUUCGGGGGAGGAGUCCGCCUCGUCGUCAGACGCCUGAUUGCGGGAACUCUUUCGAGUCCCCGCGGCCACCUUCUUGGACUUCUUCUCCGGCACCACGUGCGGUGCCGGAACCAGCAGCCCUGCUAAACGGGCGUUCUCUGGGUCUUCAGGCAUGGGAGCCGGGCUGAUGAGCUGCUUGGCCUUCUCCAUCCAUUCCUGUCAAAGGAAAAGAGAGAUUGAAACCCUCUUAGAAUCAGUUUAAUUACCACAAGUGUCCCAUAACGGGGUUGAAUCACUUACCUCGUCAACCGGAUGCUGCGAGCGAAAUCCGUGAUCUUCCGUCGCGGAUGCGGGUGCUUCGGCGCCCUUAAACAGCACCCUCCAGGCGCCUUCGUAUGUCGUAUCGAAGAGCCCGCUCAGCGCCUGGUGCUGUUCCGGAUUGAACUCCCACAGAUUGAAUGCCCGUUCUUGGCAUGGGAGAAUCCGGCGGAUGAGCAUGACUUGGACCACGUCGACGAGCCUGAGCUUAUUGCUCACCAGCUUCUGGAUGCAGGCUCGGAGUCCCGUCACCUCCUUCGGAUUGCCCCACAGCAAGCCCUUCUCUUUCCAGGAGGUGAACUGCGUGGGGACGCCAGAUCUAAACUCGGGGGCCGCCGCCCAUGUGGGCUUGCGCAGCUCGGUGAUGUAGAACCAACCCGAUUGCCACCCCUUGACGGAGUCCACGAAGGCCCCUUCGAGCCAAAGGACGUUGGGCAACUUACCCAACAUGGCGCCUCCGCAUUCCGCUUGCGUGCCCUUCACAACCUUCGGCUUGACGUUGAAGGUCUUGAGCCACAGGCCGAAGUGGGGCCGGAUGCAGAGGAAGGCCUUGCACACGACGAUAAACGCCGAGAUGUUGAGGAUGAAGUUCGGCGCCAGAUCGUGGAAAUCCAGGCCGUAGUAAAACAUGAUCCCCCGGACGAAUGGGUGGAGUGGAAAGCCCAGUCCGCGGAGGAAGUGGGGAAGGAAGACGACCCUCUCAUGGGGCCCAGGGGUAGGGAUGAGCUGCCCCUCGUCGGGCAGCCGAUGCGCGAUAUCGCCGGAAAGGUAUCCGGCGCUGCGAAGCUUGGUGAUAUGCUCCUCCUUAACGGUGGAGUCCAACCAUUUGCCUCCCGCUCCGGACAUAUUCGGAGAAGGUCGGGGCGAGAUGCGCGAGCUUGGGCGUUGGAGCUUGAGUGCACGGAGAUGGAUAAGCAAAGGAGGAAGAAGGCGUAGGUGAGAAGGUAAAUCCUUAUCCCUUAUAUAUAGGCGGACGAAAACUAUGCGUCCCCACCGGCCUGAUAAAACUCGCUUAUCUCCCAAGCGCCACCAUCAAUGGCGCGGUUGGGUUACCCACGUCCGUAUUGAUGGGAAUCCCGGAAUAAGGGGAACACAAUCUCUGCUUCGACAAGACGUGCCAAGGAAACCGCUUCGCUAAACGUGCUGAGGUGGUAUAGUAAAAAACGAUUCAAACAAAGGCUUGGUAGCGGUGUGAUGUCACGCCGCAUAAUACGUCAGCAGAUUGGACUGGUGUACAUUUUAUUCUCUCUACGGUGGAAUGUGGAAUUUAUUUUGCAGAGCCGGACACUAUCCUGGUGUUCAUGAUCUUCUCUGGAUUAUUCAAGGGAGGAACCCGCCUUGCAAUGCCGAACAUUAUGCGCGCCGGACUUAUCGUCAUUGAAGCCUGGUUCAGGGGCUACUGAGGGAGUCCUGGACUAGGGGGUGUCCGGACAGCCGGACUAUCAUCGUCCGCCGGACUCCAAGACUACGAAGAUACAAGAUUGAAGACUCCGUCCCGUGUCCAGAUGAGAUUUUCCUUGGCGUGGAAGGCAAGCUUGGCAAUACGGAUAUGUAGAUCUCCUACCAUUGUAACCGACUCUGUGUAACCCUAGCCUCCUCCGGUGUCUAUAUAAACCGGAGGGCUUUAGUCCGUAGGACACAACAUACAUUACAACAAUCAUACCAUAGGCUAGCUUUAGGGUUUAGCCUCCUUGAUCUCGUGGUAGAUCCACUCUUGUACUACCCAUAUCAUCAAUAUUAAUCAAGCAGGACGUAGGGUUUUACCUCCAUCGAGAGGGCCCGAACCUAGGUAAAACAUCGUGUCCCUCGUCUCCUGUUACCAUCCGCCUAGAUGCACAGUUCGGGACCCCCUACCCGAGAUCCGCCGGUUUUGACACCGACAGGGCCCAUAACCCACAGUUCCACAGGAUCGAAACCUGACUCAUGUACAUCCCUGUUUUUCAAAGUUGUUCCUCGCGCUUGGAUUCGUAUGUAAUUCACGAGCCACCUUCCUUGUGAUCUGUUCUGGUAUCAGAUGCAAUACUUAUUCCCAUUGCUCUAAACCCCUUUCACCUUCUUACCUUGCUCUCGAUGACUAUCCUGAAUUCCAACUCAAGAGAUGCCUCUAUGCCAUGUUGAGGUACCUAUCUUGUGUUGAGCUCCAUCCCUCCCGAGUCUUUCCCCCUUACUCACCCCUUAAAUCUCGAGACGAUAUUUCUUGUAGUGGAGGAGAAUUGUGACGCCCAAAUAAUUAAGCUACAGUAAUCCCCUUUUAAUGGUUCCAUGUCAUCACAUUACUAUUGCUAAUCCUCGCUUGAUCCAAAUCUUAGUUCAAACUAAUAUUCAAAUUAAAGACCAAAAUUCAAAUUUCUCAAGCAUGCAUAAUAAAAUGUUCAAAGUGUGGCAAAUAAUCCCUGGAUAUUUGUCAUGUUGGAAACAACCUCCUUAGAAUUUUCAAAAUGCCCCUGGGAGUUAAUUUUUGGUCAAGUAGUAAAUUAAAUGGCAUUUGCAAAACAAAUAAUUAUUUAUUUAACUCCAAUUGCCUCCUGUCGUGGGAAACGAACACCUAUGGGGCAGGGCCCCUUUUCGGUCUGGCAAGGGAGCGGAGGGCACACGAAGAGCAGAUCGAGGCGAAGCACGCGGGGGAAUUUUACCCAGCUUCGGAGCUCUCCGGAGAGAUAAAACUCCUACUGCUGCUUUGUGUUUCUAUUCUGUUCUUGCUCAAGAGUGUGGGUGUGUUGUAGUUUCGAAUGAGUCGAACCCCUUCUACGUGCGCAUGGGCCUCCUUUUUAUAGUCUAAAGGGGUCACCGACAGGUGGCAGCAUAGAGAGAGGGGUAAAAAAGUAAAAACGCGGGUUGGUACAACCGCUAUCAACAGUGCCCCCUACCUAACUCUGACAGCAGGGGACAAGGGCAUUUAAUGCCCAUCCGGUCGCCCAAACAGUGCAGGAAGUGACCGUUAGGGGCGCCACCAAUCGCCACGAUGGCCUCCUAGUCAUCUUCACUUGCCACCUCGCACCGCUUGGCUGCACAGCUACCCGCCACGUGCACCGGGAGCGAUCCUGCGGCGACACGUCAUCGGAUGCGCUGGAGCAUGGGCGCAGAGUUGUGGCUUUGCCGCGGCAAGCGCCUUGCCGCGGUCACUAUCUUGUUGCACCCGCAAGCUUGCCGCUCGCCGGGUCUUGGUUGGCCUUCCCGGCAAGAUCCUCCUGCCGGGGUCUUGUCCUUCCCGGCAAGCUUCUCUUGCCGGGGCUUCGUCUUCACAGUUAACACUUUGUUCUUGAAUGGCAGUAAAUAGGAAUGACGAAGGAUCUUGGCGGACGCCCGGCAAGCCUUGCCGCAGGACGCUGCGCCUGCCCGUGCACAAGUUCGGGGUACUAAGGUACCCCUACUUUAGUACACCGACUGGAGCCCCCGGGCCUGGGCCAUACACGGUGCUGAGCGCUGUUGGGCCAGGCCCAAAACAGGACACGGGCACGCGCGGCCUGGGUCCUAACUAAAUCCACUCCGUAUCCACCGCGUCCUCCCGUAACGGCACGCGUCAAUCGCGGCGUCGUGGGAGAGAUCGUGGGUGGAAGACGUUCGCGCGUAUCCACAGCCUGAUGGAGGGGUUUACCCUCCAUUUUAAGUUAAUGGAGGGCGAUCUCCUCUCCGUCAAGGUCUUCGGGUGCUUCGACACUCGGGCGAAGUGCUGCGUGGACAGCUCCUCCGAUAGCAAAGGCUCCCCCUCGAGCGAGAGCGACAAGGAGGAGAGCAACAGCGAUGAUGAGGGUAGCGGGCGGCGGGAUGGCGGGCCCGACUAGGUGUCGGGCGCCGCUUCGUGCGUCACCGGUGACCCCAUCAUCCGUGUCGCCGGCUCCUUGAACUCCCCGGGGUCGUCUCCUUGGGCGGCUGGCGUAGGGAGGCUGCGGAAGGGGAAGAGGGCUGGCGACAAGGCCGUCAAAUCGGAGUACGAGGGCGUAGUGCCCUCGACAGCGUGCUGACGUCCUGCCGCCCCAUCUUCGAGCCCCGCUUCCAGCGCCGCCAUCACCGUCCGGCCUUCGGACGGCCCCCGGGAUGUUCUCUUGGUGUCUUCGCCUAGGCGCCUCUUUUGCCCUUUUCGCCUCCUUGACCUACAUCCUGAAGAGAGGGACAGGAAAGGGAUUACGGGCAUCUUAUCUUUUUAAUUUGUAAGCCUUCGGGCCCUAGUCGCAUCUAAAACUUGUAACCCUCUCUUUCAUGUUUUUCAUCCUCUAUGGACUGUACCUGAGUGUGAUGUUUUUUUAAUGAAAAAGGGAUGCUUGCCGGGUUAUUUGUCUCAUGGGUUGAACCCACGCCAAGGAGCAAAUCCUUGGUAUCCCUCGGACAGGCAUUUCAUCUCCCGCCAACAGGCCCUGCCGCCUUCCCACGUCGCUCGACCUUUCUCACGCCUUUGACGGAGGCGGGAACGAGGUGGGUGCGGCCUCCUCAUUUCAUCCCUUUGCUGCUGUGACUACGACCAAACUUGGCCCCGGGAACGAGCCCCAGGGCCUAGAGUUGAGGGAGCACGGCAGUUUUCGGGAAGAAACGCGGUUUCGCAUUCCCCAGUCCAUAAGAGGAUGCAUGAUGAGGGACGAAAGACUUAUCUGAUAUCGCAGCCCCCGGCAACUCUGGCUUGCCGUGGAUGAAUCUUGGUACUCGCAGCCCCCAGCAACACUGGCUUGCCGGGGCCCAGGUGCCGGCGCGCCCUUCUUCUCCUUUCCUUGUCGCUGUUAUUUCAGUUAUGAGAACAAUUUAGUCAGUGCCGCAAUAAGUUACUCUUGUAAUAUAACUUUAUUCUGGGCAAUGCUUGUUAUGUUACAUCCUUUAUUUGAUUCCAUUCCUUGUAUGUUUGUACCCUUACGCUUUUACGGAACUUGCCGGUGCAAACACGCUUGCCACGAGCGCUGAGUGCAAAACAUCAGCAGCCUUCUAGCGGUGUUGCCUCCGGCAAGAAACCUUGUCGGGGCUAGUCGCAGCACACUUUCAUUGUUGAGCGGACUCAAAACAAAGUAAGGGUGCAACUUAACCACGAGCCGGUUCCUCUGCGCACAGGUUUUCCAUACAAGGCAUGGUCGUUCAAGGAAUAUAACUUAAAAAUUUAAAACUGACUGUGCUUAAACUUCGGCAACUUAGCUUUUUUGUUGUUUGUGUCCNNNNNNNNNNNNNNNNNNNNNNNNNNNNNNNNNNNNNNNNNNNNNNNNNNNNNNNNNNNNNNNNNNNNNNNNNNNNNNNNNNNNNNNNNNNNNNNNNNNNNNNNNNNNNNNNNNNNNNNNNNNNNNNNNNNNNNNNNNNNNNNNNNNNNNNNNNNNNNNNNNNNNNNNNNNNNNNNNNNNNNNNNNNNNNNNNNNNNNNNNNNNNNNNNNNNNNNNNNNNNNNNNNNNNNNNNNNNNNNNNNNNNNNNNNNNNNNNNNNNNNNNNNNNNNNNNNNNNNNNNNNNNNNNNNNNNNNNNNNUGUGGGCGCAGGAAUCUUCUCUUUGAGAAAAAGGAAGAAGAGAAAAUAAAGUUAUGGAGCCUUAAGGCUUGUUAUUGCUUACCGGGGGCAAGUUCUGCACAAAGUGUCAGUGUAUACAUGCUAAAAAGAAAAAGGCAUGAAUUUUGACAAUAUGUACUAAACAUAUGAUCUUUAUUUAUGCACGGGAUCUGCGCCCGGCUUUGUACAAAGGGUUACAUGCAACAACGGCAAGGCUUGUACAAAAGGUGGUUGCCAGGACAGCAGGUUCCGGCAACCGCGCCUUAUGGGUAAAACUUACGAAGAUGAUCUAUGUUCUAGGAGUUGCUCACCGGAAUGCCAUCUUCGGUCUCAAGGCGGACAGCGCCAGGCCUAGUGACUCGCUUUACCCGAUAAGGGCCUUCCCACUUCGGCGUCAACUUGUUGGAAUUCUUGGCAGAUUGAACGCGCCGAAGAACAAGGUCACCUUCCUCGAAGCUUCUGGCAUUAACUUCGCGGCUAUGGUAGCGGCGCAAAGCUUGCUGGUAGCGAGCAGCUCGUACAGCAGCCUGAAGACGAUCCUCCUCGAGGAGCAGCGCGUCAUCUUGCCGCAGCUGCUCUUGCUCAAGCUCAUCAUAAGCGAGCACUCGAGGCGAUCCGUAUACGAGUUCUGUGGGGAGAACUGCCUCUGCUCCAUAGACAAGAGCAAAAGGUGUCUGGCCAGUGGCUCGAUUUGGCGUCGUCCUGAUCGACCAAAGAACCACCUGUAGCUCCUCGAUCCAAUUUCUUCCGCACUUGUGCAGCCUGUCGAAAGUUCUGGUCUUGAGCCCACGCAGCACUUCAGCGUUUGCCCUCUCCGCUUGACCGUUGCUUCUCGGGUGAGCAACAGAAGCGAAGCAGAUCUUGGCGCCAAGAUCUUGGACGUACUGCAUGAAGGUGCAGCUCGUGAAUUGUGUGUUGUUGUCGGUGAUGAUCCUAUUAGGGACUCCGGAACGGCAAACAAUUGACCUGAAGAACUUGACUGUUGACUGUGCUGUCACCUUCCUCACUGGCUCCACCUCCGGCCACUUCGUGAACUUGUCGAUGGCCACGUACAAGUACUCGAAGCCCCCGACAGCUCGGGGAAAAGGGCCAAGGAUAUCAAGCCCCCAGACUGAAAAUGGCCAGGAUAAAGGGAUUGUUUGGAGAGCUUGAGCUGGUUGAUGAAUCUGUUUGGAGUGGAACUGGCACGCUUCACACUUGGUUACUUGUGCAGUCGCAUCCUGGAGGGCUGUUGGCCAAAAGCAACCUUGCCGGAAGGCUUUACUGGCAAGUGCUCUUGCGCCAAUGUGGUGGCCACAUAUGCCUCCAUGUAUCUCCGCCAACAGCUCUUGUCCUUCUUCCCGGGAAAUGCACUUCAAUUUCACUCCGUUGAAUCUUCUUCUGUACAGUAUGUCAUCGACAAACUGAUACAUACUUGAUUGUCGGGCUACUUUCUCUGCUUCUUCUUGCUCUUCGGGAAGUUCUCCUGUUUGAAGGAAAUGGACGAUCUGCUGUGCCCAUGCCGGAGCUUGUGGCUCGACGACAAGGACUAAAGGCGCAAAUGCUGCUGCGGGAACAUCCGCUUCUACGGCAAGAAUAUGAGAUCCUGCCGGAGCGUGAUGCUCCCCGGCAAGCGUGCCGGGGCACAGCUUGUCGGGAGCGUCUGCUUCAACGAAACAAACCCUAGGGCUUGUCGGAGCAGACUGCUCCUCAGCACUUUCUAUGUUGAUCCUGGGGACCUUCUUGGCGGCGGCUUCGGGGAGCUCUGCCGGAAAGUAGUCGCCAGUAACCAACUUUCUCUUCUUGCUCUGUCCAGUUGAUGGUGUUACAGAUGGCUGAGUCAGCUUGAGCACAAAAAUACCUGGUUCCACAGGUAACUUGAGUGCGGUGCACUUUGACAGGCCGUCUGCAAUGUCAUUCUGAGCUCUUGGAACAUGUUCCAUCUGCAGGCCGUCAAAAUGCUCUUCCAGCUUCCUCACUUCAUCAAUGUAGGCCUCCAUCAGCGGACUCUGAUAAUCUGUGUUAACUUGGCGGACGACAAGCUGUGAGUCACCCCUGACAAUAAGCUUCUUGAUCCCAAGUUCUGUCGUGAUCCUGAGUCCGGCAAGCAGGCCCUCAUAUUCUGCAGUAUUGUUUGUUGCUUGCUCCUUGGGAAAGUGCAUUUGGAUCAUGUACUUGAGGUGCUCUCCGGUGGGUGCGACAAGUAACACACCCGCACCGGCGCCUUGCAGCGAGAAAGCACCAUCAAAGUACAUGAUCCAUUCCCUGUUUGCUUCCUUGACGGGGAUCCUCGUCUCCGGAGUUUCUUCAUCUGGUGUUGGCGUCCACUCCACUAUGAAUUCUGCCAAUGCUCGGCUCUGGAUAGUUGAAGUACUUUCAAACUUGAGGCCAAAGCUUGACAGUUCCAGUGCCCACUCGACAAUCCUGCCUGUUGCUUCUGGAUUUUGCAAUAUCCUCUUCAACGGAAAGCGAGUGACAACUGUGAUCUGAUGUGCUUGAAAAUAAUGGCGCAGCUUCCUCGAGGCCAUGAGAAGGCCGAAAAGCAACUUUUGCACUCCAGAGUAUCUUGAUCUAGCCACCUGCAGAAGGGAGCUGACAAAAUAAACUGGGUGCUGCACCAUCUUCUUUUGUUUCUCUGCCUGCGGCUGCACAGACUCAUCCUUGUCGGGACCAGAGCUUGACGGAGAAGCCCCCUGCUUGUCGCUGGACUCGCUUGCCGCGGCCGCUGGCUCAUCAUCUGCCUCCCUCUCUGCUACUAACGCAGCACUAACCACUUGAUUGGUUGCUGCUAGAUACAGCAGCAACUUCUCUUGCGGCUUAGGUGCGACAAGUACUGGAGUGGAGGAUAGGUAUCUCUUCAAGUCCUGUAGCGCAGCCUCCGCUUCUGGAGUCCAUUUCAUUGGACCUGCCUUUUUCAAAAUUUUGAAAAACGGCAGGGCGCGCUCAGCAGACUUAGAGAUGAACCUACUGAGAGCAGCAACGCAGCCGGCAAGCCUUCGCACAUCCUUGAGGCGCUUCGGGGCUUCAAUCUGCUCGAUGGCCUUGAUCUUGUCGGGGUUGGCUUCGAUCCCCCUCUGGGACACGAAGAACCCGAGAAGCUUGCCGGAAGGAACUCCAAACACGCACUUCUCAGGGUUCAACUUGAGAUUGAUCUUGCGCAGAUUUGCAAAAGUCUCAUCCAAAUCUUGGAUCAAAGUUUCUCUAUCUUUGCUCUUGACCACUAUAUCAUCCAUGUAUGCUUCUACAUUCCUGUGCAGCUGUGGCUCAAAAGCAUGACUGACUAGUCUUGCAAACGUUGAACCAGCAUUCUUUAGUCUGAAAGGCAUUCAUACAAAGCAGUACGUGCCACAUGGAGUAAUGAAUGCGGUGUUCUCUUCAUCCUCUUUUGCCAUGAAAAUCUGAUGGUAUCCUGAGUAUGCAUCAAGAAAUGAAAGCAGAUCACAUCCUGCCGUGGAGUCGACAAUCCGGUCAAUGCGCGGCAAGGGAAAUGGAUCUUUGGGACAAGCUUUAUUAACAUCCGUGAAGUCAAUACAAAGCCUCCACUUCCCAUUCACCUUGCGCACAAUUACUGGAUUGGCUAACCACGUUGGAUGGAGUACUCCUCGGACGAGGCCUGUUGCUUCCAACUUCUUGAUCUCUUCUGCUAUGAACUCUUGGCGUUCCGCCGCUUGCUUCUUGACUCUCUACUUGACGGGCCGCGCGUGAGGACAGACGGCAAGGUGGUGCUCAAUUACUUUCCUGGGAACACCGGGGAUGUCAGAUGGUUGCCAUGCAAACACAUUGACAUUCGCCCGCAGGAAAGCAACGAGCGCGCUUUCCUAUUUAGGGUCAAGCGUGGCACUGAUGGUGAAGGUACCACUAGUGCCGUCCUCCUUGGCGGCCACUUUCUUGGUAUCAGGUGUCGCUAUCUUUGCCCUCUUGCACUUGCCGGUGGAGCUCGAUGGUGCGUCCUCGACGGUAGCACAGCACUCCGAAGAGGUGCGCUUGCCGGAGUGGGCAUCAGAGCUACUCUUGCCGGACUUGGUCUUCUUCUUCUUCCCCCCGGGAGCUUCAGCGGCAAGUGGUUUGUGCUCUGCUGCGGCUGCUGCUUCCUGGUAGAUCUUGUCGGUGCAGAUAAGCGCAUCCUUCUUGUCGCCUUGGACAGAAAUGACGCUUAUCGGACCGGGCAUCUUGACCACGUUGUAAGCAUAAUGAGAGGCUGCCAUGAACUUGGAAAGCGCUGGACGGCCGAGUAUCCCAUUGUAGGGCAACGGGAAAUCAGCAACAUCAAAUGUGACUCUCUCUGUCCUGAAGUUCAGUUUGCUGCCAAAUGUCACUGGUAGUGUAAUCUUCCCCUUGGGCUUGCUCCUUCCCGGGUUGAUUCCUUGAAAGGUACCAGUUUCUUCGAGCUCGCUGUCGGGGAUCUGGAGCUUGUUGAGCACCGCGGAAGAGAUCAGAUUUAGGCCGGCCCCACCGUCAACCAACAUCUUCGUGACCUUGAGGUUGCGGAUGGUUGGCGAAACCAACAUCGGCAAGCACCCGACCGCAGUGAUGCGAUCAGGGUGAUCCUCAACAUCAAAGACGAUGGGCGUACUGGACCACUUCAGGGGCUUGCGCGAUUCGACUGAUGGUUCAGCUGCAUUUACCUCCCGCACCCACUGCUUGAGUUGGCGGUGCGAGGUGUGCAGAGAAGCACCGCCGUCAACGCACAAAACCUCUGUUGCCUUCUGAAACUCUUGCUCGUCGGUCUCAUCCUCGUCCAUCUCAUCAUCCUCAUCUUCAUCUUCGUCCUUGUCACGGCCACGGGGAGGUCUGUCUCCUUGCCGCUGCUUGGCCUUGCCGCGGCGCCCUCCCCGGGCGGGACGCUUCUUGCCGGAUCCUCCGCCACCUUCCUGGGCCUUCUCCUUGUCGCGACGCUCGUAUUCAGCUUUCUGUAGUUCUGCCAUUUGCUCAACCUUCUUGCAUGCUUGGAGGUCAUGGCCCUUGGUGCGAUGGAUCUUGCAGUACUGCUUGCCGGAACAAUCCUGCUUGUCGGCGGCCACCACAGCCUCGCCGGAGUCACCAGCUUUGGCCUUGUCGGCGCCGCCUCCGUUGCCGGACUGCUCAACAACUAGCACAUCCUUAGCCUUUCUCUUUCUAUUAUUCCGCCUCCGGUUCUUCUUUGCCGGAGGGACGUCCUCAUUGUCCGAUCCUUCUGCUCCUGCAUUCUCUCCGGGAAGUUUCCUCCCCUCUUCAGCUCGUGCACACUUGUCAGCCAGAGCAUAUAGCUCGCUGACAUCUCUAAUCUUGCACAUCGCCAUCUCCUCCCUCAUCCUGCGGUUACGCACGUUCUGAUGGAAUGCGCUGAUAACCGCGGCAGGGUGGACGUCUGGGAUGUUGCGCUGCACCUGGCUGAAUCUCUGUAUGUACUUGCGCAGGGGUUCUCCUUCUUUCUGGGCGAGCAGAUGAAGAUUGCUCUCCUGACCAUGGGGUUUGUGGCCGCCUGUGAAGGCGCCGACAAACUGAUGGCACAGGUCCGCCCACGAAGAGAUGGAGUUGUCCGGCAAGUGCAUGAGCCAAGAUCUGACGUUGGGCUUGAGCACCAGCGGGAAGUAGUUGGCGAGGAUCUUCUCGUCGCGCCCCCCGGCAGCCUGCACCGCGAUGGUGUAGACGCUGAGGAACUCUGAUGGAUGUAUCCUGCCAUCGUACUUCUCGGGUAUGUCCGGCUUGAAGUUCUUGGUACUGGGCCACUGGACUUGCCGCAGCUCACGGGUGAACGCAGGGUAACCUGCCGCGUACGGCAAGUCGCCUGGUUCCCCUGGCGCAUGCAUAUCGACAGUGGGCCCAGCGCACUGGUCAGAUUAAUGUCGCGCUUCUCUUCUGCGCUCGAUGCGAGUACGAGCGUCUCUGUGUCGUCGUUCUUGGAGAACUUGGCGUUGAUCGCGGCGAGCUCGCGGGUCCGACGACGCGGUGGAGUCGGUGUCGAGGUUGGAACGGCGAGUUGGCGAUCAUGGCCUUCGGGGCGGGGAGUGCACGGUGGUGGCACCCCCAGCGGUCUUGUCGGUGUCGGCUUGCGCCCGGGCGUCUUGCCGGGGCUUUCGAUGUGCUCGGUUGCCGGGGCUUGUCGCCGUUGGCGAAGCCGAUGAGGCUUUGGAUGGUGAUCCUCCAGUCGUCGAUCUUGUCUGGCGCUGGAGGGUAAUCUAGAAGCAGCUGGGCUCGGGCCAGCGCUUCCUCUGGAGUCUUGGGCGGCGGUGGCGAGCGACGCGAGGUGCGGGAUAUGCUCAAACUUCUAACAGUGUUAGAAGGAGCAACAUCUCGCCCAGGCGACCGUACUUCGCUCGUGCCAGCGUGUUGACGUGUAUGUUGGCCUUGAGCGUCCCGCGAUCCGCCGGCUUGGCCUUGUUCCAACACGAGCACGGUGCUAGGAGUACCGUGGCAUUGCCGAUCUUGCACCUCCUGGGAGGGGUACGGUGGAUGUACAGACGCUGAAGCUUGCGGGGCCUUGUCCUCGGACCUGGUGACGAUGUGAGUCCCCCCGUCGGCGCCCGCUCCUCCGCCGGCGUCCACCCCACCACCCGUUUGCUCCGGUGGCGGUAGGAUAGUCGCAAACGGAGUGGCCACCUCCGAAGCCUUCUUCUUCGGUGGCAUGUCGAUGAAGAUGUUGAUGUAGCGCGCAGAUGCCGGAUCAGGUACGCACAACCUCGACGCCCACCUACCUGGCGCGCCAAAGAUGUCGUGGGAAACGAACACCUAUGGGGCAGGGCCCCUUUUCGGUCCAGCAAGGGAGCGGAGGGCGCACGAAGAGCAGAUCGAGGCGGAGCACGCGGGGGAAUUUUACCCAGCUUCGGAGCUCUCCGGAGAGAUAAAACUCCUACUGCUGCUUUGUGUUUCUAUUCUGUUCUUGCUCAAGAGCGUGGGUGUGUUGUAGUUUUGAAUGUGUCGAACCCCUUCUACGUGUGCAUGGGCCUCCUUUUUAUAGUCUAAAGGGGUCAGCGACAGGUGGCAGCGUAGAGAGAGGGGUAAAAAAGUAAAAACGCGGGUUGGUACAACCGCUAUCAACAGUGGCCCCUACCUAACUCUGACGGCAGGGGACAAGGGCAUUUAAUGCCCGUCCGGUCGCCCAAACAGUGCAGGAAGCGACCGUUAGGGGCGCCACCGAUCGCCAUGAUGGCCUCCUAGUCAUCUUCACUUGCCACCUCGCACCGCUUGGCUGCACAGCUACCCGCCACGUGCACCGGGAGCGAUCCUGCGGCGACACGUCGUCGGAUGCGCUGGAGCGUGGGCGCAGAGUUGUGGCUUCGCUGUAGCAAGCGCCUUGCCGCGGUCACUAUCUUGUCGCACCCGCAAGCUUGCCGCUCGCCGGGUCUUGGUUGGCCUUCCCGGCAAGCUCCUCUUGCCGGGGUCUUGUCCUUCCCGGCAAGCUUCUCUUGUCGGGGCUUCGUCUUCACAGUUAACACUUUGUUCUUGAAUGGCAGUAAAUAGGAAUGACGAAGGAUCUUGGCGGACGCCCGGCAAGCCUUGCCGCAGGACGCUGCGACUGCCCGUGCACAAGUUCGGGGUACUAAGGUACCCCUACUUUAGUACACCGACACCUCCAAACUUUAUGUGGCACUGCAAAAUAUUUGUGGCUCUGUCUAAGAUUGCCAAGGAAUUAAAAGGGGAACUUAACAUAUUUUUCCUAAGUAAAUAGUGUGCCCAAAAUAUUCUCUUAACCAUCUCUGUUUUUUUUAAUAAAAAAAGGCGAAUAAGAACUCGCCCGGGCCUCGGCCUACUCCCACUUACCAGCCCACCUAAGCCGGCCCACUCCCCCGCUCCCAUGGCCUAUAGGCCAUGCUCAACCGAACCCUAACCCCGCACGAUCCCCCCACUCCCCACUUCUCUCCCCUCCCGAUCCAAUCUGGAUCGGACCGAAACUGGCGCCCCGACGCCAACCGCCGUCGCUGGAGGCAUCCCCGACUCCACGCUGGGCCACCCCAUCACCUGACCUCCUCCCCGUCGUCGCUCGUCACUCGCUGGACCGCCUCGUCCCCACCAACGCCGCCCCGAGCCCAACGUCCCUGUCGUCGUCGCCGUCGGCAUCGCCCCGAUGUCGCCACCACCCGACGCCGGCGCCCUCGACAUCGCCACCCCGAGCCCACUGCCACCCCUACGCUCCACUGUGAGCCCCUCGCCGAUUCCCCCUCCUUCCUGUCAUCGUAGGUGGCCGCAUGCGCUGUUGGCCACCGUGGCCGCGCUCCGGCCGUUCCCCAUCCGUGUGCUAGCCUCGCCUUCCCCGGCUGCGGCCACCAGCCUCCUCGUCGCGCUCCCGCCUUCGCCCACACCUGCCCCUGUACGCCCAGCCGCUGCUGCUCGCCGGAUCCGCAUGUUCGCCCCCUAGCUUCGUCUCCGGCCGUCGAGUCCGCACCCGAUGCCGGCGCCCCAGCGCGUCCAUGCGCCCGUACGGGCGGGCGCCCACGCCCAUGCCCCUCCGCCCGUUAGCCCGCCCCGCUAAGGCCUGGGCACCUAACCAAGGGGCCCCACGCCCCUGUGUAAUAAAAAAGAUUUAAAAAAAAUAAAUAUAAAUAUAAUUAGUUAAUUAGUUAAUUAAUUGUAUAGUUAAUUAACUAACUUAAUUAACCUUGCUUAGUUAGCCUAAUGAACUAGUUUAGUUAAUUUAAAUCUGUUAGAUAGGUCUAUGAGAGAACGACCCCACAUGUCAGUUUAACCAGUCAACACUCUUUUGACUGCUGACAUCAUGAUGACGUCAGGCUGACAUCAUAAUUCCAAUUUUGAAUUAAUAAUAAUUUCAGAAUAUUAUUAAAACUUUGAAAAAUCAUAGAAAAUAAACCGUAUCUCGGAUGGAAGUUGCUUGGAACGACGAGACAAAUCCGAAUGCGCAGUUCGUUCAUCUGUCACGCGUCCCUAGCAUAGCAAACGUUGAACUUUUCCCCUCCGGUUCAUCUGUCUGAUAGACGUCCGGAACCGGGAAAACUUUCCCGGAUGUUUCCCCCUUCGCCAGUAUCACCUAGCACCUCGUUAGAACACUUCUAGCCCCGCUUAUUGUCUUGUUAUGCAUAUGUUUGCGUGUAUUUACUGUUUCUUCCCCCUCUUCUUCUCCGGUAGACCUCGAGACCGCUGAUGAUGCCCCUGUGAUCGACUACGUCGACGACGACCCUCCUUGUUUGAGCAACCAGGCAAGCCCACCCUUUGAUCAUCCCGAUAUCGCCCAUUCCAUUCUCUCAUGCUUGCACUAGAUUUUGCUACUGUAUUUGACUGCUCCUAUUCUGAUGCAUAGCCUGCUUUUGUACCUGCUAUUGUAACUUACCUGCUUAUCCUAAAUUUCUUAGUACAGGUUGGCUAGUGAUCCAUCAGUGACCCCCACCUUGUCUUUGUUGCCCCUGCUUCAUCAUCGACGACUCGAUCAACGUGAUCGACGACCGGAGCCUGACACCUCACAUCACAUCACGCCCCUUUUUCUUGCUCGACUCUGCAGAGUUACCAUCGAGUGCCGAGGGUGGAACCUCAUACAUCGCUCCUGAUGAGAUCUCUGUAGUGUAGCUAUUCGGUCGUGGUCAUCGAGGGUGGUUCCUCCUUCACCAUUCCUAAUACGGCUCUGUCGUGCAACACCUCAAGUGUGAACCUCGAGGGUGGUUCCUCUUACGUUCACCUUGAUGAUUACAUCAACUGGAAUCCACCGGGGGUGAUUCCUCGGAUUUUCCCCUUGAUGUCUGGACACAUAGUUACCUUGAUACUUGAGACCGUUGUGAAAGCCGGGCGAGCCCGGAGAGCACCCGUGCGAUGUGACGGUGGCGGCUGGCUGUUUAGCGGUAUCACCCGGGAGGGGUGAUAGCUCCGGACUUGUCCCGACAUCCGUCACUUCUUUUAAUAAUGCACUAACACGUUUGUGUAUUUGUUCUGAGUUGGCCUCUGGCCUUUACGCACUAACCACCACGCGAGAAUAGUUAUGGGCCUCGACGUUGCAGUAUCUUUCGAAGCUUUGUCAGACGUCCAGUUCAGCAUUGUGGCCGGGCCGGAUCGUGCCAUCCACUUCACCGGUGGUGCUGGUAUCCCCUUGUGCACAACGACCCGGAGUGCAAUGGGCGAUGGGCCCAGACCCCGGAGUGCUUAGGAUGUAGACCGGCGGGGACCUCUCUACUGAGCCUAGGUAGGGCUGCGACGUGUUGAUCUUCCGAGGCUGGGCAUUGACCCCAGAAAGGUGUGUCCGGCCAGAGUGAUCGAGCGUGUUGGGUAACGUGGUGCGCCCCUGCAGGGAAGAUUAUCUAUUAAUAGCCGUGUCCAUGGUAACGUACCUUCAGACUUAUAUCUUGAUCUUAUACAACUACAAAUGGAUACUUGAGAUAUGUGGCUCCGGGAUUGCUUUCUCGCAGGGAGUCGAGGAAGGAUCUCUGGGCGUUGUUGUUAAAACAUGCUUGUUAAUUAAACUGCUAUUCUUUACUCUUCUACAUGCUGCAAGAUGCUUGGAGCUGCUUGAAGAUGCUAGUCUUUGUUUGGCUAGGCCUUCCCCUCUAUUCUGGCAUUCUGCAAUUCAGUCCACAGAUACAACCCUUCCAUUUGAUACCAAUGCAUACUUAGUAUAGAUCUGAUGCUUGCGAGUACUUUGGAUGUGUACUCGCGGUUGCUUUGCUACCCCUUUUCCCCCUUCUUUCUUCUUUCCGGUUGACGCAACCAUAUGGUGGAUCCUUGGAGCCAGAUGCCACCGCCGAUGGAUGCUAGUACGUGAAGAUCGCCGACGACCAGGAGUAGUUAGGAGGUCCUAGGCAGGAGGCCUUGCCUCUUCGAUCGUUGUUGCUUUUGUGCUAGCCUUCUUAAGGCAUCCUUAUUUAACUUAUGUCUGUACUCAGCUAUUGUUGCUUCCGCUAACUCUUGUGUAUCGAGCUAUGUAUUCGAGCUCUCGAGGCCCCUGGCUUGUAAUAUAAAGCUUGUAUUAUUUUGAUUUGUGUCUAGAGUUGUGUUGUGAUAUCUUCCCGUGAGUCCCUGAUCUUGAUCGUACAUAUUGGCGUGCAUGAUUAGUGUACGAUUGAAUCAGGGGCGUCACACAAGCGGUACUACUGCCCCACCCAGUUUCAGCAUUUCGAGUUUCACCGUUUUGCCCAUAACUUCCACAUCCGGAGUCCGAUUUUUGCAUUUUUUAGCUCGUUGAGUAGCUAUUGACAUCCCCCAUCCAUCUAUAUAGGUUCCAACACCAUUUGACUCCAUCAAAUUUUCCAAAAUUUGGAAAGUUUGCCUAGGCCGUCCACCAUAUCAUCUGCAUAGCCACCACCGACCACCGCAACCUAACCCAUUUUGUUCCCCUUAGCAUUUGAGGUUGUUUGAGUUGUGGCUUGUGUCUCCUAAGGUGUUUCGGCUACUUAGGGAUGGUAACUUCAACUCCAACACGUGUAUAGCCCAUCAUUCCACUUCCGCAUUGCCGAGUGCAAACCACCACCUCUUUCCACUACCACCAUUUGACAUUUACCUUUGUAGAUUUUGAGUUUGCGAUUUUUCCGUUUCCUAGGGUGUUUUGGCUAACUAGGAAUGGGUCGACAUCAGCAACAUCGCCUCUCAUCAUCGCCAAGGACGGUAACCUCGAUGACACCAUUGUAUAUUCCCUUGCCAUUGCAUUGAUAACCCCUAGCCCAUUUUGCGUCACUUGCCUAUCGAGACUAGCCGUUUGAGUAUUGCCGGCAACGUGACUUGUGCACAUUAGUGAUCAUACUUCCCAUAGCAUCAUACCAUAUCAUCGUGGUGCAUAUAUUGGUAGCAUAUCUUGCGUCACAAGUUUGUUGCCGCAUAUACACAAUUGCUAUCUUGGUUUGUGCAUUAUGCAGAAGUGGCCAUACAAAAAAGAGAAAUAAAGCUUUUAAGCAAAAGAAAGAGAGAAAAGAAGCUUGUAAGCAAGUGCCAUAGCAUCAUACCAUAUUGCACAUAAGAUUGUCAUAUCCGAUCAUCUUGGAUCAUCUUGAGAGAACAUCGGGAACCAUACAUACAUAGCAUACUUGGGAUAGAAAGUAUAUCCAUUUGGCAUCUUGUAGGUUGUGCACAAGUGUCCUAUCCGCCUAUUGAGCAAUCGUGCUAGCGUCUCUCUUGAGUUGUGCAACACGAGCGUUUUCUGUGGAUUCCACAUUUUGUGCUCAUUGCUUGGUUGCACGACCCCAUUUAUCUAUCCGUGUGUGUGUUUCCGUGUGUCAUUCUUUGCUAUUGGUCUACUUGUUUCACUUGCAAAUUUGUGAAUCUCUUUCAACAUUAUUGACUCUUGCUAACAUUUUGCAUCAAAUUUUUGUGCCACUAUCCUCACCGAGCUCCACCAUAAGCUUUACUUGAUAGGUGUGAGUGAACAAGUCCGGUACCAAUUCCACUAUUCUUUCAUUUCACAUUGAGUUAAACGGGAUACAUCCUCAACUUUGGGAAAGGUAACUUCCUAUUGUUUAUCUCAUUUCCUACUGGCAUUUCACCUUCGGUCUACAACAACAACGACGAGUUCGAUGCCACGAACAACUCCAACGACGCCAAGAUGCAAGCUCAAAUGGAGGAGAUCAAAGCCCUCAUCAAGUCCUACAAGCAAUCUUCCUCAUCUUCGAGAAGACACUCACGUGCACAUGUUUCCGAGCUACCAUCUCCGGUAAGAUCACAUCAGCAUCGACACCAUCACCAACAAGAACGUGAAGGUCAAGAGCUCAACACCAACUACCGCUCAACGACUUCACCAUCUCCCUUGGCAUCUUCGCCAAGCGACUUCAAGGCAUCUUUGAGUACGGAUAUACGGCAUCUUCGCCAACAAGAACCUCAAGGCUACGCUCAAGAGAAGCUCCCCAAGCUCAAGUCCACGACUUCCAUGAGCUACUACGACCUCGACACCGACCACAAGAUUCCUUUCUAUGGAACUCAAGAACCCGAGGAGUACCUCGAGUGGGAGCGUUUGAUGGACGACUACCUCAAGCUACAUCAAGUCCCUUCCGAAGAUCAAGUGAAGUGCGCCACAAGAAACUUCCACGACUACGCCUCGACAUGGUGGCUUCACACACCUUCGGAGAGCUACGAGAUGAGUUAGCCCAAGACGAAGAGAGCUUUGCAGCGAGAGCUCGUGCCUCCAACCUACAUGGAACAACUUCGACGCCAAUUGGAGAACACCAUCCAAGGAUCCAAGUCCAUCGACGCGUACUUCAAGGAGAUGAAGAAUGCCUUGCGACGAGACGGCGUGGAUGACCCCAUUUCGAUGAAGUUCCACUUCAUGAUGCGAUUGAACAACGACAUCUCCAAGACUAUCUUCCUCGAGAACUACAAGUCCCUGGACAACUACUACAUUGGUGCUCUCAAGGCGGAACAAGAACUCAUGAAAGCCAAGGCUUCUCCACCCCAAGCACACUUCGCGGCGACCAAGCUGUACGACAAGCAUGAGGCUAGUACCACCAUGAUGUCCAAGCCCGACGAGCUCCAAGACAAUGCUCCCAAGUUCGACUUCACCGCCAUCCCUCUUUGUGGCAUUGAUGACGCCGAGUCUACCUUGACUCUUUUUCAAGACGGUGCGGCGACGAGUACGACUACGGAGACCUUCAAGGACCAAGCUUUGGAGGCGAGCGACAAGGUGGCGAGCAAGGAUGGUGUUUCCAUCUUUGGAGGCGAGAGUGAUGAUGUGCCAUCUUCGUCCUUCAUCCACGGCGACGAUGACGAGAUGAUCGAGCAUGGGAUUUUCCCUUCGGUCAUGGAGGAGAGUGAUGAUGUGCCAUCUUCGGCCUUCAUCCACGGAGACGACGACGAGAUGGUUGAGCAUGGGAUUCUCCCUUCGACCACGGUGACGUAUGAUGACUUGAGUGACUUUUGCCACCAUAUUGAGAGUGAGAGUGACUUCACCACUAGCCCCAUAUAUGACGAGUUGCCCCAAUUCCUAUGUGAGGAGAGCCACAACCCCCACCACUUGAGUGAGAUGAGUGACUCCACCAUAUGCGACUUUGAGUGCACCUAUUUUGAGGGAGUGAGUGAACCACCACAUAGAGAGAGUGUGAUAGUUGAUAGGUCUCGUGAGGCCAUUUGCAUUUCUAACAACUUGACCUCUACCUCUAUUGUGUCUUCUCAUUUGGUGCUAGGUCCCAUUUAUGAUGACGCGCCGAUCCUCGACGACUUCGUCCUCCCUUUGGACAAGACGAUGGCCAUGGUGGAAUAUGAUGCACCCCCCACAUGGUUCCAUCAAGAUGAAGAUGACCACCAUUUGGUCUUUCCCACCUCACCUACACCACUUGAGUGGAAUGAAAAAGGUAACAUAGGUGAAGGUGAUGCUCUAGUCCCACUAGUGGACAUUCUUGACAUUGAUUGCUUGCAUGAUGUUGAUCCACCUAGUACCAUGCUUCAUGCUAGUAUGAUUUCCCCAUGUGAUGAUUUGGCCAUUUAUGAUGAGUAUGAUGAUUCUCAUGUGGAGUCUCUUAGUUGUGAUGUCAUGUUACAUAGGAUUUCUUGUGACAAUUCUUUAGGUCACAUCAUGUUUGAUAAUCCGCUUGACUUGUCGUAUGCUAUGCAUGACAUUCACCAUAUGUCAUAUUUGCAAUCUCAUUGUAGUGACUAUGCAUAUGCCAUUCAAAUUAACCCAAUUUGCACUUAUGGCAUAGAUGACAAGCCCAUGGUUAUUGGGAUUUGUUUUUCUUGUGAUGAUAUUGAUAUGGUCCCUUUGCAUCAUUUAUCUCAUAUGCCAUGUCAUGCCCACCUAGCUUCGGAUAUGCAUUGUUUUGGAUGUUGUCCAUUUUCUCCAUAUGAUGUUUCCAAUCUUGCUCAUGAGGAGACCCCCAUAGUUCCCUCAUACAUGUUAGGAGAUUUUGAUCCAUCCCAUCCAUUGCAUGAUCCCAACAAUUGUGUGCACCAUAUGCUCCCCAUGAAUAAACAUGCUAUUGAUGUGCCAUAUACUUGCAUUCUCAAUUUGUGUCCCCAUCGUGUCAUACAUAAUAACUAUUCUUUCAUGAUGGAUGACAUGUUCUUAUACCAUGCAUCAAAUUUCGUUGAGCGAUGCUUAUCUUGUGCUAACUCACACGUGCACAUACACAUCAUGAUGGAUGAUGUGUACAUUUACCACACACACAAUUUAUUUGGUUUGUGUCUCUUUUGUGUAGGUACCCAGGAAUACUUGUCAACCUCGCAAUCCCACGAGUUGACAAAACGAGCUCUAGAGAGCAACGAUGAUUUGGGAUCCCAUGGAUUGUCUUUCCCACCGCUCUCUUCGCGCAAAGACUUAGCGCAUUUCUUCUACAUGGCCCUCACUUGGCUAUGGGUUGUUUUCCAUUACAUAUUAUAUGCCCAUCUUGCCAUGUUCACUUUGCAUGAUAUGCCCAUUCCCAUGCAUUUGUGACCCAUACUUUGCUUUACACAUGAUGAUUGACUCUCAUACUUUUAUGUGUAUUUGCAAGCUUGGUGGAGAUAUUGCUUGUUGUUUCCCUAUUCCAUUUUUGACCCACCCCUAUGAUGAUACUAUGAUCUUGCUUUGUGUUCGUGCUUGUGAUAUGUCAUGUGCAUUGUCUAUCCCUAUUAUUUGCUCACAUGACAUGAUUGCCAUGAUUUACUCUGGUGUGUUGCAUCUUCGCUCCACUAGUUUGCACCACAUGAUUGAUAUGCUUGCUUGUAUUGCAUCCCCCAUGAUUCAUACUUGCUCAUUUCAUGCGAUUGAUGACAACCAUUUCCAUACUUUGCACGUGAUUGCUAUAGCUUCUUGUCACAUAUCUACAUAUGUUGCCUCUCUCAUGCUAGAUCACUUGCCAUGUAUUUAGUGCAACAAUGCUCUUAUUCUUGCUCAUGAGAUUGCCCCCAUAGCAUUCUCACAUAUGAUUGGAGUUGACAUAAUUCUUGUGAAGCAUGCUUGCCUUCCUUCUUUGCACCAUAUGCCUAGUGCCAUGAAUAUUGCCAUUGUUGCAUCAUAUUGUUCAUGCACUUGUGCUACUAAAGGUUAUGUGCAAGAGAUGAGAACCAUCAUGAUGGAUGAUGUGUUUCUCUACCAUGCGCAUAUACUCUUUGUUUUGUUGUGUGCAUGUGUAGGAUACUUGGACUUCGUCUCGACUUCCACUUCAUGUGAGUUGACCAUUCAAGCUCUUAAGAGCGAGCCUCACACAUUCUACCACUACUCGCUUCUACACCGCAUUUGCUUGCGCUUCGGCAUUGUGAAGAAUGCACAAGGACAUGCCUUCAAGGUGACAUCUUUCUUGAGCAUGGAUAUUGCGGAUCAUACUACUUGUGUAGCUUGCACUGUGAGACUUAUUGGUCAUCUUGGACCACUUGAUUGCGCACUUGCUAGAGAUCUUGCUUUGACUUGCCAUUUUCACAUUCCCAUGCAUCAUGAUAUAUAUGCCUUGUGUGUUGCAUCCAAUUCUUGGAUUACUAUCACAACCUAGCUAGUCCAUGCAUUAGAGUGUUGCAUCAUGUCUACCUUUUAUCAGAAACUUGAAUUGGGGAAGACAGAACCCCCCAGAACCCCUCUGAAUUCAACUAGUGCUUACUAAAAAUAUUUUCAAUGAACCUGAAAUGCCCUUCUAAAAAGUUCACCCUCUUUGUCUUGGGUUAGAACCUCUGGCAAAAUUGGUGCACAAUUUUCUAGGUCAACAAAAGGCCAUUGAAUUAAAUCAUAUCUACUUUGAGUUUGGGCAUUUAAACUAUAUAAAAUAUUUCAAAUGCUCAAAUAACUCCAAACUAAAAUGUUCCAUACUGGAUAUAUUCCAACUAGGGACCAUGUGCAGUUUGGUGAUUUUUGGAGUUGCCUAAGUAUUUUUAGAAAUGCAACAAACUUACAGAAACAAUUAAAAACAGAAACAAAUGGGAAAAACCCUUACCUGGCCGAACCAAGCCCCAGCCCAGCUGGCCGGCCCAGCACUGUGCUGGCCCAUGCCAGCCAGCUGCUUCGCCGUCGCCACGCAGGCACAGAGCUGACGCCGGCAAGCGUGAGCUCGCAACGGCGCCAGCUGCUUGCCGCCCGCGCCCCCGAGCACCUGGGUGAGCUCCACGUCGCCGCCCCGACCCCGUGGACACCUCAUUCGCCCCCUGCCUCUCUCCCUCGCUCUCCCGCACCAUGGCCGACGCACCCGCCGCCGCACCCCCGACGUAGUCGCGCCCUCCGUCGUCCUCGUGCUGCACCACCGUGUCCCUUCGCUCCGCCGUCAUCGACUACAUCGAGUAGGCCGAGCCCCGAGCGCUCGCUGGCCCUGUUUCAUCUUCUUCGAGCUCGUCUUCACCGAGCACCGCCACAGAUCCCCUUCGCCGUCGCCGCCGUACCAGCUCGUCCCCGACCUUGCCGACCACUCCGUUGUGACCGCCGUGAGCUCAGCCACCUCCCCAUCCUCCCCGUUUGCCUUCUCGUGCACCGUAGCAACCGCAUGGAGCUUCAUCGCACGCACCACCGACGAGCUCGUCGCCGACGUGCCUCCGGCCAUCCACCGUCCACACCACGGUGUCUAACAUGCUCACCGCAUCGUGUAGAGUCUAACGCCCCACUCCACGCGCCUCGCCGUGCCCCGUAGCCAUGGGUCCAUUUUCAUCCGACUCCGGCGACCGCCGUGGUCGUCGCCGGCGACGUUCCUGGCCACCUCGACCUCAACCACCACCACCAAACGCCGCGACUUGUUCCCGGCUACACGUAGAUGGUCUCCGUCGUCCAUUUGGUCGCCAGAACAUGCUAACCCACUUCCUCCGCCGCGUCUGGCCUCGCCGGCGGCUAGACACCGGCAUGUUUGACCCGUUGACAUUCACUGGGUGGGCCAGGUUGACUCCCCUGAGUCUAUGACAAGUGCCCCCCCCUCUGCUAAUUAACCUAGUUUAGCUCUUACUAAAAUCAGUUAGUUUAAAUAAGUGCUGACAUGCGGGACCCACUGGUCAGUUUGACCUGAACGACCCCUUUGACCACUGACGUCACCCUGAUGCACUGCUGACGCAAUAACCAAUUUCUGGAUUUAUUGUUAUAUAGGAAAUUCCAGAAAUUGUUGCAAACUUCAAAAAUUCAUAGAAAUUAAUCUGUAACUCCAAAUGCAAAGAUUUAUAUAUGAAUUUUGAUCAGAAAAAUUCAAUCUAUCCAUUGGUAAUGGUUUCAUGCAUGUCAGAACAAGUUAACCUUGCUGUUUAAUCAAAACAAGUUAAUGCACUAAUAUGACUAUGUUAAAUGAACUACCAUUUGCAUCUUUGAUUCAAAUGAGUUCAUACCUUUCUGUUCUAGCUUGCAUUAGGCCAGGACACAUUCAUGUUGCCAUGUCAUAGCAUGCAUCAUAUUGUUGUAUAUCGUCAUGUGUUGUUCAUGUUCGGUGUGUUUUCGUGAUAGGUUCUGCCUCCGAGGAUAACCCCGAAUAUCCGUCUGAAGGGCUGUAUCCUACUACCACUACAUCAGGCAAGCAACCCAUUGAUCAUUCCGAUACAAACCCAUGUUCUUGCCUCUGCUCUUGUUUACUGCAUUAAGACAAUGCGAUUCAAACUUUUGUGUGUUGUGGUAGUUGAACCCACUUCCUUUGCAUGACCUGUCAUUGCCACAGUAACUAGAUGAAACUCAGUAGCAUGUGUAGGAGUUGAUUGAGCCAUAUCUGUGUUACCUACCAUGCUAUGCUUGCUAUGCUUAGAGUUGUGUCAGGUCUGGCUCAUUGGGAUGAUGAACUAGAGUGAAAGGUUGUGUCGGUAAUGAAGUGUUGAACACGAUUUGGUAAAGGUAUCGAUGAGAGGCCAUGUAGGAGUACAUGGUGGGUUGUUUCAUUGAGGCCGUCCUUAAGCACUGAGAUCUGUGUGUGUGAUUUAAGAUUCAGCUACUACCACGCAUUGGGCCCGAAACCAAUGGACCCUCUCGACUUAUUAACCACUCUUGUCCUCUGUCCGGGAGUUGCAAGUAGUUUUUGGUGUUUGUAGCAUGAUGGGGGCCGCACGCAGUGCUGACCUUAGGGGUGGGUUGGGUUGCGGUAGGCAUGUGGCACGGUGUAUCGAUUCGCCCGUUUGGUGUCUCGGGAACCAUGUUCACAUCAUUCGGGGCCGUUAGUGGAAACCUCGGCCGGACUCCCUGCGGAUGGAACCCGAAUAGGCGAUAAACCUGGACUAGGGACUCGUGUGUUUAGUCAGGCCGUGGCCGACACCCUCGCUGGGCUUCCGCUUGAGGCUUGCCGAGUACACGUCAUGUAGCGGUGAUAAGUGGUGAGAGCGUGUGUGAAGAAGUACACCCCUGCAGGGUAUAAAACUAUUCGAAUAGCCGCGUCCGCGGUAAAGGACUACUUGGUCACCUAUGCAGUUCAUAGACAAGUAAAUGGAUACUUCUAAAAGCCUCAAGUUAAGUGUGAGUACCGAGGAUGGCCCUCUCGUAGGUUGACAAGAGAGGAUCCUCGGUGGAGUAUUGUGUUGGUGAGUAGUGGACUCGUGUGCGACAAAUGUUUUGCAAGUUGUGUCUAUCGUAGAAUAGCUUAGCCAAGAGUCAAAGCUGGCUUGCUGCAAUAACUCCACUACCUUCUUGAGAAUGUGCAUGUAUGAUAGGAUUCUGUUGUAAGACUUGCUGAGUACCUCUGUACUCAUGUUUGCUUAAAUGUUUUCAGACGACAACACCAACCCCUCCGAUGGGUUCUACGUAGACCUCGACGUUGACGAGUGACUAACCACCCAAGUGGUGAUCCGAGACUUGUGAAGGGCCGAUGUAGAUAGAAAGGCUUCGUCAAGCCCUCUUUCUUUCUAGUGUCUGUACUCAGACUAGUUGCUUCCGCAUGUGCUUGUAUGCUUGUAUGACUUGAGUCUCAGGUCAUGUGACCCCUAUCUGUAUGAACAUGUUAUGUAUGGCUCCUUGGAGCCACUUAAAUAAAGUACUUUGAGUUGUAGAGUUUUGUUGUGAUGCCAUGUUGUAUGUACUCAUAUCGGGCAUAUUGUGUGUAUGUUUGAAAUGCUUGGUAUGAGUGGGAUCCGACAAUCUAGUUGUUUAUCCUUGGCAGCCUCUCAUAUGGGGAAAUGUAGUCUAGUGCUUCCUGAGCGAUAGUAGUCCGCUACAGCCCGGUUCACCGGAGUCCUGCUAGCCCAGUACUACAGCUCUGGACACUUGACUGGACAGCAUGUGUUUCACUUCGUUCCUGUGUCUGUCCCUUUGCGGAAAUGUCACGCGGUGGCAUUCGGAGUCCUGCCUAGCCUGCUACAGCCCGGGUUACUGUUGGGAAACGUAGUAAUUUCAAAAUUUUCCUACGCACACACAAGAUCAUGGUGAUGGCAUAGCAACGAGAGGGGAGAGUGUUCGUCCACGUACCCUCGUAGACCGUAAGCGGAAGCGUUAGCACAACGCGGUUGAUGUAGUCGUACGUCUUCACGAUCCGACUAAUCCAAGCACUGAACGUACGUGGCCUCCGAGUUCAGCACACGUUCAGCUCGAUGAUGAUCUCCGGCCUCCAAUCCAGCGAAGCUCCGGAGAUGAGUUCCGUCAGCACGACAGCAUGGUGACGAUGAUGAUGUUCUACCUGCGCAGGGCUUCGCCUAAAAUCCGCGACGAUAUGACUGAGGUGGAAUAUGGUGGAGGGGGGCACCGCACACGGCUAAGGAACGAUCCAUAGAUCAACUUGUGUGUCUAUGGGGUGCCCCCCCCCCCCCGCCCCUGUAUAUAAAGGAGAAAGGGGGAGGCCGGCCGGCCCCUUGGGCGCGCCAAGGGAGGAGGAAUNNNNNNNNNNNNNNNNNNNNNNNNNNNNNNNNNNNNNNNNNNNNNNNNNNNNNNNNNNNNNNNNNNNNNNNNNNNNNNNNNNNNNNNNNNNNNNNNNNNNNNNNNNNNNNNNNNNNNNNNNNNNNNNNNNNNNNNNNNNNNNNNNNNNNNNNNNNNNNNNNNNNNNNNNNNNNNNNNNNNNNNNNNNNNNNNNNNNNNNNNNNNNNNNNNNNNNNNNNNNNNNNNNNNNNNNNNNNNNNNNNNNNNNNNNNNNNNNNNNNNNNNNNNNNNNNNNNNNNNNNNNNNNNNNNNNNNNNNNNNNNNNNNNNNNNNNNNNNNNNNNNNNNNNNNNNNNNNNNNNNNNNNNNNNNNNNNNNNNUCCGGUUUUCUCCGAAAUCACCCGGAACAAUUUCGGUGUCCGAAUAUAGUCGUCCAAUAUAUCAAUCUUUAUGACUCGACCAUUUCGAGAUUCCUCGUCAUGUCCGUGAUGACAUCCGGGACUCCGAACAAACUUCGGUACAUCAAAACUUAUAAACUCAUAAUAAAACUGUCAUCGUAACGUUAAGCGUGCGGACCCUACGGGUUCGAGAACUAUGUAGACAUGACCUAGAACCAUUCUUGGUCAAUAACCAAUAGCGGGACCUAGAUGCCCAUAUUGGUUCCUACAUAUUCUACGAAGAUCUUUAUCGGUCAAACCGCAUAACAACAUACGUUGUUCCCUUUGUCAUCGAUAUGUUACUUGCCCGAGAUUUGAUCGUCGGUAUCCAAUACCUAGUGCAAUCUCGUUACUGGCAAGUCUCUUUACUCGUUCCGUAAUACAUCAUCUCAUAACUAACUUAUUAGUUACAAUGCUUGCAAGGCUUAGGUGAUGAGUAUUACCAAGAGGACCCAGAGAUACCUCUCCGACAAUCGGAGUGACAAAACCUAAUCCCGAAUUAUGCCAACUCAACAUGUACCUUCGGAAACACCUAUAGAGCACCUUUAUAAUCACCCAGUUACGUUGUGACGUUUGGUAGCACACAAAGUGUUCUUCCGGUAAACGGGAGUUGCACAAUCUCAUAGUUGCAGGAACUUGUAUAAGUCAUGAAGAAAGCAAUAGCAGUAUACUAAACGAUCAAGUGCUAGGCUAACGGAAUGGGUCAUGUCAAUCACAUCAUUCUCCUAAUGAUGUGAUCCCGUCAAUCAAAUGACAACUCUUUUGUCCAUGGUUAGGAAACAUAACCAUCUUUGAUAAACGAGCUAGUCAAGUAGAGGCAUACUAGUGACACUAUGUUUGUCUAUGUAUUCACACAUGUAUCAUGUUUCCGGUUAAUAUAAUUCUAGCAUGAAUAAUAAACAUUUAUCAUGAUAUGAGGAAAUAAAUAAUAACUUUAUUAUUGCCUCUAUGGCAUAUUUCCUUCAGUCUCCCACUUGCACUAGAGUCAAUAAUCUAGAUUACAUGGUAAUGAUUUUGACACCCAUGGAGUCUUGGUGCUGAUCAUGUUUUGCUCGUGAGAGAGGCUUAGUCAACGGGUCUGCAACAUUCAGAUCCGUAUGUAUCUUGCAAAUCUCUAUGUCUCCCACUUGGACUUGGUCCCGAAUGGAAUUGAAGCGUCUCUUGAUGUGUUUGGUCCUCUUGUGAAAUUUGGAUUCCUUUGCCAAGGCAAUUGCACCAGUAUUGUCACAGAAGAUGUUCAUUGGUCCCGAUGCACUAGGUAUGACACCUAGAUCGGAAAUGAGAUCCUUCAUCCAGACUCCUUCAUUUGCUGCUUCUGAAGCAGCUAUGUACUCCGCUUCACAUGUAGAUCCCGCCACGAUGCUUUGUUUAGAACUGCACCAACUUACAGCUCCACCGUUUAAUAAAAACACGUAUCUGGUUUGCGAUUUAGAAUCGUCCGGAUCAGUGUCAAAGCUUGCAUCGACGUAACCGUUUACGACUAGCUCUUUGUCACCUCCAUAUAUGAGAAACAUAUCCUUAGUCCUUUUCAGGUAUUUCAGGAUGUUCUUGACCGCUGUCCAGUGAUCCACUCCUGGAUUACUUUGGUACCUUCCUGCCAAGCUUAUUGCUAAGCAUACGUCAGGCCUGGUACACAGCAUUGCAUACAUGAUAGAGCCUAUGGCUGAAGCAUAGGGAACAUUUUUCAUUUUCUCUCUAUCUUCUGCUGUGGUCGGGCAUUGAGUUUGACUCAACUUCACACCUUGUAGCACAGGUAAGAAUCCUUUCUUUGCCUGAUCCAUUUUGAACUUUUUCAAAAAAAAUUCAAGGUAUGUGCUUUGUGAAAGUCCUAUUAAGCGUCUUGAUCUAUCUCUAUAGAUCUUGAUGAGUAAUAUGUAAGCAGCUUCACCGAGGUCUUUCAUUGAAAAACUUUUAUUCAAGUAUCCCUUUAUGCUAUGCAGAAAUUCUAUAUCAUUUCCAAUUAAUAAUAUGGCAUCUACAUAUAAAAUUAGAAAUGCUACAGAGCUCCCACUCACUUUCUUGUAAAUACAGGCUUCUCCAAAUGUCUGUAUAAAACCAUAUGCUUUGAUCACACUAUCAAAGCGUUUAUUCCAACUCCGAAAUGCUUGCACCAGUCCAUAAAUGGAACGCUGGAGCUUGCAUACUUUGUCAGCACCUUUUGGAUCAACAAAACCUUCCGGCUGCAUCAUAUACAACUCUUCUUCUAGAAAUCCAUUCAAGAAUGCAGUCUUGACAUCCAUAUGCCAAAUUUCAUAAUCAUGAAAUGCAGCAAUAGCUAACAUGAUUCGGACAGACUUAAGCAUCGCUACGGGUGAGAAAGUCUCAUCGUAGUCAACCCCUUGAACUUGUCGAAAACCUUUUGCAACAAGUCGAGCUUUAUAGACAGUUACAUUACCAUCAGCGUCAGUCUUCUUCUUAAAGAUCCAUUUAUUCUCAAUGGCUUGCCAAUCAUCGGGCAAGUCAACCAAAGUCCAUACUUUGUUUUCAUACAUGGAUCCCAUCUCAGAUUUCAUGGCUUCUAGCCAUUUUGCGGAAUCUGGGCUCAUCAUCGCUUCCUCAUAGUUCGUAGGUUCACCAUGGUCAAGUAACAUGACUUCCAGAAUAGGAUUACCAUACAACUCUAGUGCGGAUCUUACUCUGGUAGACCUACGAGGUUCAGUAGAAACUUGAACUCCUCACUAAUUGGUGUAGUUGUCACAGGAACCGGUUCUCGUGAUGAACUACUUUCCAAUAAGGGAGUAGAUACAGUUAUCUCAUCAAGUUCUACUUUCCUCCCACUCACUUCUUUCGAGAGAAACUCCUUCUCUAGAAAGGAUCCAUUCUUAGCAACGAAUGUCUUGCCUUCAGAUCUGUGAUAGAAGGUGUACCCAACAGUCUCUUUUGGGUAUCCUAUGAAAACACAUUUCUCCGAUUUGGGUUCGAGCUUAUCUGGUUGAAGUUUCUUCACAUAAGCAUCGCAGCCCCAAACUUUAAGAAACGACAACUUUGGUUUCUUGCCAAACCACAGUUCAUAAGGCGUCGUCUCAACGGAUUUUGAUGGUGCCCUAUUUAACGUGAAUGCGGCCGUCUCUAAAGCAUAACCCCAAAACGAUAGCAGUAAAUCAGUAAGAGACAUCAUAGAUCGCACCAUAUCAAGUAAAGUACGAUUAUGACGUUCGGACACACCAUUUCGUUGUGGUGUUCCGGGUGGCGUGAGUUGCGAAACUAUUCCACAUUGUUUCAAGUGUAGGCCAAACUCGUAACUCAAAUAUUCUCCUCCACGAUCAGAUCGUAGAAACUUUAUUUUCUUGUUACGAUGAUUUUCCACUUCACUCUGAAAUUCUUUGAACUUUUCAAAUGUUUCAGACUUGUGUUUCAUCAAGUAGAUAUACCCAUAUCUGCUCAAAUCAUCUGUGAAGGUGAGAAAAUAACGAUACCCGCCGCGAGCCUCAACAUUCAUUGGGCCACAAACAUCAGUAUGUAUGAUUUCCAACAAAUUAGUUGCUCGCUCCAUAGUUCCGGAGAAUGGCGUUUUAGUCAUCUUGCCCAUAAGGCACAGUUCGCAAGUACCAAGUGAUUCAUAAUCAAGUGAUUCCAAAAGUCCAUCAGUAUGGAGUUUCUUCAUGCGUUUUACACCGAUAUGACCCAAAAGGCAGUGCCACAAGUAAGUUGCACUAUCGUUAUCAACUCUGCAUCUUUUGGUUUCAACACUAUGAACAUGUGUAUCACUACUAUCGAGAUUUAAUAAAAAUAAACCACUCUUCAAGGGUGCAUGACCAUAAAAGAUAUUACUCAUAUAAAUAGAACAACCAUUAUUCUUUGAUUUAAAUGAAUAACCGUCUCGCAUCAAACAAGAUCCAGAUAUAAUGUUCAUGCUUAACGCUGGCACCAAAUAACAAUUAUUCAGGUCUAAAACUAAUCCCGAAGGUAGAUGUAGAGGUAGCGUGCCGACCGCGAUCACAUCGACUUUGGAACCGUUUCCCACGCGCAUCGUCACCUCGUCCUUGGCCAGUGCUCGCUUAUUCCGUAGUCCCUAUUUCGAGUUGCAAAUAUUAGCAACAGAACCAGUAUCAAAUUCCCAGGUGCUACUACGAGCUCUAGUUAGGUACACAUCAAUAACAUGUAUAUCACAUGUAGCUUUGUUUACUUUGCCAUCCUUCUUAUCCGCCAAAUACUUGGGGCAGUUCCGCUUCCAGUGACCAGUCUGCUUGCAGUAGAAGCACUCAGUUUCAGGCUUAGGUCCAGACUUGGGUUUCUUCUCUUGAGCAGCAACUUGCUUGCUGUUCUUCUUGAAGUUCCCCUUCUUCUUCCCUUUGCCCUUUUUCUUGAAACUAGUGGUCUUGUUGACCAUCAACACUUGAUGCUCCUUCUUGAUUUCUACCUCCGCAGCUUUUAGCAUUGCGAAGAGCUCGGGAAUAGUCUUGUUCAUCCCUUGCAUAUUAUAGUUCAUCACAAAGCUCUUGUAUCUUGGUGGCAGUGAUUGGAGAACUCUGUCAAUGACGCUAUCAUCCGGAAGAUUAACUCCCAGUUGAAUCAAGUGAUUAUUAUACCCAGACAUUUUGAGUAUAUGCUCACUGACAGAACUAUUCUCCUCCAUCUUGCAGCUGUAGAACUUAUUGGAGACUUCAUAUCUCUCAAUCCGGGCAUUUGCUUGAAAUAUUAACUUCAACUCCUGGAACAUCUCAUAUGCUCCAUGACGUUCAAAACGUCGUUGAAGGCCCGGUUCUAAGCCGUAAAGCAUGGCACACUGAACUAUAGAGUAGUCAUCAGCUUUGCUCUGCCAGACGUUCUUAACGUCGUCAGUUGCAUCAGCAGCAAGCCUGGCACCCAGCGGUGCUUCCAGGACGUAACUUUUCUGUGCAGCAAUGAGGAUAAUCCUCAGGUUACGGACCCAGUCCGUGUAAUUGCUACCAUCAUCUUUCAACUUUUCUUUCUCAAGGAACGCAUUAAAAUUCAACGGAACAACAGCACGAGCCAUCUAUCUACAAACAAACAUAGACAAGCAAAAUACUAUCAGGUACUAAGUUCAUGAUAAAUUUUAAGUUCAAUUAAUCAUAUUACUUAAGAACUCCCACUUAGACAGACAUCUCUCUAGUCAUCUAAGUGAUUACGUGAUCCAAAUCAACUAAACCAUAACCGAUCAUCAUGUGAGAUGGAGUAGUUUUCACUGGUGAACAUCACUAUGUUGAUCAUAUCUACUAUAUGAUUCAUGCUCGACCUUUCGGUCUCCGUGUUCCGAGGCCAUAUCUGCAUAUGCUAGGCUCGUCAAGUUUAACCUGAGUAUUCUGCGUGUGCAAAACUGGCUUGUACCCGUUGUAGAUGGACGUAGAGCUUAUCACACCCUAUCAUCACGUGGUGUCUGGGCACGACAAACUUUGGCAAUGGUGCAUACUCAGGGAGAACACUUCUUGAUAAUUUUUGUGAGAGAUCAUCUUAAAAUGCUACCGUCAAUCAAAGCAAGAUAAGAUGCAUAAAGGAUAAACAUCACAUGCAAUCAAUAUAAGUGAUAUGAUAUGGCCCUCAUCAUCUUGUGCUUGUGAUCUCCAUCUUUGAAGCACCAUCGUGAUCACCAUCGUCACCGGCGCGACACCUUGAUCUCCAUCGUAGCAUCGUUGUCGUUACGCCAUCUAUUGCUUCUACGACUAUCUAUACCGCUUAGUGAUAAAGUAAAGCAAUUACAGGGUGUUUGCAUUUCAUACAAUAAAGCGACAACCAUAUGGCUCCUGCCAGUUGCCGAUAACUUCGGUUACAAAACAUGAUCAUCUCAUACAAUAAAAUAUAUCAUCACGUCUUGACCAUAUCACAUCACAACAUGCCCUGAAAAACAAGUUAGACGUCCUCUACUUUGUUGUUGCAAGUUUUACGUGGCUGCUAUGGGCUUAGCAAGAACUGUUCUUACCUACGCAUCAAAACCACAACGAUAGUUCGUCAAGUUGGUGCUGUUUUAACCUUCGCAAGGACCGGGCGUAGCCACACUCGAUUCAGCUAAAGUGAGAGAGACAGACACCCGCCAGCCACCUUUAAGCACGAGUGCUCGUAACGGUGAAACCAGUCUCACGUAAGCGUACGCGUAAUGUCGGUCCGGGCCGCUUCAUCUCACAAUACCGCCGAACCAAAGUAUGAAAUGCUGGUAAGCAGUAUGACUUGUAUCGCCCACAACUCACUUGUGUUCUACUCGUGCAUAUAACAUCAACGCAUAAAACCUAGGCUCGGAUGCCACUGUUGGGAAACGUAGUAAUUUCAAAAUUUUCCUACGCACACGCAAGAUCAUGGUGAUGGCAUAGCAACGAGAGAGGAGAGUGUUCGUCCAUGUACCCUCGUAGACCGUAAGCGGAAGCGUUAGCACAACGCGGUUGAUGUAGUUGUACGUCUUCACGAUCCGACCGAUCCAAGCACCGAACGUACGGGGCCUCCGAGUUCAGCACACGUUCAGCUCGAUGACGAUCUCCGGCCUCCGAUCCAGUGAAGCUCCGGAGAUGAGUUCCGUCAGCACGACGGCGUGGUGACGAUGAUGAUGUUCUACCGGCACAGGGCUUCGCCUAAACUCCGCGACAAUAUGACCGAGGUGGAAUAUGGUGGAGGGGGGGCACCGCACACGGCUAAGGAACGAUCCGUAGAUCAACUUGUGUGUCUAUGGGGUGCCCCCCGCCCCUGUAUAUAAAGGAGCAAGGGGGAGAGGCCGGCCGGCCCCUUGGGCGCGCCAAGGGAGGAGGAAUCCUCCUCCUAGUAGGAGUAGGACUCCUCCUUUCCUACUCCUACUAGGAGGGGGAAGGAAGGAGGAGAGGGGGAAGGAAAGGGGGGGCGCCGCCCCCCUCGUAGUCCAAUUCGGACCAGAGGGGGGGAGGGGGCGUGCGGCCCAUGCUGGCCGCCCCUCUCUCCUUUCCCCUAAGGCCCAUAAGGCCCAAUACUCUCCCGGGGGGUUCCGGUAACCCCCGGCACUCCGGUUUUCUCCGAAAUCACCCGGAACAAUUCCGGUGUCCGAAUAUAGUCGUCCAAUAUAUCAAUCUUUAUGUCUCGACCAUUUCGAGAUUCCUCGUCAUGUCCGUGAUGACAUCCGGGACUCCGAACAAACUUCGGUACAUCAAAAGAUAUAAACUCAUAAUAAAACUGUCAUCGUAACGUUAAGCGUGCGGACCCUACAGGUUCGAGAACUAUGUAGACAUGACCUAGAACCAUUCUCGGUCAAUAACCAAUAGCGGGACCUGGAUGCCCAUAUUGGUUCCUACAUAUUCUACGAAGAUCUUUAUCGGUCAAACCGCAUAACAACAUACGUUGUUCCCUUUGUCAUGGGUACGUUACUUGCCCGAGAUUUGAUCGUCGGUAUCCAAUACCUAGUUCAAUCUCGUUACUGGCAAGUCUCUUUACUCGUUCCGUAAUAUAUCAUCUCAUAACUAACUUAUUAGUUACAAUGCUUGCAAGGCUUAGGUGAUGAGUAUUACCGAGAGGGCCCAGAGAUACCUCUCCGACAAUCGGAGUGACAAAACCUAAUCUCGAAUUAUGCCAACUCAACAUGUACCUUCGGAAACACCUGUAGAGCACCUUUAUAAUCACCCAGUUACGUUGUGACGUUUGGUAGCACACAAAGUGUUCUUCCGGUAAACGGGAGUUGCACAAUCUCAUAGUUGCAGGAACUUGUAUAAGUCAUGAAGAAAGCAAUAGCAGUAUACUAAACGAUCAAGUGCUAGGCUAACGGAAUGGGUCAUGUCAAUCACAUCAUUCUCCUAAUGAUGUGAUCCCGUCAAUCAAAUGACAACUCUUUUGUCCAUGGUUAGGAAACAUAACCAUCUUUGAUAAACGAGCUAGUCAAGUAGAGGCAUACUACUGACACUAUGUUUGUCUAUGUAUUCACACAUGUAUCAUGUUUCCGGUUAAUAUAAUUCUAGCAUGAAUAAUAAACAUUUAUCAUGAUAUGAGGAAAUAAAUAAUAACUUUAUUAUUGCCUCUAGGGCAUAUUUCCUUCAGUUACCGGAGUCCUGUUAGCCCAGUGUUACAGCCCGGAUGUAUACGUUGAUGACCGACAUGCUCGAUGUGACUCAUGUAUGCCUGUCCCCAUAGGUUAGCGCCGCUUUGGGUUCAUGACUAGCCAUGUCAGCCCGGGUUCUCUGUCAUAUGGAUGCUAGCGACACUAUCAUAUACGUGAGCCAAAAGGCGCAAACAGUCCCGGCCAUGGUAAGGCGACACCCGUGGGAUUACCGUGCGUGAGGCCGCAAAGUGAUAUGAGGUGUUACCGGCUAGAUCAAUGUGACUUGGAAUCAUGGUCCAGACAGCAUUGGCAUCAGAGCCGGACUGCCUGUAGGUUCCUAAGCCAAACUGGUCGAUGUCGAGUCUAGAAAUGCUUUAGUUAUAUGUAGGGGAAUUUAUUGUGGGAGGAAACGUAAGGCUCUUUUUACCCCUUUACCUUAUGCCCUCUGAUCUGUGUCAUCCUCUUCUCAUUCUACGUGGGUUAAGGACUAGGCUCUCUUCUCUCUAUCAGGUUCACGUGUUACUAAUCCGUAGUAACUUAUAGGAUUGUUGGUUACCAGUCUCAGUACAGUUCCUACUACUUUAGUAUGUUAUCAGUUGAACCUGAACCUUGAUAUGAUGUUGUUGAGUGGUUUUGCAAUCCGUUGUGAAUGUCUCAAAUCUGCUCCUGAGCAUUUACAGCUGUUAUGUUGUCCAAUUUUCCCUAGGAAUUCUAAUGUCUUUGCAUUGUGGUUGUGCUUUCAGAUGGCCACUCGCGCUCAGAACCAAGUGGUUCGCCUGACGCGGUGCCUCAAUGUGCCCGGUCAUACUGCUAUGUUAGUCCGGGUCAUGAUCGAGACAGGUUACCGUUGGUAUCCCGAAUACAUUGCCGAAGAGCAAUUCCAAGACUUUAAUCAAAGCCAAUACUUCUGCACUGUCAGGAUAUUUCCUUCAUAUCCUGGAUCCACCGAGCCCCUUCACUGCUCCUAUGGACUCGGGGUCACCAUUGAGAUGGCUGUACAGGAUGCGGCCUAUUCUAUGAUGACCAUCAUGCGAGUCAGGACUGGUCUGCUUCGGAACACCGACUUCCGUUAUAUGCCAGCAUCGCUCCCAGGAGCGCAAGGGUAUCUCCAGGCUAUCUAUGCUGAUUCCACCCAUGAGGACUCACUAACUCGCACCAUUGCGGAGAUGCUCGAGGAUAAGGACCGAGAGAAUCAGGCCUUGAGGUUGGAGCUUUUCAACACCUGCGCCGAUCAUUGGGCCACUUUGACUCGGUUUGCACCGGCUGUGCAAGCUGGAUGUAUGGAUAUGAGGGAUCUGUUUCCUGUGAGAUCUGCUCUGCCAGACAUGGUGGAUUGGCGUGAUGUGGGAGGCAUCAUCCCACCCCGUGGUCCCCGUAGGCCAUCGUUUGUUGGUCCAAGACCUCAUCCUAGCCCCUAUGGUCCACAGGCUCCUCAGGACCGUCUGUUCCCGGAUGAUCACGUUGAGCUUCCAAGCUAUGGAGGGGACUUCUAUGAGGACUACUACGGAGCUGUCUGAGUUAGUAGUAGUAUCUUUAGUAUUGUAAUAGUUGUAAUUCCAUCGUCCUGCGUGACCUGUGGAAUAUGACUUAGUGUGUAUCAGUUCCGGAGGUGUAGAAAAAUAAUGUAUCGGAGCUUGGAAUGCCUCCGAUGAGAUGUAACUUCUUCCACCGUAGUUGUACUAUAGUCGGGCUUGUACUAAACUAUGUAUGGUGUGUAUGACUGUUGGUGCAUAUAUGGCAGUUUCUGUAUUACCAUGUCAUACAGAUGAACAUCUCUGCAUUCCUUGUUAUCCAUUACAUUCUGCACUUCCUUGUCCAGAUUUGCCAUCCUUGUCUAAAGCGAUGUCUUGUUUUCCUAGGAUGGUCAACACCCGUAACAACCCUGCUACUCCGGAGCAGGGUGAAGCCAGUGCAGCUAGGAAUGAAAAUCUGCCUCAACCACCUUCUCUGGUCGAAGUUAUGCUGGAGGCAGAGCGAAAUAAGCGUGAGACCAAUCGCUUGCUGGAGCGGAUUGAGCAGAAUACCGCACGCCAGCCGAGGAACGACCUGGUGUCACUUAAUGACUUUGUCAAGCUGUAUCCACCGAAGUUUAAACAUUCCGUCGAGCCCCUUGAUGCGGAUGAAUGGCUUCGCAGCAUUACCCACAAGCUACGUUCUGUCAAUGUGGCCGAAGCUGAUAAGGUUAACUUUGCUACCUAUCACCUCGAAGGCCCUGCUAGCCUUUGGUGGGAAAACUUUGAGGCUAUGCGCCCGGUCGGCCAAAUUACUACUUGGGCUGAAUUCAGUAUGGAGCAUCACAUUCCGGAAGGUCUUAUGGAUCGCAAGCGUGAAGAGUUCUGCAACUUCACCCAGGGUAGACUGACUGUGGAUGCAUACAGUCGCGAGUUUGGAUAUCUAGCACGAUAUGCUCCUAAAGAGGUAUCCACCGACGCCAAGAAGCAGGCAAGGUUCCGCAAGGGACUUAGCCCCGAGCUUCGUCGUGAUCUUCGUCUGCACGAGUGCACCUCCUUCCAGAAGUUAGUCAACAAGGCCAUCAGUGCUGAGACAGGGCAGUCGGACUUUGAAGCUUCACGCAAGCACUCCCGUGACUUUGGACUUCAUCCGGCUGUGCAUCUCAGAAGCGCCGGGUCUGGAUUCCAAGCACUGCUCUGCCACCCAGGUUCACCCCGAGGCCAUCCUUUGACGCGCCUCGCCCCAACCAAUAGUAUACACCGCCCAAGGCCUAUGGUGGCCCCACUGCUAAUGCUACUCCAUGCCCCAAUGUGAUAACUUGUUUCAAGUGUGGGGAGACGGGUCACUACAUUCGUGAGUGUCCCCAAAACAACCCCAACCAGAUUGGAAAGUCUGUUGGCCGUGGCAAGCCAGCAGGAAAGGUGCUCUACGCCAAGCCAGCCACCACUGCCCGUGGCCAUGUCAACUAUGUCUCAGCAGAGGAGACUCAUGAGGAUCCCAACGUCGUUCUCGGUACGCUUCUUGUUAAUUGCCACCCGGCAACCAUUCUCUUUGAUACUGGAGCAUCUCAUUCAUUUAUAUCUGAAAGCUAUGCUCGAUUGCACAACACCACAUUUUGUGACAUGCCCACCUCCAUGGUAAUUCAAACCCCUGGUUCUAAGUGGCAAACCUCUAAAAUCAGCCAUGGAAAUGAAAUCCUUGUCGACAGAUUAGUCUUCCUUGCAUCACUAAUAGCUCUCAAGUCCUCGGACAUAAACAUCAUCUUGGGUAUGGACUGGAUGUCAGCCCAUUACGCUAAGAUCGAUUGCUCCACUAGAACUGUUCAACUCACCCACCCUUCGGGCAAGACAGCCAAUGUUUUGACCCGAGUGUCUAAGCGUCAGCUUUACUCUUUAAAUGCCAACCCCCUUCCAGACCUUGAAGAUAUUCCGGUAGUCCGUGACUUCCCGGAUGUCUUUCCAGAGGAACUGUCAGGUGUUCCACCUAACAGAGAUGUCAAGUUCGUGAUAGACCUUGUUCCAGGAACCAUGCCAACAUCUAGGAGACCUUAUAAGAUGGCACCCCUAGAACUAGCUGAGCUUAAGAAACAACUCGAUGAGUCCUUGCAAAAGGGUUUCAUCCAUCCUAGCUCUUCUCCAUGGGCUUGCCCCGUCCUUUUCGUCAAGAAGAAGGAUGGAACGGAUCGGAUGGUUGUAGAUUACCGGCCAGUCAACUUGGUCACUAUCAAGAACAAGUAUCCGCUCCCCAAGAUCAACGACCUGUAUGAUCAGCUCGCUGGAUCCUCAGUCUUUUCUAAAAUGGAUUUGAGGUUGGGCUACCAUCAAAUCAAAAUUAAGAACGGGGACAUUCCUAAAACGGCCUUUGUUACUCGAUAUGGCCAAUACGAGUACACCGUCAUGUCCUUCGGUCUAACCAAUGCCCCAGCCACCUUCUCUCGGUUAUUGAACUCGAUCUUCAUGGAGUAUUUUGAUAAAUUCGUCGUGGUUUACCUUGAUGAUAUACUCAUCUACUCCAAGAAUGAAGAAGAACAUGCCGAACAUCUAAGGCUAGUGUUGAUGAAACUUUGAGAGCAUUGUCUUUAUGCCAAAUUCUCUAGGUGUGAGUUUUGGUUGCCAGAAGUAACCUAUCUAGGACAUGUAAUCUCUGGUAAGGGCAUUGCUGUCAAUCCCAAGCGAGUUCAAGCCAUCCUUGACUGGACUCCACCUGAAACGGUCAAGCAAGUUCAGAGUUUUGUUGGUUUAGCGAGCUAUUGCCGCUGCUUCAUCGAGAAUUUCUCCAAGGUUGCUAAGCCUCUAACCGAACUCCUCAAGAAAGAUAAAAAGUUCGAAUGGACGCCAUAGUGCGAGUUCAGUUUUCAGGAACUGAAAAGACGCCUGACAUCUGCUCCUGUACUUGUUCCACCAGAUUUCUCUAAGGACUUCGUUAUCUACUGCGACGCCUCGCGACAAGGACUAGGUUGCAUACUCAUGCAAGAUCGUCAUGUGAUUGCCUACGCUUCUCGACAGCUGCGUCCACAUGAGGAUAACUAUCCCACACAUGAUCUACAGCUUGCAGCAGUGGUCCAUGCACUCAAAACCUGGCGACAUUACCUUCUCGGUAAUCGUUGCGAGAUUUACACCGAUCACCAAAGUCUGAAAUACAUCUUCACCAAACCGGAUUUGAAUCUCAGACAAAGACGUUGGGUCGAGUUGAUUACGGAUUACGAUCUAGGAAUAACCUACACCCCAGGAAAAGCCAAUGUCAUGGCUGAUGCAUUAAGCCGUAAAUCUUAUUGUAACAACCUGAUGUUACAACAAAGCCAACCAUUUCUCCACGAGGAAUUUCGUAAGCUUAACCUUCACAUCGUUCCUCGAGGUUUUCUUUCCACCCUGGUGGCGAAACCUACCCUUACGGAUCAGAUCAUCAAGGCACAGAAGGUAGAUCCGGGAAUAUCCCGUAUCAAGAGAAACAUCAAAAGGGAGUUGGACUGUUUCUCCAUAGAUGAUCAAGGUGUUGUGUUCUUUGGAGGCCAUCUAGUGGUUCCCAAGGUAUGCAACCUGAGGCGAUUGAUCCUUAAGGAAGCUCAUGAAUCCCCUCUCACUAUUCAUCCCAGUAGUACUAAAAUGUAUCAAGACCUACGCCAGAGGUUUUGGUGGACUAGGAUGAAGAGAGAAAUCGCUCAAUACAUUACCAAUUGCGACGUCUGUCGUCGAGUUAAAGAAGAGCAUCAACGACCUGCUGGCACCCUGCAACCUUUGGAAAUUCCCGAAUGGAAAUGGGAUAAAAUCGGUAUGGAUUUCAUUACCGGGUUUCCCAGGACCAAGAGGGGGAAUAAUGCUAUCUUCGUUGUUGUCGAUCGUCUUUCCAAAGUAGCCCACUUCCUACACGUUCGUGAGAGUUUAACCGCUAGCCAGCUAGCUGACUUAUACAUCUCCCGAAUAGUGUCUCUUCAUGGUGUUCCAUUGGAGACUAACUCAGACCGUGGAAGUCUCUUCACCUCUCGAUUUCGGGAAAGUUUCCAAAAUGCGAUGGGAACUCGUCUUUCUUUUAGCACCGCUUUCCAUCCUCAAUCAAGUGGUCAAGUAGAACGAGUCAAUCAAAUUCUAGAGGAUAUGCUUCGAGCUUCUGUCAUCUCUUUUGGUAUGAAUUGGGAGAAGUGCCUUCCAUUCGCUGAGUUCGCUUAUAACAAUAGUUAUCAAGCUAGCUUGGACAAAGCUCCUUUCAAAGUUCUCUAUGGAUGAAAAUGUCGAACACCUCUUAACUGGUCAGAAACCGGGUAAAGACAACUCUUUGGCCCGGAUAUGAUCCAGGAAGCAGAGGAGCAGGUUCACGUUAUUCGUGAGAAAUUGAAAACAGCCCAAUCUCAUCAAAAGAGCCAAUAUGACCGCAAACAUACACUAGUAGAAAAGGGGCCAAUGGUCCAGGCCGGUCCAGCCCAUUAGUCCCGGUUCAAUCCAGAACCGGGACCAAUGGGGGCAUUGGACCCGGUUCGUGAGCCCUGGGGGCCGGCCGGGCCACGUGGGCCAUUGGUCCCGGUUCGUCCUGACCUUUCGGUCCCGGUUGGUGGGACGAACCGGGACCAAUGGGCCUCGCUCCUGGCCCACCAACAUUGGUCCCGGUUGGUGGCUUGAACCGGGACCAAAGGCGUCCCUUUAGUCCCGGUUCAAGUCACCAACCGGGACCAAUUAGUUGCCUAUAUAUACCCCUCGCCUGCGAGCAGAGCACUCCCAGUGCUCUGUUUUUCGUGGCUGGCGAGGGGAGAGCUUUGUGGUGCUCUAGCUCACGUCCUAUGCACACAAGGUGUUCGAUGGAAUGCCCGAGCCACACUACUUAAGCUUUCUCCUCUCCAAGCUCGACCUCCAAGCUCCAUUUUCCUUCAUAUUUGUCUAGGUUUAGCGGUUCGUCACGUCCCGUCCCCAUCUUCACCACCGUUGAUCGCCCGCGCCGAUCUCGUCGCCGGCACCACCGUGGUGAGCCUCUUGUUCUUAUCUUCUUUCUGAAAGGAAAAAAAAUUCUUACUUGUAUGUUUAUAUAGAUACUUGUAUAAUUUUCUUACUUUUAUUAUUGCAUCUUAUAUAGUGCGAUGGUUUUGGUAUCCGCCCCCGUCGGCCCUCGUCCUGUCUAUGAUUCAGAUGUGGUAUAUAUAUAUUAUCUUUUCAUAACUAGUGGUUCAUUUAUUGUUUAUGACAAUUAUGCCGACCAACGUGACAUAGAUUUUAUUUAUCUAGGAGGUUGUUGAACCGGAAAUUCCAACCGACCCUAUUGUCGAGAGGUUAAAUUUAGUUGAAGAAAACAAUUUGUUGAAGGGAAAAAUUAGAAAAAUUGAGGAGGAGAAGAUGAUAUUGGAGUUGCAUGUUGCGGAUGUCAUCGAUGAUCACAAGAUCAAGAUGGAUGCAAUGCGCUUGAAGAUUAGAAAGAUUAGAAAAUAUGCCAUUCAUACCGAGGCUUGGUAUCAUUAUGUCGUUGGAUCAGUUGUUACAUUGGUUGCGAUUAUGAUCGUAUUUGUUUUCGCAUUGAAAUGUUUUACAUAGUUUCAGUGUAUGGUUUAAUUAAUUUAGAUGCCCUGCAGAGCUUUAUGUUGUUAGAUGAGAACUAUGUAUGUACUUUGGUUUUAAUGUGAUGAUGAACUUCUAUUAAUUUCGUCACUUAAUUAUCUAUUCAUGAUGUUCUGUAAUGAUUUUUGACACACUUAAUUAUAUAUAAUGCACGCAGAUGAACCGGCAAUGGAUGUACGGUUCAAGACACACCUCCGAGUACAUUAAGGGCGUGCAUGAUUUUCUCGAAGUGCCUGAGGCAACAAGAAGAAUGGUUUUAUGUGUUGUCCAUGCCCUAUAUGUGGGAAUACGAAGUCUUACUCUGACUGGAAAAUCCUCCACACCCACCUUCUUUACAAGGGUUUCAUGCCACACUAUAAUGUUUGGACGAGGCACGGAGAAAUAGGGGUUAUGAUGGAAGACGGCGAAGAAGAAGAGUACGAUGACAACUAUGUGCCCCCUGAAUACGGUGAUGCUACUGAAGAUCAAGAGGAACCAGACGAUGUGCCCGAUGAUGAUGAUCUCCGCCGGGUCAUUGUCGAUGCAAGGACGCAAUGCGAAAGUCAAAAGGAGAAGCUGAAGUUCGAUCGCAUGUUAGAGGACCACAAAAAAGGGUUGUACCCCAAUUGUGAAGAUGGCAACACAAAGCUCGGUACCGUACUGGAAUUGCUGCAGUGGAAGGCAGAGAAUGUUGUGCCUGACAAAGGAUUUGAGAAGCUACUGAAAAUAUUGAAGAAGAAGCUUCCAAAGGAUAACGAAUUGCCCGACAGUACAUACACAGCAAAGAAGUUCGUAUGCCCUCUAGGAUUGGAGGUGCAGAAGAUACAUGCAUGCCCUAAUGACUGCAUCCUCUACCGCGGUGCGUACAAGGAUCUGAACGCAUGCCCGGUAUGCGGUGCAUUACGGUAUAAGAUCAGACGAGAUGACCCUGGUGAUGUUGACGGCGAGCCCCCCAGGAAGAGGGUUCCUGCGAAGGUGAUGUGGUAUGCUCCCAUAAUACCACGGUUGAAACGUCUGUUCAGAAACGGAGAGCAUGCCAAGUUGAUGCGAUGGCACAGUGAGGACCGUAAGAAAGACGGGAAGUUGAGAGCACCCGCUGACGGGUCGCAGUGGAGAAAAAUCGAGGGAAAGUACUGGGAUGAGUUUGCAAGUGAGCCAAGGAACGUAUGGUUUGCUUUAAGCGCGGAUGGCAUUAAUCCUUUCGGGGAGCAGAGCAGCAAUCACAGCACCUGGCCCGUGACUCUAUGUAUGUAUAACCUUCCUCCUUUGAUGUGCAUGAAGCAGAAGUUCAUUAUGAUGCCAGUUCUCAUCCAAGGCCCUAAGCAACCCGGCGACGACAUUGAUGUGUACCUAAGGCCAUUAGUUGAAGAACUUUUAUAGCUGUGGAAUGGAAAUAGUGUACGUACGUGGGAUGAGCACAAACAGGAGGAAUUUAACCUAAAGGCGUUGCUGUUCGUGACCAUCAACAAUUGGCCCGCUCUCAGUAACCUUUCAGGACAGACAAACAAGGGAUACCACGCAUGCACGCACUGUUUACUUGACACCGAUAGUAUAUACCUAGCAAGUUGUAGGAAGAAUGUGUACCUGGGCCAUCAUCGAUUUCUUUCGACCAACCAUCAAUGUUGAAAGAAAGGCAAGCAUUUCAAAGGCGAGGCAGAUCACCGGAAGAAGCCCUCCAUGCGUACUGGUAUCACGUACUUGCUAUGGUAGUGAUUUACACGUAAUCUUUGGAAAGUGUCCCGGCGGACUAGCUGUUCCGAAUGACGCUGAGAAUCACGCACCCAUGUGGAAGAAGAAAUCUAUAUUUUGGGACCUACCCUACUAGAAAGACCUAGAGGUCCGCUCUUCGAUCGACGUGAUGCACGUGACGAAGAACCUUUGCGUGAACCUGCUAGGCUUCUUGGGCAUGUAUGGGAAGACAAAAGAUACAACUGAGGCACGGGAGGACCUGCAACGCUUGCACGAAAAAGUGGGCAUGCCUCCGAAGCAGUAUGAAGGUCCUGCCAGCUACGCUCUUACGAAAGAAGAGAAAUAAAUCUUCUUUGAAUGCCUGCUCAGUAUGAAGGUCCCGACUGGCUUCUCUUCGAAUAUAAAGGGAAUAAUAAAUAUGCCAGACAAAAAGUUCUAGAACCUAAAGUCUCAUGACUGCCACGUGAUUAUGACGCAACUGCUUCCGGUUGCAUUGAGGGGGCUUCUACCGGAAAACGUCCGAUUAGCCAUUGUGAACCUAUGUGCAUUCCUCAAUGCAAUCUCUCAGAAGGUGAUCGAUCCAGAAAUCAUACCAAGGCUAAGGACUGAUGUGGUGCAAUGUCUUGUCAGUUUCGAGCUGGUGUUCCCACCAUCCUUCUUCAAUAUCAUGACGCACGUCCUAGUUCAUCUAGUUGACGAGAUUGUCAUUCUGGGCCCCGUAUUUCUACACAAUAUGUACUUCUUUGAGAGGUUCAUGGGAGUCCUAAAGAAAUAUGUCUGUAACCGCGCUAGGCCAAAAGGAAGCAUCUCCAUGGGCUAUCAAACAGAGGAUGUCAUCGGGUUUUGUGUUGACUUCAUUCCUGGCCUUAAGAAUAUAGGUCUCCCUAAAUCGCGGUAUGAGGGGAGACUGACUGGAAAAGGCACGCUUGGAAGGGACUCAAUUAUAUGCAGGGACGGAUAUUCUUGGUCUCAAGCACACUACACAGUUCUACAGAACUCUACCUUGGUGACCCCGUAUGUCGAUGAACACAAGAACAGUCUGCGCUCCAAACACCCGGAGCAGUGCGACGACUAGAUUACAUGUGAACACAUCAGGACUUUCAGUAGUUGGUUGGAAGCACAUAUCAGAGGUGACAACACUGUUUGUGAUGAGUUGUACUUGUUGUCCAGGGGACCAUCUUUGACUGUAUUGAUUUGGAAAGGAUACGAGAUAAAUGGGAAUACAUUUUACACGAUUGACCAAGAUCAAAAGAGCACCAACCAAAACAGCGGUGUCCGCUUUGAUGAAACAACCGAGAGGGGAAAGGACACAUAUUGUGGUUACAUAGUGGACAUAUGGGAACUUGACUACGGACACGAUUUUAAGGUCCCUUUGUUUAAGUGCAAAUGGGUCAAUCUGUCAGGUGGCAGGGUACAGGUAGACCCACAGUACGGAAUGACAAUAGUGGAUCUGGAAAAUCUUGGAUACACUGACGAACUGUUCGUCCUAGCCAAUGAUGUGGCACAGGUUAUCUAUGUGAAGGACAUGUCUACCAGACCAAGAAAGAGAAAAGAUAAGGAAGCGAAUACAUCAUACGAUGAGCCAAAGUGCCACAUAGUUCUUUCAGGAAAAAGGGACAUCGUGGGAGUGGAGGACAAGACAGACAUGUCUGAAGAUUAUGAAAAGUUUCAUGAAAUUCCUCCCUUUAAUGUCAAGGCUGACCCCAGCAUCCUGAUAGACGAUGAAGAUUAUCCAUGGUUACGGCGCAAUAAGCAAAUGACACAAGCGAAGAAAAAGUGAAGACUUUCUCCCGCAACUAUUAUGAUGAUACCAUGCCAAAUUUGUAACUGACGAGUAUGAUACCAUUGUCCGUUUUGUACAUGCACAUGCUAUGUGGGUCAAUUUAUGAUACCAUGCCAACUUUCAACUUUUUCAGAGUUCAUUUGAAAUGCUUUAAUGUCUUAUGGUUCGGCCCUCGUAAUGAUUAAAAAUAGCAACAAUAAGUAUUUUGUUGUAAGUAGAAACAAAAUAAAAUAAAUAAAGCAAGAAAGAAAACAAAAAAAACAAAAAAAGUGUUUUCAAAUUUGAAAACUAAUGGUACUAACAGAAAGUUUAUAAUUUUCCUAAAACUAAAAGCAAAAAGAAUUGAAAAAUAAAGCAAAAAACAAAAGACAAUAAAUAAUGCAGAAAUCAAAACAAAAAACAACAAUAAGUAUUUUGUUGUAUGUAGAAACAAAACAAAAUAAAUAAAGCAAGAAAGAAAACAAAAAAACAAAAAAAGUGUUUUCAAAUUUGAAAACUAGGGCACUAACAGAAAGUUUAUAAUUUUCCUAAAACUAAAAGCAAAAAGAAUUAAAAAAUAAAGCAAAAAACAAAAGAAAAUAAAUAAUGCGGAAAACAAAACAAAAAAACUGGAAAAAAAAUAAAAUAGCAAAAAUAAGUAAAGAAAACAAAAAAAUGCCUCCUACUGGGCCCCCACGGCCUGAAUACGACUAGAAACCCUACUAUGGGCCAGGAUUCAGGCCCGCAGUAGGCCCAGAAGGCCCAUCAGGCAAAGCAAUAGCAAGUAGGCCCGAAAGCCUGCGGUGGAGAGGAGCUCGAGAGGGGUGCGGCAGUGGGGCUUAUAAACCACUGCACGCCCCUCUCAACUAGCGAGGUGGGACUAAACUUUGGCCCCGACGCGGGAAGCACAGGGGCCUUUGGUCCCGGUUGGUGGCACCAACCGGGACUAAAGGGGGGGGCAUUGGUACCGGUUCGUGGCACCAACCGGUACCAAAGGCCGCCGCUUCCCGCCCUUUGGGCUGCCGAAAAGGAGGCCUUUGGUCCUAGUUGGUGGCACUAACCGGGACUAAAGGGUGCAUUAGUCCCGGUUGAUUUCACGAACCGGGACCAAUGCCUUUGCUAUAUAAGCAAACACUUUGCAAAAUUUCAGAAUCCCAUCGCCAGUUGCCCCCGACGACGCCGACCCUCCUCGACGCUGCCAGGCUGCUCCACCUCGCCGUCGUCGCCGCCACCGCCAAGCCGUCGCCUCCCCGAGCCCGCGCCAUCCUCGUCGCCGGCCUCCCUGAGCCCGCGCCGUCCUCGUCGCCGGUCUCCUCGAGCCCGCUCCCCGUCCCGCCCCCGCGCGCCGCCGCCCCGAGCCCCUGCCCCGUCCUGCCCCCAUGCGCNNNNNNNNNNNNNNNNNNNNNNNNNNNNNNNNNNNNNNNNNNNNNNNNNNNNNNNNNNNNNNNNNNNNNNNNNNNNNNNNNNNNNNNNNNNNNNNNNNNNNNNNNNNNNNNNNNNNNNNNNNNNNNNNNNNNNNNNNNNNNNNNNNNNNNNNNNNNNNNNNNNNNNNNNNNNNNNNNNNNNNNNNNNNNNNNNNNNNNNNNNNNNNNNNNNNNNNNNNNNNNNNNNNNNNNNNNNNNNNNNNNNNNNNNNNNNNNNNNNNNNNNNNNNNNNNNNNNNNNNNNNNNNNNNNNNNNNNNNNNNNNNNNNNNNNNNNNNNNNNNNNNNNNNNNNNNNNNNNNNNNNNNNNNNNNNNNNNNNNNNNNNNNNNNNNNNNNNNNNNNNNNNNNNNNNNNNNNNNNNNNNNNNNNNNNNNNNNNNNNNNNNNNNNNNNNNNNNNNNNNNNNNNNNNNNNNNNNNNNNNNNNNNNNNNNNNNNNNNNNNNNNNNNNNNNNNNNNNNNNNNNNNNNNNNNNNNNNNNNNNNNNNNNNNNNNNNNNNNNNNNNNNNNNNNNNNNNNNNNNNNNNNNNNNNNNNNNNNNNNNNNNNNNNNNNNNNNNNNNNNNNNNNNNNNNNNNNNNNNNNNNNNNNNNNNNNNNNNNNNNNNNNNNNNNNNNNNNNNNNNNNNNNNNNNNNNNNNNNNNNNNNNNNNNNNNNNNNNNNNNNNNNNNNNNCGCUGCAUUGGCUCUGUUUUUUUUUCAUUUUUAUUAGUUUAAUUAUUUUUUUGUUCAUAUAUAUAUAUAUAUAUAUAAUGUAUAUGUGUAUGUAUGUGGCUAUAUAUGUGUAUGUAGAUGUUCAAAAAUUAUUCAGAGCACGUUUUUAUUCAUAUAUGUAUUUUUUGUUCAUAUGUGUAUUAAUGUUUUCAUAUAUGCAAAAGAUAGAUUUUUAGAAAAGUUAGGGUUUUUUUUUCUAUUCAUAGAUUUUUUUGGUGAUAUUAAUUAUUGUAGAAUAUGCAAAUGUUUGUAUAUUCAUAUGAACAAUGCAUUAGGCAAAACCUUUGUUUUUUUUGAAAUUUUUUAUUUGAACAUUUUUUAAAAACAAGCAAUACUAAAAGAAUGAGAGGAAAAAGGAAAAUAAGAAGAGGAAGAAAGGAGAAGAAGAGGAGAGGAAGAAGAGGAGAAAUAAAUAAGAAGAGGAAAAAAGAAGAGGGGAAGAAGAAAGGAAUAGAGGAGAAGAAGAAAAAUAGAAAUUUUCUAUUUUUCUUCUUCUCCUCUAUUCCUUUCUUCUUCUCCUCUUUAUUUUCUUCUUUUUUUUCUUCUUCCUUCUUCCUCUUUUCUUCCUUUUCCUUAUUUUCCUUUCUCGAGGGAGAAGAAGAAAAAGAAGAGUAAAAGAAGAAGAAAGGAAUAGAGGAGAAAGAAGAAACUUCAACACAAGGGGGGGUUACCGAUACCCCCUCCCCGAUAACAUUAUUUUCCCAUGUAUAUGUAUGUCGCGUCAUUGUCGAUAUAACCCCCUCGAGAUAACUUCGACAUGAGGGGCGGUCGAUAUAUAUACCCCCUCUCGACCGUGAUAACUUAUACAACGGCAGCACCCCCCUCGGCCCUCUCGCUCGACCAAAACUCUUGAGGACACCCAAACCCUAGAGAGAAAACGAUGUUGGUCUCCUACCCCCUCCCGCCGCGCCCCUACCCGACAUAUUAACUCUCUCGAGGCCACCCAAAUUUACCAAGUUAAAAGAGCGUUGUCGUCGAGGCCACCCCAAACCCUUGAAGCGUUGUGUCGAGGAGACCCCAAACCCUAGAGAAGCAGCGUCGAGGCCACUAACAUGGAUCGAUCCAUCUGUAAUAAUAAUUGACAUGGUGUAAAUAUUUGCAGAAACUAUGGAGCACUCCCGAGACGAAGAAACAGAAGCGAUGUUGGGGGACAUUAUCGCACAAGGAAGUGAUGAAGUUGCGUCAUUUCUCAACGACACCGAUGGUCAGGAACGACUGGGUGAAGAAGAGGGCUAUGUUCAUGAUGGCUUCGACCCAUUAAUGCCGGUACAAGAAGAGGACUAUGUUCAUGAUGGCUCUGGUGACACAAUGGAGGUACAAGAAGGAGACCGUGCUGACUGCUCCGGUGACCGAACCGAGUCCGGCCAGGUAUAUAUAUAUAUAUUAGUUAAGCCCGUGCUGACUAGUUAAUUGAUGCAUCCAUUGUUUUGGUAUAUGUACACAUAUUAAUUACUCUCGUCUUUCUUCCUUAUAAUUUCUAGCCCUCCGGAUCGAGCACAACUUCGGUAAGAAGACGAAGCCCGAAGAAAAAGUUGAGCUCGGAUGAAAAGUUUGAGAUCAUAGAAAUCGCGCCCGACGGCGAACCGAUUGAACCCAUCCGGACAAGGAAGGCAUUUUCUGCUCAGUGCGGGGUUCUUGUUAGGGACAAGAUCCCGAUCAGCAUCCAUCAAUGGUAUAAGCCUAAGGAGGAAGACCCCGAGGUGUCUUAUGUCAAUGAUAUGCAGAAAGAAGAUCUUUGGACUGAGCUAAAGGCAAAUUUCACCCUACCGCUAGAGGAGGAUCCGGAGAAGCCAGUUAUAGAGCAAUUAAUCAAUUCUUGUGCUCUUAAGAAGAUGGCAACCCUAAUGAGGAGGUGGAGGAAAGAGGUGAACCAGUUUGUCGAGAAAGAUAAGACACCAGAAUUCAUCGGCAAAUAUGAGAAGAUCAAAGAUCACUGGCCCGCAUUUGUGGCCCACAAGACAUCGGAAAAGAGUAAGAAGAUGUCGGCAACAAACAAGAAAAAUUCUGCAAAGAAGAAGCUUCACCAUCGCACGGGGUCAGGUGGCUACCUCAAAGCCCGGCCUAAGUGGUCCAAGGCUGAGCAUGAUCUGCUUGAAAAAGGGAUCGAACCAGAGACAAUGUACUGGCCAGACCGUUGUCGGACUUGGUUCUUCGGGGCUGGCGGAACCUUGGACCCUGUAACAGGGAAGUGCCAGUGGACGGAUGAGCAACUACAAAUACCAGUCAAGAAACUUCGACACUAUAUCGAUGCAGCGUAGCGAGGGACGCUCCUUCCAAACAGGGAGAAGGACGAGCUCACAAUGGCCCUUGGGAAUCCUGAGCACCCUGGAUGGACACGAGGCACGCCAGGCUCCAUUCCAUGGAAGGUUGGUCUUCCGCACACAGGGGGUUACAAAACCCACGAGAGGAGGAAGAAACUGGAGCAGGACCAAAUGCAGGCGCUGCACGAAAGGGUAAUGGGGCUAGAGGAACGAGAAGCAGCAGAUCGCAGCAAACGACAUGCCGAAGCUUCCCCCGAAGCUACCUCGCCAUCUCAGCGGAGAAGCAGCGUGGCUUCCACCGAGCUGCUUCAGCCGGAGCAUGUCUUGACGUCUCCUGCCAGCUAUCCCGUGGAUGGUAUCACGGAGUCUCAAAGUUGCCACAUUAUGACGCAAUGUAUGAAUUUGAAGGUCAAGGCGGCUGUUGGCCAAGUUUAUCCUAGUGGACCCGGCACAACUUAUCACUGCCAGCCGAUUCCAGAAGGAUUUGCUAAGGUGAUGGUGGAUGAAAUAACGGAGGGAUUUGAGGACCUCCUGCUUGAGCACCCUACCGGUGAAGGGGAGACUAGGCUGGGUUCUGCUCUGAAGACUCCAUGCCUAUGGCGGAAGGAGCUCAUCAACCUUCCGAACUGGACGCCUCCGCCUCCUCCUCCUCCUCCGGCGAGUCAGGGCACUCCGCCUCCUCCACCGCCUCCUCCUCCGGCGAGUGAUGAUCAGGGCACACGUGGCAGCACUCCGCCUCCUUCUCCGCCUGCGCCGGCGCGCCCGAGCAGCCAGCCUCCUCCUUCUCCGCCUCGUCAGCAAGGGCGAAAGAGACCCGCCGCUGCUCCGGCUGCUCCGGCGCGUCGUAAUCCUUCUCCUCCGCCUCACAAAAAGCAAGCAAAGAAGACAUCCACUCCGUCUGCUCUGUCGGUGUCUAGCAGUACAGCCAAAGGCGGGAAGAAAUACAGAUUUGGUCCUUCUCCGAAGACUCCAGAGAAGUUACCGUACGAGAGGACCGAGGAGGAAAACGCGGAGAUCACGCAGAACGAACUGGAUGGCUGGUUUGCAGGGUUGAAAGCAAAGAGACAUCCACCUCCGGAGGAGAAGGUAGAUCCGGUGAAAGUGAAGCGCACUCUGGCUGCCCUGAGGAAACCGGCAAAGUCUCCGCCGAGAACCAACUAUGAGCGCAUUACUGAACAGACAUAUCUCCAAGCGGAGCAGUCGGGAAGUACUGUCAGACAUCAAAGAGCAAAAGAACGAGCAGCUGCGAAAAAAGUUGACCAGCUCGGCGAACAACCAAACCAAUCGUGCCCCCCGCUCAAUGUGUCUAGCGGCAACAUCGUCGCUAAUGUUCCGGGGAUCAUGGACGGUUAUGGCAAUCCACAAUAUUACCUGCCUGACGAUGCACUUCCUGAAUUCAUGAUGGUGGAAGAACGCAGAUACGAGUACGGGAAGCCUCUCAUCAAAGAUGUAAAAUCUCUAACAACGAUGAUGCGAAGAUUCCAUACUUGGUACAUGAAAACCUGCAGAGAGUCUGGGGGGACGAAUAGUUUGUAUCUACACAUUAAAGAGGAGCACGACCUCGUUGGAACUGAUCUGUUGUGUGUUCCAUUUGAGGAGUUCUUCGCGUUCUUCAAUCAAAUAGCCCUCGAUAAAUUAACGGUCUUUUGCUACUGCCUGUAAGUACUAUUUCUGUCAUUAAGUCUCUAUAUAUAGCUUGGCUUUCAUUACAUGUAUUUAUAAUUAAUUAUCCUCAAUAUAUUAUGCAGAUUGAAGAUCGUCGAGUGCAAAAAAAUGAAAUCUAUGAUAUUGGGUUCAUUAACACAAAUAUCAUAGAUGUAUUUCUGGUUGAAAAGCACAUCGAAGAGGCCGAGGACAACUUGCUACGAUCAUUGAUCAAAAAUCAAAACAAAGAUACCAUACUCUUUCCUUACAACACCAAGUGAGUGUUACUGAUCAUUUGCAUAUUCGGUUUCCCUUAUUACUCGAGCGAGGUUAUAGUAAUGUAAUUGAUGAGUUAUGCAUGUGUGCGCAGGUACCACUAUAUUCUUCUGGAGAUUAAGCUUGAGCGUGGACUAGUAACCGUCUUAGACUCGAGACGGAAAGAUCCCAGCACCUAUGCGGACAUGACUGAAAUGCUCAGCAAGUAAGUUCAAUCGAUCAUUAUCGCACCAUAGCGGCAACUUUUUGUUCAUUUCCUGAUAUCUCAAGUAAUAAUAAUUAUUUUCUUUGUCUUGCAGGGUUUGGAAACAGUUCACCACAGUAGCUCGGGGACUGCCGAAGGAGCUGCGAUAUAUAUACCCGAAAGUAAGUACUACUGGCUAGCUAGUUGUGUGCAUCUCCUGUUGAUUCUAUAGCUAUACUUUCAUCACAUUUAUAAUGCUUCAUUAUCAGUUUGAUAGACCUCUAUUUCUCGUAAAGUGCUUGUGGUAGGAACAAGGGAAUGAUUUCUAUAGAUACUACGUGUGCGAGUUCAUCUACAACGCGACUUUGAAAAAUAAGCGGGGCUACUCUCAAAGACAAUAUGAAGUGCGUAAGCAAUUAAUAAUAUUCACAAUUUCUGUUGAGUUUCAUUCAUAUAUAUAUAUAUAUAUAUAUAUAUAUAUAUAUAUGUAUUAAUUAACCCCCUUCUUCAAAUUAGACGUGGCAGAUGCGGAAUGAACUCCUAGAACCAGAUCGCAUGAAAGGAAUUCAAGAGGAAUUGGCGGGAUUCUUUCUUGACCACGUCAUCAAUAAAGCCGGAGAAUACCAUGUGGAACUUGAUUUCAAAUGCUAGGGGACUGUAAUUGAGAGAUCUUAUAUAUUGUACAUGUUGUAUGUAGCCAGUAGCGUCGGACAUACAUGAUACAAAAACUUGUUGUUUGACCAAUCUCUCGGAGAAGGAGACGUCGAUCGAUCACUUCUCUCGGUAUGCAUGACGAACUUCUGUACUUAAUGGUUUCCUUCAUUUUCUUACUAGCUAGCGUGUCGAGAGCCUCUCUAUGUAUAGUACGUAGCGUCGACCAAGCACGGACAUAAGAGAGGACACUUCUCUCUAUUAAUUAGCUAGCUAACACAAUAUAUGAAACACCUAAAUUAACCCCCAAAACCNNNNNNNNNNNNNNNNNNNNNNNNNNNNNNNNNNNNNNNNNNNNNNNNNNNNNNNNNNNNNNNNNNNNNNNNNNNNNNNNNNNNNNNNNNNNNNNNNNNNNNNNNNNNNNNNNNNNNNNNNNNNNNNNNNNNNNNNNNNNNNNNNNNNNNNNNNNNNNNNNNNNNNNNNNNNNNNNNNNNNNNNNNNNNNNNNNNNNNNNNNNNNNNNNNNNNNNNNNNNNNNNNNNNNNNNNNNNNNNNNNNNNNNNNNNNNNNNNNNNNNNNNNNNNNNNNNNNNNNNNNNNNNNNNNNNNNNNNNNNNNNNNNNNNNNNNNNNNNNNNNNNNNNNNNNNNNNNNNNNNNNNNNNNNNNNNNNNNNNNNNNNNNNNNNNNNNNNNNNNNNNNNNNNNNNNNNNNNNNNNNNNCCCCCUGCCUGGGCUCGGCGCGUGGAUGCCUUUUGGUCCCGGUUGGUGCCACCAACCGGGACCAAAGGCCCCCCUGCCUGGGCUCGGCGCACAGGCCACGUGGAGGACCAUCUAUCCCGGUUCGUGUUACAACCGGGACUAAAGGGGGGAGGUAUUAGUAACGACCCAUUAGUCCCGGUUCAUGAACCGGGAGUAAAGGCCCUCACGAACCGGGACUAAUAGGUGUUUGUCUACUAGUGAUAAGCCUAUGACUUAUGAAGUUGGUGAGAAGGCUUACCUUCGGGUUACACCUUUAAAGGGAACCCAUCGAUUCGGUAUCAAGGGCAAGUUGGCCCCUUGUUACAUUGGACCCUUUUGCAUUCUUGCCAAACGAGGGGAAGUUGCCUACCAGUUGGAACUACCUCCACAUCUUUCUAGAGUUCAUGAUGUCUUCCACGUCUCUCAACUCAGGCAUUGCUUCUCGAAUCAUAUCCGCGAAGUAGACCAUGAAACGCGUGAUCUCCAAGAAAAUCUCACUUAUCGAGAAUAUCCAAUUCGCAUCCUUGAUCAAGCCGAGCGUACCACUCGACGCCAGAAUAUCAAGUUUCUCAAGGUUCAAUGGUCACACCACUCCGAUCAAGAAGCAACUUGGGAAAGGGAGGAUCAUCUACGACUUGAGUAUCCCACCUUCUUCCCGAUAGACCCUAAAUCUCGGGAUGAGAUUCUUUUGAGUGGGGGUGAGUUGUCACAACCUAGCUAGUCCAUGCAUUAGAGUGUUGCAUCAUGUCUACCUUUUAUCAGAAACUUGAAUUGGGGAAGACAGAACCCCCCCAGAACCCCUCUAAAUUCAACUAGUGCUUACUAAAAAUAUUUUCAAUGAACCUGAAAUGCCCUUCUAAAAAGUUCACCCUCUUUGUCUUGGGUUAGAACCUCUGGCAAAAUUGGUGCACAAUUUUCUAGGUCAACAGAAGGCCAUUGAAUUAAAUCAUAUCUACUUUGAGUUUGGGCAUUUAAACUAUAUAAAAUAUUUCAAAUGCUCAAAUAACUCCAAACUAAAAUGUUCCAUACUGGAUAUAUUCCAACUAGCGACCAUGUGCAGUUUGGUGAUUUUUGGAGUUGCCUAAGUAUUUUUAGAAAUGCAACAAACUUACAGAAACAAUUAAAAACAGAAACAAAUGGGGAAAAAACCCUUACCUGGCCGAACCAAGCCCCAGCCCAGCUGGCCGGCCCAGCACUGUGCUGGCCCAUGCCAGCCAGCUGCUUUGCCAUCGCCACGCAGGCACAGAGCUGACGCCAGCGAGUGUGAGCUCGCCACGGCGCCAACUGCUUGCCGCCCGCGCCACCGAGCACCUGGGUGAGCUCCACGUCGCCACCCCGACCCCGUGGACACCUCAUUCGCCCCCCUGCCUCUUCCCUCGCUCUCCCGCACCAUGGCCGACGCACCCGUCGCCGCACCGCCGACGUAGUCGCGCCCUCCAUCGUCCCCGUGCUGCACCACCGUGUCCCUUCGCUCCGUCGUCAUCAACUACAUCGAGCAGGCCGAGCCCCGAGCGCUCGUGGGCCUUGCUUCGUCUUCUUUGACCUCAUCUUCACCGAGCACCACCGCAGAUCCCCUUCGCCGUCGCCGCUGCACCAGCUCGUCCCCGACCUCGCCGACCACUCCGUUGUGACCGCCGUGAGCUCAGCCACCUCCCCAUCCUCCCCGUUUGCCUUCUCGUGCACCGUAGCAGCCGCAUGGAGCUUCAUCGCACGCACCACCGCCGAGCUCGUCGCCGACGUGCCUCCGGCCAUCCACCGUCCACACCACGGUAUCUAACAUGCUCAUUGCAUCGCGUAGAGUCUAACGCCCCACUCCACGCGCCUCGCCGUGCCCCGUAGCCACGGGUCAAUUUUCACCCGACUCCGGCGACCGUCGCGGUCGUCGCUGCCGACGUUCCUGGCCACCUCGACCUCAACCACCACCACCAAACGCCGCGGCUUGUUCCUGGCUACACGUAGAUGGUCUUCGCCGUCCAUUUGGUCGCCGGAACGUGCUAACCCACUUCCUCUGCCGCAUCUGGCCUCGCCAGCGGCUAGACGCCGGCGUGUUUGACCCGUUGACGUUGACUGGGUGGGCCAGGUUGACUCCCCUGAGUCUAUGACAAGUGGGCCCCCCCCUCUGCUAAUUAACCUAGUUUAGUUCUUACUAAAAUCAGUUAGUUUAAAUAAGUGCUGACAUGCGGGACCCACUGGUCAGUUUGACCUGAACGACCCCUUUGACCAUUGACGUCACCCUGAUGCACUGCUGACGCAAUAACCAAUUUCUGGAUUUAUUGUUAUAUAGGAAAUUCCAGAAAUUGUUGCAAACUUCAAAAAUUCAUAGAAAUUAAUCUGUAACUCCAAAUGCAAAGAUUUAUAUAUGAAUUUCGAUCAAAAAAAUUCAAUAUAUCCAUUGGUAAUGGUUUCAUGCAUGUCAGAACAAGUUAACCUUGUUGUUUAAUCAAAACAAGUUAAUGCACUAAUAUGACUAUGUUAAAUGAACUACCAUUUGCAUCUUUGAUUCAAAUGAGUUCAUACCUUUCUGUUCUAGCUUGCAUUAGGCCAGGACACAUUCAUGUUGCCAUGUCAUAGCAUGCAUCAUAUUGUUGCAUAUCGUCAUGUGUGGUUCAUGUUCGGUGUGUUUUCGUGAUAGGUUCUGCCUCCGAGGAUAACCCCGAAUAUCCGUCUGAAGGGCAGUAUCCUACUACCACUACAUCAGGCAAGCAACCCAUUGAUCAUUCUGAUACAAACCCAUGUUCUCGCCUCUGCUCUUGUUUACUGCAUUAAGAUAACGCGAUUCAAACUGUUGUGUGUUGUGGUAGUUGAACCCACUUCCUUUGCAUGACCUGUCAUUGCCACGGUAACUAGAUGAAACCCACUAGCAUGUGUAGGAGUUGAUUGAGCCAUAUCUGUGUUACCUACCAUGCUAUGCUUGCUAUGCUUAGAGUUGUGUCAGGUCUGGCUCAUCAGGAUGAUGAACUAGAGUGAAAGGUUGUGUCGGUAACGAGAGUGAAGUGUUGAACACGAUUUGGUAAAGGUAUCGAUGAGAGGCCAUGUAGGAGUACAUGGUGGGUUGUUUCAUUGAGGCCGUCCUUAAGCACUGAGAUCUGUGUGUGUGAUUUAAGAUUCAGCUACUACCACGCAUUGGGCCCAAAACCAAUGGACCCUCUCGACUUAUUAACCACUCUUGUCCUCAGUCCGGGAGUUGCAAGUAGUUUCUGGUGUUUGUAGCAUGCUGGGGGCCGCACGCAGCGCUGACCUUAGGGGUGGGUUGUGUUGCGGUAGGCACGUGGCACGGUGUAUCGAUUCGCCCGUUUGGUGUCUCGGGAACCCUGUUCACAUCGUUCGGGGCCGUUAGUGGAAACCUCGGCCGGACUCCCUGCGGAUGGAACCCAAAUAGGCGAUAAACCUGGACUAGGGACUCGUGUGUUUAGUCAGGCCAUGGCCGACACCCUUGCUGGGCUUCCGCUUGAAGGUUGCCGAGUACACGUCAUGUAGUGGCGAUAAGUGGUGAGAGCGUGUGUGAAGAAGUACACCCCUGCAGGGUACAAAACUAUUCGAAUAGCCGCGUCCACGGUAAAGGACUACUUGGUCACCUAUACAGUUCAUAGACAAGUAAAUGGAUACUUCUAAAAGCCUCAAGAUAAGUGUGAGUGCCGCGGAUGGCCCUGUCGUAGGUUGACGAGAGAGGAUCCACGGUGGAGUAUUGUGUUGGUGAGUAGUGGACUCGUGUGCGACAAAUGUUUUGCAAGUUGUGUCUAUCGUUGGAUAGCUUAGCCAAGAGUCAAAGCUGGCUUGCUGCAAUAACUCCACUACCUUCUUGAGAAUGUGCAUGUAUGAUAGGAUUCUGUUGUAAGACUUGCUGAGUACCUCUGUACUCAUGUUUGCUUAAUUAAUGUUUUCAGACGACAACACCAACCCCUCCGAUGGGUUCUACGUAGACCUCGACGUUGACGAGUGACUAGCCACCCAAGUGGUGAUCCAAGACUUGUGAAGGGCCGAUGUAGAUAGAAAGGCUUCAUCAAGCCCUCUUUCUUUCUAGUGUCUGUACUCAGACUAGUUGCUUCCGCAUGUGCUUGUAUGCUUGUAUGACUUGAGUGUCAGGUCAUGUGACCCCUAUCUGUAUGAACAUGUUAUGUAUGGCUCCUCGGAGCCACUUAAAUAAAGUACUUUGAGUUGUAGAGUUUUGUUGUGAUGCCAUGUUGUAUGUACUCAUAUCGGGCAUAUUGUGUGUAUGUUUGAAAUGCUUGGUAUGAGUGGGAUCCGACAAUCUAGUUGUUUAUCCUUGGCAGCCUCUCAUAUGGGGAAAUGUAGUCUAGUGCUUCUUGAGCGAUAGUAGUCCGCUACAGCCCGGUUCACCGGAGUCCUGCUAGCCCAGUACUACUGCUCUGGACACUUGACUGGCCGGCAUGUGUUUCACUUUGUUCCUGUGUCUGUCCCUUCGGGGAAAUGUCAAGCGGUGGCAUCCGGAGUCCUGCCUAGCCUGCUACAGCCCGGGUUACCGGAGUCCUGUUAGCCCAGCGUUACAUCCCGGAUGUAUACGUUGAUGACCAACAUGCUCGAUGUGAUUCAUGUAUGCAUGUCCCCAUAGGUUAGCGCCGCUUGGGUUCACGACUAGCCAUGUCGGCCCGGGUUCUCAGUCAUGUGGAUGCUAGCGACACUAUCAUAUACGUGAGCCAAAAGGCGCAAACGGUCUCGGGCCAUGGUAAGGCGCCACCCGUGGGAUUACCGUGCGUGAGGCCGCAAAGUGAUAUGAGGUGUUACCGGCUGGAUCAAUGUGACUUGGAAUCGGGGUCCUGACAAUUACUUGCUCCUAUCAUAUGUUUGGUUGCAACAAUGUCACUUCUUCACAUAUGCCAUGUCCCAUUGCUUGUCUCAUGCUUGACUUCAUUGCCUCACACAUGAUGAACAAUUGCUCUUUAUAUUGUGUUGAGUGUUACACUAUAUUCACUACAUCCUAUGCACGUUAUGUUUGGAUUGUCUUGCACUUGACCCAUGUGUUUAGACACUUCAUUUUAUUUGGUGUUGUGAAUCCUUCCUAUGCCUACCAUAGACCUUUCAUUGAGCAAUUUGUGAAUGCUUGCUAUGACCUCGAGGUAGAUGCUUAUGCUCUUGUCACACAUAUUUGCAUCUCUACCUCACAUUUACAUGCUUGUUCCCAUGAUAUUUUUGCUUGUGCUCGAUUGAUAUGCUUACAUGCCAUGUCACAAUCCUUUGUCACACCCUAUGCUAUGCUUGAUGACAACACUUGUUUGGUGAAUCACCUCUUGAAUGCUUGGUUUUGCACGAACGCAAACCACAUUUGUUUUUCCACGGGUUUGUUCUAUUUGCUCCUUUUGAAGGAAUCACAAGAUGGUGCGACACUGGAGAGUGCCCACUUCGAGCUACUAGACGAUGAGUGCUUGGUGAUCGACCACUUCGAUAUGGCACCGCCAUCUCUUUCCUAUGGUGAUUUGGUUUUCGAUCCGAGGUCGAAUCCUUCUCAAGGGGGAGGGGAUGAUGCGGAGCAUCCUAUGGACAUCACCAUGUCAAGAGUCCAUUCGGCAAGUGACACGUGCGACAUCUACUUCUCAUACAUAAAGGUGAAUCUUCUCCUUUACACGUGUUCACUUGACCCCUUCGAGGAUGGUAUACUACUUGACACUUCUCCCGUGUGCAUGCAUAGGUAUUGUCAGAGCUUUACGGAUGUCGAGGAGUGCAAGCGCCAAGGAACGACUACACCGUCCGCGAGGGAAGCAUGGAAGAGAAGGAGGAAGAGAACCUGGUGUUGGGGAACGUAGUAAUUUCAAAAUUUUCCUACGCACAUGCAAGAUCAUGGUGAUGAUAUAGCAACGAGGGGAGAGUGUUGUCUACGUACCCUCGUAGACCGAAGCGGAAGCGUUGACGCAGCGUAGAGGAAGUAGUCCUACGUCCUCCCGGUCCGACCGAUCCAAGCACCGUUACUCCGGCACCUCUGAGUUCUUGACACACGUACAGCUCGAUGACGCACCCUCGAUCUCCAAUCCAGUAGAGGCUCCAAGGGGGAGUUCCGUCAGCACGACGGCGUGGUGACUAUCUUGAUGUUCUCCUGUCGCAGGGCUUCGCCUAAGCACCGCUACAAUAUGACCGAGGUGUAAUAUCGUGGAGGGGGGCACCGCACACGGCUAAGGAACGAUCAAUGAUCAACUUGUGUGUUCUAGGGUGCCCCCUACCCCCGUAUAUAAAGGAGGGAGGGAGGAGGUGGCCGACCCAAGGAGGGGGCGCGCCAUGGGAGGAGGAAACCUACUCCAAGUAGGUUUCCCCUCUUUUUCCUUAUCUUAUUUGGAGGGGGAAGGAAGGAGUACUAGUAGUAGGAAGGAGUACUAGUAGUAGGAAAGGAAGAGGGGGAAGGAGAAAGGAAAGGGGGGGCCGGCCCCCCUCCCCAAUUCGGAUUGGGCUUGGGGGGGCGCGCCCCCCUCCCUUGCUCCUUCUCCCUUCCUCCUACAUGGGCCCAAUAAGGCCCAUAUACCUCCCGGGGGGGUUUCGGUAACCUCCCGGAGCUCCAAACUCUUCCGGAACCUUUCCGGUGUCCAAAUAUAUCCGUCCAAUAUAUCGAUCUUUAUGUAUCGACCAUUUCGAGACUCCUCGUCAUGUCCGUGAUCAUAUCCGGGACUCCGAACAAACUUCGGUACAUCAAAAUACAUAAACUCAUAAUAUAACUGUCAUCGAAACCUUAAGCGUGCGGACCCUACGGUUCGAGAACGAUGUAGACAUGACCGAGACAUGUCUCUGGUCAAUAACCAAUAGCGGGACCUGGAUGCCCAUAUUGGUUCCUACAUAUUCUACGAAGAUCUUUAUCGGUCAAACCGCAUAACAGCAUACGUUGUUCCCUUUGUCAUUGGUAUGUUACUUGUCCGAGAUUUGAUCGUCGGUAUCCAAUACCUAGUUCAAUCUCGUUACCGACAAGUCUCUUUACUCGUUCUGUAAUACUUCAUCUCAUAACUAACUCAUUAGUUAUAUGCUUGCAAGGCUUAUGUGAUGAGCAUUACCGAGAGGGCCCAGAGAUACCUCUCCGACAAUCGGAGUGACAAAACCUAAUCUCGAAUUAUGCUAACUCAACAUGUACCUUCGGAGACACCUGUAGUACUCCUUUAUAAUCACCCAGUUACGUUGUGACGUUUGGUAGUACCCAAAGUGUUCCUCCGAUAAACGGGAGUUACACAAUUCUCAUAGUUACAGGAACAUGUAUAAGUCAUGAAGGAAGCAAUAGCAGAAUACUAAACGAUCAAGUGCUAAGCUAACGGGAUGGGUCAUGUCAAUCACAUCAUUCUCCUAAUGAUGUGAUCCCAUUAAUCAAAUGACAACACAUGUCUAUGGUUAGGAAACAUAACCAUCUUUGACUAAUGAGCUAGUCAAGUAGAGGCAUACUAGUGACUAUAUGUUUGUCUAUGUAUUCACACAUGUAUCAUGUUUCCGGUUAAUACAAUUCUAGCAUGAAUAAUAAACAUUUAUCAUGAUAUGAGGAAAUAAAUAAUAACUUUAUUAUUGCCUCUAGGGCAUAUUUCCUUCAGUCUCCCACUUGCACUAGAGUCAAUAAUCUAGUUCACAUCGCCAUGUGAUUUAACACCAAUAUUCAUAUCUGUAUAUGAUUAACACCCAUAGUUCACAUCAUCAUGUGACCAACAUCCAAAGUGUUUACUAGAGUCAAUAAUCUAGUUCACAUCGCUAUGUGAUUAACACCCAAAGAGUACUAAGGUGUGAUCAUGUUUUGCUCGUGAGAGAAGCUCAGUCAACGGGUCUGUCACAUUCAGAGCCAUAUGUAUUUUGCAAAUAUUCUAUGUCUACAAUGCUCUGCACGGAGCUACUCUAGCUAAUCGCUCCCACUUUCAAUAUGUAUCCAGAUUGAGACUUAGAGUCAUCUGGAUCGGUGUGAAAACUUGCACCGAGAUAACUUUUACGACGGGCUCUUUUAUCACCUCCAUAAUCGAGAAAUAUUUCCUUAGUCCUCACUAAGGAUAUUCUUGACCAAUGUCCAGUGAUCUACUCCUAGAUCACUAUUGUACUCCCUUGUCAAAUACAGAGCAAGGUAUACAAUAGGUCUGGUACAUAGCAUGGCAUACUUUAUAGAACCUAUGACUGAGGCAUAGGGAAUGACUUUUCAUUCUCUUUCUAUUUUCUGCUGUGGUCGGGAUUUGAGUCUUACUCAAUUUCAUACCUUUGCAACACAGGCAAGAACUCUUUCUUUGACUGUUCCAUUUUGAACUACUUCAAAAUCUUGUCAAGGUAUGUACUCAUUGAAAAUCUUAUCAAGCGUCUUGAUCUAUCUCAAUAGAUCUUGAUGCUCAAUAUGUAUGUAGUUUUACUGAGGUCUUUCUUUGAAAAAACUCUUAUUCAAGUAUCCUUUAAUGCUUUGCAGAAUAAUUCUACAUUAUUUCCGAUCAGCAAUAUGUCAUUCACAUAUACUUAUCAGAAAUGCUGUAGUGCUCCCACUCACUUUCUUGUAAAUACAGGCUUCACCGCAAGUCUGUAUAAUACUAUAUGCUUUGAUCAACUUAUCAAAGCGUAUAUUCCAACUCUGAGAUGCUUGCACCAGUCCAUAGAUGGAUUGCUGGAGCUUGCACAUUUUGUUAGCACCUUUAGGAUUGACAAAACCUUCUGGUUGUAUCAUAUACAACUCUUCUUUAAUAAAUUCAUUAAGGAAUGUAGUUUUGACAUCCAUUUGCCAAAUUUCAUAAAAUGUGGCAAUUGCUAACAUGAUUCGGACAAACUUUUAAGCAUCGAUACGAGUAAGAAAAUCUCAUCGUAUUCAACACCUUGAACUUUGUCAAAAACCUUUUUUCGACAAGUCUAGCUUUGUAGAUAGUAACACUACUAUCAACGUCCGUCUUCCUCUUGAAGAUCCAUUUAUUCUUAAUGACUCACUGAUCAUCGGGCAAGUCAAUCAAAGUCUACACUUUGUUCUCAUACAUGGAUCAUAUCUCAGAUUUCAUGGCCCCAAGCCAUUUCGUGGAAUCUGGGCUCAUCAUCGCUUCCUCAUAGUUCGUAGGUUCAUCAUGGUCUAGUAACAUGACUUCCAGAACAUGAUUACCGUACCACUCUGGUGCGGAUCUUACUCUGGAAGACCUACGAGGUUUGGUAGCAACUUGAUCUGAAGUUUGAUGAUCAUCAUCAUUAACUUCCUCACUAAUUGGUGUAGGAAUCACUGGAACUGAUUUCUGUGAUGAACUACUUUCCAAUAAGGGAGAAGGUACAAUUACCUCAUCAAGUUUUACUCUCCUCCCACUCACUUCUUUCGAGAGAAACUCCUUCUCUGGAAAGGAUCCAUUUUAGCAACGAAUGUCUUGCCUUCGGAUCUGUGAUAGAAGGUGUACCCAACAAUUUCCUUUGGGUAUUCUAUGAAGACGCACUUCUCCGAUUUGGGUUCGAGCUUAUCAGGAUGAAACUUUUUCACAUAAGCAUCGCAGCCCCAAACUUUAAGAAACAACAGCUUAGGUUUACUGCUAAACCAUAGUUCAUACGGUGUCGUCUCAACGGAUUUAAAUGGUGCCCUAUUUUAAAACGUGAAUGCAGCUGUCUCUAAUGCAUAACCCCAAAACGAUAGUGGUAAAGAGACAUCAUAGAUCGCACCAUAUCAAAUAAAGUGCGGUUACGACGUUCGGACACACCAUAACGAUGUGGUGUUCCAGGUGGUGUGAGCUGUGAAACUAUUCCACAUUGUUUUAAUUGAAGACCAAACUCGUAACUCAAAUAUUUGUCUCCGCUAUCAGAUCGCAGAAACUUUAUUUUCUUGUUACGAUGAUUUUUCCACUUCACUCUGAAAUUCUUUGAACCUUUCAACUAUUUCAGACUUAUGUUUCAUCAAGUAGAUAUACCCAUAUCUGCUCAAAUCAUCUUGUGAAGGUCAGAAAAUAACGAUACUUGCCACGAGCCUCAACACUCAUUGGAUCGCAUACAUCGGUAUGUAUUAUUUCCAAUAAGUCAGUAGCUUGUUCCAUUAUUCCGGAGAACGGAGUUUUAGUCAUCUUGCCCAAAAGGCACGGUCCGCAAGCAUCAAAUGAUUCAUAACCAAGUGAUUCCGAAAAUCCAUCUUUAUGGAGUUUCUUCAUGCGCUUUACACCGAUAUGACCCAAACGGCAGUGCCACAAAUAAGUUGCACUAUCAUUAUUAACUUUGCAUCUUUUGGCUUCAAUAUUAUGAAUGUGUGUAUCACACGAUCGAGAUCCAACAAACCAUUUUCAUUGGGUGUAUAACCAUAGAAAGUUUUAUUCAUGAAAACAGAACAACAAUUAUUCUCUAACUUACAUGAAUAACCGUAUUGCAAUAAACAUGAUCAAAUCAUAUUCAUUCUCAACGCAAACACCAAAUAACACUUAUUUAGGUUUAACACUAAUCCCGGAAGUAUAGGGAGUGUGCGAUGAUGAUCAUAUCAAUCUUGGAACUAUUUCCAACACACAUCGUCACUACACUCUUAACUAGUCUCUGUUUAUUCUGCAACUCCCGUUUCGAGUUACUAAUCUUAGCAACCGAACAAGUAUCAAAUACUUAGGGGCUACUAUAAACACUAGUAUGGAACACAUCAAUAAUCUGUAUAUCAAAUAUACCCUUGUUCACUUUGCCAUCCUUCUUAUCAACCAAAUAUUCAGGGCAUUUCCGCUUCCAGUGACCAUUUCCUUUGCAGUGUAAACACUCAGUUUCAGGCUAUGGUCCAGCUUUGGGCUUGUCUUUCCACUUGAAGUUCCCUUUCUUUCCCUUUGCCCUUCUCUUGAAACUAGUGGUCUUGUCAAUCAUCAACACUUGAUGCUCUUUCUUGAUUUCUACCUUCGUCGAUUUCAACAUCACGAAGAGCUCGGGAAUCAUUUUUUCGUCAUCCCUUGCAUACUAUAGUUCAUCACGAAGUUCUAGUAACUUAGUGAUGGUGACUAGAGAAUUCUGUCAAUCACUAUCUUAUCUGGAAGAUUAACUCCCACUUGAUUCAAGCGAUUGAAGUACCCAGACAAUCUGAGCACAUGCUCACUAGUUGAGCGAUUCUCCUCCAUCUUUUAGCUAUAGAACUUGUUGGAGACUUCAUAUCUCUCAACUCGGGUAUUUGCUUGAAAUAUUAACUUCAAUUCCUGGAACAUCUCAUAUGGUCCAUGAUGUUCAAAACAUCUUUGAAGUCCCGAUUCUAAGCCGUUAAGCAUGGUGCACAAAACUAUCAAGUAGUCAUCAUAUUGAGCUAGCCAAACGUUCAUAACGUCUACAUUUGCUCCUGCAUUAGGUCUUUCACCUAGCGGUGCAUUAAGGACAUAAUUCUUCUGUGCAGCAAUGAGGAUAAACCUCAGAUCACGGAUCCAAUCCGCAUCAUUGCUACUAACAUCUUUCAACACAGUUUUCUCUAGGAACAUAUCAAAAUAAACAUAUGAAAGCAACAACGCGAGCUAUUGAUCUAUAACACAAUUUGCAAAAUACUACCAGGACUAAGUUCAUGAUAAAUUAAAGUUCAAUUAAUCAUAUUACUAAAGAACUCCCACUUAGACAGACAUCUCUCUAGUCAUCUAAGUGAUCACGUGAUCCAAAUCAACUAAACCAUGUCCGAUCAUCACGUGAGAUGGAGUAGUUUCAAUGGUGAACAUCGCUAUGUUGAUCAUAUCUACUAUAUGAUUCACGCUCGACCUUUCGGUCUCCGUGUUCCGAGGCCAUAUCUGUAUAUGCUAGGCUCGUCAAGUAUAACCUGAGUAUUCCGCAUGUGCAACUGUUUUGCACCCGUUGUAUUUGAACGUAGAGCCUAUCACACCCGAUCAUCACGUGGUGUCUCAGCACGAAGAACUUUCGCAACGGUGCAUACUCAGGGAGAACACUUCUUGAUAAUUAGUGAUAGAUCAUCUUAAAAUGCUACCGUCAAUCAAAGCAAGAUAAGAUGCAUAAAGGAUAAACAUCACAUGCAAUCAAUAUAAGUGAUAUGAUAUGGCCAUCAUCAUCUUGUGCUUGUGAUCUCCAUCUCCGAAGCACCGUCGUGAUCACCAUCGUCACCGGCGCGACACCUUGAUCUCCAUCGUAGCAUCGUUGUCGAUUACGCCAUCUAUUGCUUCUACGACUAUCGCUACCGCUUAGUGAUAAAGUAAAGCAAUUACAGGGCGUUUCCAUUUCAUACAAUAAAGUGACAACCAUAUGGCUCCUGCCAGUUGCCGAUAACUUCGGUUACAAAACAUGAUCAUCUCAUACAAUAAAAUAUAGCAUCACGUCUUGGCCAUAUCACAUCACAACAUGCCCUGCAAAAACAAGUUAGACGUCCUCUACUUUGUUGUUGCAAAUUUUACGUGGCUGCUACGGGCUUAGCAAGAACCGUUCUUACCUACGCAUCAAAACCACAACGAUAGUUUGUCAAAUAGACUCCGUUUUAACCUUCACAAGGACCGGGCGUAGCCACACUCGGUUCAACUAAAGUUGGAGAAACAGACACCCGCCAGUCACCUGUGUGCAAAGCAUGGCGGUAAAACCAGUCUCGCGUAAGCGUACGCGUAAUGUCGGUCCGGGCCGCUUCAUCCAACAAUACCGCUGAACCAAAGUAUAACAUGCUGGUAGGCAGUAUGACUUAUAUCGUCCACAACUCACUUGUGGUCUACUCGUGCAUAUAACAUCAACGAAUAAAACCUAGGCUCUGAUGCCACUGUUGGGGAACGUAGUAAUUUCAAAAUUUUCCUACGCACAUGCAAGAUCAUGGUGAUGAUAUAGCAACGAGGGGAGAGUGUUGUCUACGUACCCUCGUAGACCGAAGCGGAAGCGUUGACGCAACGUAGAGGAAGUAGUCGUACGUCCUCCCGGUUCGACCGAUCCAAGCACCGUUACUCCGGCACCUCCGAGUUCUUGACACACGUACAGCUCGAUGACGCACCCUCGAUCUCCAAUCCAGUAGAGGCUCCGAGGGGGAGUUCCGUCAGCACAACAGCGUGGUGACUAUAUUGAUGUUCUCCUGUCGCAGGGCUUCGCCUAAGCACCGCUACAAUAUGACCGAGGUGUAAUAUCGUGGAGGGGGGCACCGCACACGGCUAAGGAACGAUCAAUGAUCAACUUGUGUGUUCUAGGGUGCCCCCCUACCCCCGUAUAUAAAGGAGGGAGGGAGGAGGUGGCCGGCCCAAGGAGGGGGCGCGCCAUGGGAGGAGGAAACCUACUCCAAGUAGGUUUCCCCUCUUUUUCCUUAUCUUAUUUGGAGGGGGAAGGAAGGAGUACUAGUAGUAGGAAGGAGUACUAGUAGUAGGAAAGGAAGAGGGGGAAGGAGAAAGGAAAGGGGGGGCCGGCCCCCUCCCCAAUUCGGAUUGGGCUUGGGGGGGCGCGCCCCCCUCCCUUGCUCCUUCUCCCUUCCUCCUACAUGGGCCCAAUAAGGCCCAUAUACCUCCCGGGGGGUUCCGGUAACCUCCCGAAGCUCCAAACUCUUCCGGAACCUUUCCGGUGUCCAAAUAUAUCCGUCCAAUAUAUCAAUCUUUAUGUCUCGACCAUUUCGAGACUCCUCGUCAUGUCCGUGAUCACAUCCGGGACUCCGAACAAACUUUGGUACAUCAAAAUACAUAAACUCAUAAUAUAACUAUCAUCGAAAACUUAAGCGUGCGGACCCUACGGUUCGAGAACGAUGUAGACAUGACCGAGACAUGUCUCUGGUCAAUAACCAAUAGUGGGACCUGGAUGCCCAUAUUGGUUCCUACAUAUUCUACGAAGAUCUUUAUCGGUCAAACCGCAUAACAGCAUACGUUGUUCCCUUUGUCAUCGGUAUGUUACUUGUCCGAGAUUUGAUCGUCGGUAUCCAAUACCUAGUUCAAUCUCGUUACCGACAAGUCUCUUUACUCAUUCUGUAAUACUUCAUCUCAUAACUAACUCAUUAGUUAUAUGCUUGCAAGGCUUAUGUGAUGAGCAUUACCGAGAGGGCCCAGAGAUACCCCUCCGACAAUCGGAGUGACAAAACCUAAUCUCGAAUUAUGCUAACUCAACAUGUACCUUCGGAGACACCUGUAGUACUCCUUGAUAAUCACCCAGUUACGUUGUGACGUUUGGUAGUACCCAAAGUGUUCCUCCGGUAAACGGGAGUUACACAAUUCUCAUAGUUACAGGAACAUGUAUAAGUCAUGAAGGAAGCAAUAGCAGAAUACUAAACGAUCAAGUGCUAAGCUAACGGGAUGGGUCAUGUCAAUCACAUCAUUCUCCUAAUGAUGUGAUCCCAUUAAUCAAAUGACAACACAUGUCUAUGGUUAGGAAACAUAAUCAUCUUUGACUAAUGAGCUAGUCAAGUAGAGGCAUACUAGUGACUAUAUGUUUGUCUAUGUAUUCACACAUGUAUCAUGUUUCCGGUUAAUACAAUUCUAGCAUGAAUAAUAAACAUUUAUCAUGAUAUGAGGAAAUAAAUAAUAACUUUAUUAUUGCCUCUAGGGCAUAUUUCCUUCACCUGGCCGCUCCAGAACGAGCGGUACUACCGCCCACUCCAAGCGGUACUACCGCUGAGGCCACCCAAGAGGCACUACCGCCCAGCAUCCGCCCUACUACCGCUCAACCCGACAAACUCCAGUGAUCGAGCGGUAUAAGCCCGGUACUACCGCCCCUCCAAGCGGUACUACCGCUCAAGCGGUACUACCACCCAUGAGUCCGGUACUACCGCCCUGCUUGUGAGCAGCCGCGGGCCUUUGGCCUUGUAUCCCUCUCCCACUUACCCCUUCGUGGCUUAGACUAUAAAUAGACCACCUCCACCUCCUUUCUAGGGUUAGAACAGAUUGAGCUUAUUUUGAGAUAGAGCUUUACUCAUCCAUACGGAUCUACUCCUCGUGAGAGACUGCGGCCUCUUCGGAGAAGAUCGAUCUUGGAUUCAAGACCCCUCGUGGGAAGAUCCGUCUAGGAUCAUCAAGACCUCCUCUUGGAGAUGAACCUUACCUUGUAUCUUUCCCUUUGUUGUUCAUGUACCCUUGUGGAUCUUGUGUGUUUGAUUGUCUAGUGGAUGUGUGAUUGGACUUGUUCUUGAGUGUUUCCCCUUGUGAUUUCUCUCCGUUCUUCCCUGUGUUCUUCGUGUUCUUCGUGGGGAUCCACUCCAAACGUGAAAAAUCGGCCUCUAGGGUUCUACCCUACAUCAUCAUCCUUCAAAAAUAUGGAGGGCCAUUAUUGACGGAAGGGAUAUUAUAUGGCGCAAGGUAUAAUCAGACGCAUCGGGGAUGGAGCGACUACACACAUAUGGGAUCACAACUGGAUUAUGAUGGAAAGCUAUAAGAGGCCAAUAACUAAGUUAGUGCAGAACCCCCCUCAGAAACAUUUUAUGUAUACACGUUAACAUUUCCCAGAUAUAUGAUUAAUAUUUUUGGAAAACUUCUAUUUUUUAUGUGUACUUUUUUAUACAUUUUGUAAUAUCAGAAAUAGUUUUUAUAGAAGGUUUAACAUUUUUCAAAUACAUGAUUACCUUUUUGUAAACUUAUAUUGUUUGACGUUUACUUUUUUUCAUAGACAUAGUGAGGGGUUAUAUCUAAGGAAUAGGCCCAAGUACAUGUAUGGCACAACCAAAUGCCCAUGUUAAUCAAGGAUGUUCCACAAGACAAAUGGGGAAACACACCAAGGCCAAUGGAGCUACAAGGCCAAGGCAUCGGAUACAAGGGGAGAGUCAACUAUGUACAGUCGGAUUACACAGCCCUUAACAGACAAGACUCAUCAGUUGGUCCACUAUUGGAAUCAGGUCAUUUGCCGUCAGCCCAGAAUAGACGCGAAGACUUUGCCGUGAGCAAGUUGACGACAAACACAAUCAGCAAAGACUAUAUCGGCAGAGAGCUAAUUUGACGUCAACUUUUCAUCGCGCUGAUGACAAAGACUUUGCCGUCAAUUAAACUAUGUGUUUGUAGUCUGUAGAGAAAACACAAACGGCAAAGAAAUUAAAAAAAUGGUCAUUUUAAAAUAAUUUUUAGAAAUCUAUAUACUGUUUUUUAAAAUGUUUAAUAUGUACCAAGAAUUAUUUCGUAAGUAUACAAAAGAUGUAUAACGUGUAUGAAAAUUACGUAGACAUCAGAACAUAUUAUAGAAAUGUUAAUCUUGUAUUUAAAAAUUUUAAAUACACAUGCAUAAAAAUGUUUUUGAUGUACAUAAAAAAAUUGUACAUAGUGUGUGAACAAAGUAUGCAUUGAAAAAACAAAAAUCUUGUUGGAAAAAAAUCUCGUGUUGUAUACGAAAAUGUAAAAGGUGUAUGAAAAUAAUUAGAUAUAUGUUUAAUGAAAAAAGGAAAGAAGGCGCAAAAAAUCCGAUUAACACCAAGAUAGGAACAAGAAAACCUGAAGAAGACCAUUGAAAAAAAGAAAUGAAUACAAGAAAGAGGAAGAAAAACAAAAAAAAUGAAGAAGCUGAUGCAGAACAGGGAACUUAGUGAAAACGAAUAAAAAUUGAUGAAAACCGAGAAGAAAAACAAGAAAACUGAAGCAAAAAUUAAGAAAAAUAUGUAAAAAAAAUGAUGAAACAUUGCGAAACAGUGAAAUACUAUGAAAACCAAAGGAAAAAAAGACUCAAAAAUAAGAACGUACAGCAAGCGAAUGAACAACAACUGAGUGAACGAGCGAACAUGCGAGAAUACGUUAAUUGUCUGGCCCAUACUUGUGGAUUCCAGAGGCGAGCCAGAAUAGGCGAGAUAUAGCUAUGACGAUUUGAUACCCUUCAUAGCUUCACGAAUGCUAUAUCUCGCUCACAGCGAAAGUAUUUUUUGUCUGGCCUGAAGGUGAAAGAAUAGCAUCAGGUCGCUGUAAGUUUUGUGAUCCUACAAUCAGAGCUCGAUAAGAUUAAAAUUCAUGUUUCUGACAACCAGUCAUUCGCUCACUCAAUUCCACGUACUAGUUUGGUUAGGUUUUUUUUUCAUUUUUUUCUGUUUUUUAUUUCUUCACUGGCUUUCUUUGGUUUUUUUAUCGGUUUUCUUUGUUUCCUUCACGUUUUACUCUUUCUUUUCCUUUUUACUGGUUUAUCUAUUCCUUUUUUCUUUGUUUCUUUCUUGGUUUUCUUUGUUUUUUCUUUCUUUUGAUGUCAACCUUUUUACAUACACAUUCAACAAUUUUCGUAUACAUCAGAAACAUUUUAUGUAUACACGUUAACAAUUCCCAGGUACAUGAUUAAUAUUUUUGGAAAACUUCUAUUUUUUAUGUGUACUUUUUGAUACAUUUUGUAUAUAUCAGAAAUAUUUUUUAUAGAAGGUUUAACAUUUUUUAAAUACAUGAUUACCUUUUUGUAAACUUAUAUUGUUUGACGUUUACUUUUUUUCAUAGACAUAGUGAGGGGUUAUAUCUAAGGAAUAGGCCCAAGUACAUAUAUGGCCCAAGUACAUUUAAUCAAGGAUGUAGUCCACAAGACAAAUGGGGAAACAGACGGGGGCCAAUGGAGCUACAAGGCCAAAGCAUCGGAUACAAGGGGAGAAUCUACAGUCGGAUUACACAACCCUUGACAGACAAGACUCAUUAGUUGGUCCGCUAUAGGAAUCGGGUAAUUUGCCGUCAGCCGAGAACAUACUCAAAGACUUUGCCGUCAGCAAGUUGAUGACAACUUUUCAUCACGUUGAUGACAAAGACUUUGCCGUCAAUUAAACUAUGUGUUUAUCGUCUAUAGAAAAAACACAAACGGCAAAGGAAAGCACCUUUGCCAUCAGCGGCUAAUCUGCAUGUGUCUUCAACAAGACUCGUCUUGUCACUAGCCUCAAACAUCACAGAUGGAAAAGAAAUUUUUUAUUUUAAAAAAUCUGCGUCGACCACCCUACUUCGCACAUGUAGCCACCGCCUGGCCGCGCUCGCUGAUCACCCACAAGUGUAGGGGAUCUAUCGUAGUCCUUUCGAUAAGUAAGAGUGUCGAACCGAACGAGGAGUAGAAGGAAAUGACAAGCGGUUUUUAGUAAGGUAUUCUCUGCAAGCACUGAAAUUAUCGGUAACAGAUAGUUUUGUGAUAAGGUAAUUCGUAACGGGUAACAAGUAACAACAGUAAAUAAAGUGCAGCAAGGUGGCACAAUCCUUUUUGUAGCAAACGACAAGCCUGGACAAAUUCUUAUAUGAAGGAAAACGCUCCCGAGGACACAUGGGAAUUAUCGUCAAGCUAGUUUUCAUCACGCUCAUAUGAUUCACGUUCAUUACUUUGAUAAUUUAAUAUGUGGAUGGACCGGUGCUUGGAUACUGCUCUUUCUUGGAUAAGCAUCCCACUUAUGAUUAACCCCUAUUGCAAGCAUCCGCAACUCAAAAGAAAUAUUAAGGUAAACCUAAUCAUAGCAUGAAACAUUGACACGGCACAUUAUAAAGAGUUCAACCCAAAUUUUGUAGUAACACUAUUAUAUUUAAAUAGUGAUUAUUCCAACACAUGGAUAAUUAAUUAAGGCACCAGGUUGCGCUUGUGACCAGGAAAGACAAACUUAUGAACUUGCAAGCAUGACAAUCAGAUCGACAUCCACACAAUGUCAAUAUGAACAUUGUCUUGAUACAACUUUAUUUGUAUUUUAUUUCAGAAUUUAAACAACUAGUUUGGGCGGGUCACACACGACGUUGUGUGACACUUUAUUUGUCACCGCUGCAUCGACAUAUCCAUCGACUAAACAACGGUGAUCCAACUAUAUAUUACUAGAGACCUUUCCUUAUCAGUAGGCACCAACUCCAGUGCCAACGCCAAAUGGCACACUAGUGGUGGUCCUAUACAACGGCACAUUGACACGGCACAUCAUUGGCAGGGUACGGAGCGCAAUGGAAGUCAUCACCUCAAGCUGAGCUAUCUGGUGUGGCUGCAAAAAGGUACCCUGUGCCAAUUGUUGUUGUUGAGGUUGUUGCCCGAGUUGCUGCUGUGACUGCUGUUGGGGUUGGGAAACGCAUUGGCCCAACUGUUGCGGUUGCUGCUGCUGAGUUUGGAUGGAACCCCGAACCUGUUGUUGUUCUUGCAGGACGAUGGA
rnacentral:lncRNA from 1 species